rnacentral:lncRNA from 1 species
AAAAUGCAGUCCACAAGUACAUUUCAAGUCAAUAAAUUAUUUUUACUUAUUUUAACUCUUUUAUAAUCGAUUAAAUAAUUUAUAAAUAUAUAAAAUUUUAACUAAUUUUAAUUAUAUUUAAUUUAUUUUCAUACUUUUUAUAAUAAAAUCGAAGAAGGUACUAUAAGAUUUUCCUCAAUUAUAAACUUAAUACAACAAAAAUCAUUUUUUCUUUUAAUGAUUUCUACUUUAAAUUUCAAUGUUAAAUAUACCUUCUUCAACUAUUGACAUGUUUUUAUACUCUGUUAUCUCACAUUUAAAACCUAACACUUUGACCUUAAACUUUUGCCCUCAAUUAAUAAUCCUUCCAAAACUCUAAAAUCAAAACCUAAUACUUUACCCUCCAAAUUUAUUAGAGAGCAAUAUUUUACUCUCAAUUACAAACUUUCCAUAAAAUUAUAAAAGAGAUUGUUUUUUUUUUUACAUUUAGGGAAUUGACAACUUUGAAGUGAAAAUUUUCAAACACUUUCAAAAUACGGUAGCCAUUGGUUUUGAUUUUUGGUUAAAGAUAUUUGUACGACUAUUCGCGAUUUUUGCAUGCAACUAAGAAAUGUAACUAUUUUAAUAUUUUUCUUUAUAUUUUAGCUUUAUUUAUUCACUAUAACAAAUUGAUAAUUGACUUUUUAAUAAGCUUGUGAAAUCAAUUUAUUAUUGAUUAGCAAAUUUAAAGAACAAAGGAUUAAAUUUUGAACCCAAAAUUUAAGUAGGGGUAAAAUGUAUUUGUGAUAUCCAAUAUCGGAUAAGGGAGAAAGUUACUUGAAUUAUAUAAGUAUGGAUUCCUCUUAACCAUGUAGAUGCGUUUUAAACCCGCCCUUAGAUUCAAAACAAUAUCUAUAUGAUUGCAUUGUUACAAUUUAUCAAAUAAAUUUUAUUCUAAAAAAUAAGUGAACAUUAUUGCAUUCUUAAAAAUCAAGCAGACUUCGAAGAUAUCUACACGAACAACAGAACUUUUAUGAUUCGAUCUAAAAUCCUUCCUCAUAUACUUUUAGCUUGUGUGUAAUUCAAUUUAAAAAAUGCCAUCCACAUUGCCAGCUAAGUCUCCCACAUGUGAAAAAAAAAAAAAUCAAAGAAGAGAAAGACACAAACCCAAAAUUCCAACAAAGUCUUAACCAAUUCUACCUCUUUUCUCAAGAUCUCUAGAAGCCCUAAUCUCGUUUUUUCUCUAAAAAUCCCAUGAAUCAUCUAACCUUUCCUUUUCUUCCUCAUUCUCAAAAUUUCUUGAAACCUUAACUUCUUUCACUUCUCCAAAAAUCAUGAAAUUCCAUGAAUCCCUAACCUCUCCUCUUCUUCCCCAUAUUCUCAAAAACCCGAAAUCCCACUACUUCACCUUAAUGAUUGCAUGCACCUUAAUGAACUAAGGUCGGAGAAUGAAGUAAUCCAAAGUUUCCUACAAUUAUUUUAUUCAACAUGCUACAACAUGGAAACUCUCAAUAAGGACAUCAUGAUAUCCUAUAUGAAACAACCAUAUCCCCUUAAAUAAUUUCAAGGAUAAUGAUCAAGUUUAACUCAUAACUAUGAUAAAUUAUUUUAAAUUGAAAUUUGAUAUUUAUCCUCAAAUAUUUUACUUAUUUCUUAAGAUUCGAUUUAUGAGUCUUUGAAGAUCAUCAUAUCUAGUAUUUCAUUUAUUUUUCUUUCUUUCUAAGACAGAGUUGAACUAUGUUUGAUUCCAAGGAAAAUACUAAGUAAAAAAAUGGUAAAUUUGUUUUAUUUGAAGGAAAAUAAAAAGAACAGAAAUGAUAAGUAAAAUGUUUUCUUAAGUUCCAUUUACAAUAAGAAAUAUAUAAAAAAUUAAAUAUAAUUCAAAUUAAAAAAAGAAGAUAUAAUUCAAAUUUGUUAGACAUUUAUACAUUUUAAAAUUAUUUAAUUUUUAUAUGGAAGAUAAAAAAAUAUGUAUAACAAAUUUCAAAAAACAUGUAAAAAUAAUUUAUUAACUUUAAAUCUAUUUUCAUAUCUCUCUCUAUGUAUAUAAAUAAAUCUAAAGUAAAGUUGUUCUUUCAAAGACAAUACCCUCGCGAGGUAUUCAAAUUGAAGCAGCAACCUUUCAGCAUGGGUUAAAAAGGCCGCUUCAACUUGGGCCAGGCCCAAUCUAGAAUUGGGUUUCAAGUAGUUAGAGUUUGAAAAUUGUUCACAUUAAAUCCAAAACCCAAAUCGGAUAGUAAGUCAAAUGAUUAAUUAGGCAAUGGAUUUGAUAUUUUUGCUUGUGGCUCUGAUUAAAAUCAGCUAGCUCUCUAUGCAAAACAAGGUUUUCAAAGCCACUUUUGAAUUUUGAAAAGUUUGAUAAAAGGGAAAAUAAGGGAGAAGAAACACAAGCACACAAGGUUGGUUCAGCUCCAUAAAUUUUGUUUAAGAUGCUUUUUCGAUUUUGUUCCUCUUAUUUUCUUUUUUAUAUUAAAAAAAAAAUUAUAAACUAUAAUUUUCUACUAUAUCUAAUUUUCUAUCUCAAGAACUUUAAAGGUCUAUUUAGGAACCAUACUUGAAAACUAGAGACAAGAAAGACAUUGCCCAAAUAAGCCUCUAGUUCCGGACCUAAUUUGAAAUUUCGACUCAUAUGAUCUUGAAUAUCCCGUGAUAUAUGUAGGAUCUACUUGGAUCGACUUUUUAAGAAACCAAAAACUAUUUUCUAAGCCCUAUAAUUAGAAUUUGAAUGUGUACAUAUCUAUUUGAUUAAUUUUAUUUAAAGACCUUAUAACUUAAAAAAAAAAAAAAUAACUAACACAAAAGUAAAAUAAAUUUUGUAUUAUAAAAAUUAUAUUUGAACUUAUAUAAAAAUUUAUUUUAUAUUUAAUAAAAUUUUUAUAAUAUCAAUAAUGUCUUAUAAAAAUUAUGAAUUUAAUUGACUUCGGCUUCAACUUCAAUUUCGAUGUAAAGGAGAAGGAAGGCACAAGAAACUAUCCCUAAUUAAAAAUCCCUUAAUAUAAAGAAAACAGCUCUAGAUUAGCAAAAGACUUGGAGGGGAAGGUAGAAAGCAAUUUCACAUACAUGAUGCAUCAUCCGCGGAAAUGACCUUCAUUGAUUUUGAAAAACACAUGAUCAGGUCAUGCUUGGGUACCCAAUACCCUGAAUCUUCCACCAAUAACAAUAGGCCACAUGUUUUGGUACCAUACCCUCAAUCUUUGGUACCGGUCAUAUCUUUUUUAAAAAAAAAAAAUUAAAAUGGAUGGCCAAGUCAACAGAUGAAAAAAGUUUUGGUACUACUGCAUUUGGUGUAGUACUGAAUUCGGAGUAGGCUACAGUACUGCAUUUGGUGUAGUACUGCAUUGGGUGUAGUACUGCAUUGGUGCAGUACCGCAUGGACUUUUCCUUGAUCGGAUAUAUAUUAUGGAUGAUAAUUGAAAGGUGGAAUCAAUCAGAAAUAAACUCGAUCUCAAUUCCACCAAUGGUGGCAUCAUCAGUCCGAGCAUGAGGGACAACUGUCAUCGUCUUCAGCCCCAGUCCUCUUUAUCGCUAACUGAGCAGGCUGGUCUUCGUCUUCAUUCUCUGCUUAUGCUUGUGGUACGUUAACAAAGCUUCCUGUUAACUCACUAUUGCUGGGCUUACUGAAUAGUCUUCAGCAACACCUCUUCUUCAUCCUCUUUCUUCUUCUUGCUUCUUGAUUUCUUUGGCCAUGGAACUUCUACUCUUAUUACUGAGUUAAGAGGUUUUGGGAAGCCUCCACUGCUGCUGAUCGUCGUCUUUGGGAGUUCCGCCGCUUUCGCUACUCCCGACUUGGAACUUUUGGUGGUCGUCUUCGCUUUGGGCUGCGUACUUUUUUUUAGCUAUGGAAUAGGAAUAUCCUGAUAUUUGUAUCUCAGUUUGAGAUGGUCCAGGCAGUCUCGGACCUUGACUCGAACAAGUUGGGCGUUCUCAUCGUAGAAGACGAACCCGGCGUUUAGCGAAUCUGGGUCCGUGAAUUCAGUUCUAUUUUUACCUCCUAUAGCUUUCCAUAGCAUCCACAUACGGUCGACGUUGGCGUGGUGACCGAAGAAUAUGGGGUCUUUGCCAGCAGUAUAGAAGUUUCCCAUGUCCUCAUGAGGCUUGUCAAAAAGACCAGUCCAUAUGUGGACUGGACCAUGUGGCCGGGACGCUAUCAAUGGUACCCUCUCCAGGGUCAGGCUGAUCUCCGGCACGGUAUGGGCUACCAAAGAAAAGCUUAGCAGUCGUGGCACCCGACACAACUUGCCGGUAUACGAUUGACAGAUUGUUGGCAACUAUUUCCAAAUCGGGGAUGUGGAUUCGGUGAAAUCGUAGUCAAGAUUGAUUACAGUCGGAGGCAGGUGUUUGGCGUUGCGCUUCGCGUCGUAGCGUGUUGAUGUGGAAGCAGCAUAGAUGGCCGGCAUUUGCAUACCAGGAGGGGAAUCCCAGCUCCAAUAGGGCAAAGCGGAGGUGGGAUCGUUAAUCAGUUCUGCAAGAAUUCUCUCAUGGAAGCAGGCAUAUAAACGGUGGAAAGGGAAGAAAAGCCAUGAAGCAUGAACCUGGAUUUCUAGAUCCGGAAACCCAACCUGAUCAUCAGCCCCAUUGCAAUAGGCGCAACGGACACUGGCCUGUUGCCUGAAGCUCCAUGGAUCAUCAUCAGGAAGAGCUUUCAUUAGCUGAAUGGCCUUUUUAUACUUGGCUCUGUACUCUUUGAUGACCAAGUGAGCAGCUGGCCUAAUGCGCAGGAGGGAAUCUGGGGAAGGCAGCUGGAAAUCUAUAAUCUUUGUGGUGGCUGGCGGGCAACAAUUUGUGGCCGUUACACCCGCAGGCACGGUGGCGACACCACACUUAGUUACAUCCGGUGCCUGGAUGGGAGCUCCGAAGGCUAAUGGCUCAGUGGCGCGAGGCUGCCAGCGGCACCAUACAGCCCUCCUAUGCCAAGAAGCACAUUCCUCCAAUCUAACUUCCCUAGGGAAGGGAAGUUAGAUAGGAGGAAUGUGCUUCUUGGCAUAGUUCCUCGAAUGUCGGAGGUGGAAUCCGAGUUUGGAUCACCAUUUGCAGAAUUGCAAGUCAUUUUACUUGGAGCAGAUCUGUGGUUUCGAUUUCUGACGAUGGGGACAUGAGAAACCCUGAGAAACAAGGGGGAAGGUGACAAGGCCGAAAUGUUGGUGGUGGUGGCGGGGACUUUUCACAAGAUAACGGUAAUUAAAAAAAAUUAUUCUUAAAUUGUCUUAGUAGAAAAAGUUAUUCCAAGAACAUUUUGUAGGUAGGAGAGAGAGGCACGCUAAAAUUUUUUUUUUUUAAAACCAAAAUCGUCUUUAAAAAAGACGGUUUUAAAAUCAUAAAUGGAAAUAAAAAGAAAUUCAAAGGGAAAUCUUCUCUUCAUUUAAAAAAAAAAAAAUCCAAAAUUCCCUUAAAAAAAUUUUAAUUUACCAUUUAAAAAAAAUUCCAAACUAAUUUAAAAAACAAAAAAAAAUUCCAAAAGUGUCUCUUGAAGAGACGAUUUUCCUUUAAAAAUAUUUUAAUUUACCAUUUAAAAAAAUAUAUAUAUUUUCCAAACUAAUUUUUAAAAAAAAAUUCCAAAAGGGAAAUCGUCUCUUCAAGAGCCGAUUUCCCUUAAAAAAAAAAAAAAUUUAAUUUACCAUUUUAAAAAAUAUAUAUAUUUUCCAAACUAAUUUAAAAAAAAAAAAUUCCAAAAGGGAAAUCAUCUCUUGAAAUGACGAUUUCCCUUAAAAAAAAUUUUAAAUUUACCAUUUAAAAAAAAAAAAAAAUUUCCUUAAAUUUUUUUUAAAUUUACCAUUUAAAAAAAAAAUUUUCCAAACUAAUUUAAAAAAAAAAAAAAUCCAAAAGGGAAAUCUGUCUCUUCAAGAGAUGAUUUCCCUUUAAAAAAAUUUUAAUUUACCAUUUUAAAAAAUAUAUAUAUUUUUCAAACUAAUUUAAAAAAAAGAAAAAAAAAAUUUCCAAAAGGGAAAUCGUCUCUUGCCUUAAAAAAAAUUUAAUUUACCAUUUUAAAAAAUAAAUAAAUUUCCUCUUGAAGAGACAAUUUCCCUUAAAAAAAAAAAUUUAAUUUACCAUUUAAAAAAAAAAUAUAUAUUUUCCAAACUAAUUUAAAAAAAAAAUUUAAAAUUAAUAUUAUAAAAAAUAAUUAAAUUUAAAAAAAAAAAAAACAAAAUCCAAAAUUAAUAUUAAAGGGAAAUCAUCUCUUCAAGAGACGAUUUCCCUUUGAAUUUUUUUUAAAAAAAAUUAAUAUUAUAAAAAAUAAUUUAAAAAAAAAUUAAAAAAAAUCCCUUAAUAUUACAUAAAAAUGGAAACUAAUUUAAAAAAGGGAAAUUUUCUCUUCAAGAGACUAUUUUCCCAUUUAAAAAAAAAUUCAAAAGUUUUUUUAAAAUUAAUAUUAUAAAAAAUAAUUUUUUUUUUAAAAAAUCCCAAAUUAAAAGAAAAAAUUAAUAUUACAAAAAAUUGAAAUUCCAAACUAAUUUUUUUAAAAAAAAAUUCAAAGGAAAUAGAGAUGAUUUUCCCAUUUAAAAAAAAUAAAAAUUCCCAAUCAAAAAAAUUAAUAUUAUAAAAAAUAAUUUUAAAAAAAUCCCAAAUUAAAAAAAAAAAAAAAUCCAAACUAAUUUUUAAAAAAAUUUAUUCAAACUACACUCACCAAUUCCAAUUGAAAUUUGAAAUUUGAAAUUCCAAUUGAAAUUUGAAAUUUGAAAUUCAAAUUUUAACCGGUUAUCCUAUACACUACUGUGGACCCCGCAUUUCGUCUCAAUGCGUUUCCCACUCGAAUGGCGAGCUCGAUUUUUAUUUUGAAAAAUUGAUUUUUAUUGAUUAUUUGAAAAUGACUUGGAGUCGCCACUUAUUUUUGUUUUAUUUUUAAUGGGUAAACAAAAUAAGAAAGAAAAACCCUAAGUGUGACUCCUUAUUUUGGAAAAGGUGGUCUGCGAAAAACCGGAUCGGGUUCGGAGGUCAGGUUACUUAUCGGGAAGGUACGGUAAAAACCAUAGCACCCCUCUAAGUCCCUAAAGUCGGGUCUCUACUAAUAGAAUGAAGCAAUCAUAGCAAUUAAUUAGGAAAUCAAUGGAUACCCGGAACUAUCAUGCACAUAUGAGAAUCAGAAUAUGCAUAGAGAAUCACCAAAGUGGAAGUGGAUGUGUACCUGUUCAGCAAACGGCAACGCGCUAUCACAAAAUAGGGUUAGUGGACAAACGCAGGUUGAUUAUGUACAUAUCACGGAACAUAGCAGAUCAAUCACGCAUGGCAAAUAAAUCAAUCAAUCGAUCAAUCAAUCAAUCAAUCAUAAAAUCACGUAUGUGGGGCCCCCACCAAAGCCCGAUUGAUCUUGCAUGAAUUAAUCUCACAAAUUCCAUUAUUUUGGAAUUAUGAAAAUUCAUUAUUCUUACUUAUGUAAAGUCCAGAGGAGUAGAAGAUUGUUUGAAGGCCAGAGCGGAAUUAAAACUGUUCGAGAGAAAAUUAGAUUUUUGAGAUUUAAUUGAAAAAUUGGAGUCUCGAAGAGCACUAGAAAAUUGGAGUUUUAGAGUUUAUUUGGAUAUUAGACUUUUAGAGAUUGAAUGUGAGAAUGGGAAUUUUCAGAAACUGAAUUUGAAAGAGGUCGGAAUUUUGAAAACGAUUUGAGGGCUCGGGAUUUUAAAGAAAGAUUAAGUUACGAAAAUUGAGACUUUGGGAGUUGAAUUUUGAAAAAGAUCAGAAUCGUAAGUUAUUUGAGAAAUAGAAAUUAUGAAAGUUGAUGUGUAAGAAUUGGAAAUCUUAUAAUUCAUUCGAAGGCAGAAUUUAUAGAAAUAAUGAAUAAGAUGAUAAUGAUAAUGAUAAUAAUAAGUAGCGGGAUAAAUACGGGAAUUGGAGCAUGGGAAACUGAAAAUUAAGUUUGGAGAUUGGACAAUUGGAGUUUCAAAUAGCUAAAUUUAGAAAUUGGAAUUUUGAAGGAUUAAACCUUAAUGAUUGAGAUUUUUAAGAGAAAUAAAUGGGUAAAUAUGGAAUAAUGUUGUUAAUUAAUCAAAACGAUAUUUGGACGGAUGAAUAGUGAAUAGUGGGGUUUGUGAGAUUGAAAAUUAAAUUGGAAAGUCGGAUCUUUGAAUAAUUGGACUCUGUUUAUUGGAAUUUUUAGAAGAAGGGAAUAAGUAAACGUGGAAUUUAAGACAGUGGUGACAAAGAUGAUAUUUGGAUGAAUAAGAGUGAAUGGUGAAAUUUUUUUAGUCCAAAGGUUAAACUUGGAAAUCCGGUUUUGAAGAAUUGAAUUUUAAUGAUUGAAAUAAAUGAAUAAAUAAACAUGGAAUAAUGAUACUAAUUAACGAAAAUAAUGUUUGAACGAAUAAUAAAAGAAAAGAUUAGUGGAAUUUUUCCAAUUGAGAAUUUGAUUUAGGGCGUUGGAUUUUUAAAAGAUGUGACUUUGAAUAAAUAGGUAGGUAUGACAUUAUAAUACUAAUUAACGAGAAUAAUAUUUAGGCGAAUAAAGAUGGAUAGUGGUAUUUUUGGGAUUGAAAAUUGAAUUAAGACAAUAGAUUUUUGAAGAACUAGGUUUUAAAUAAAUUAAUGAAUAUGGGAUAAUAAUCCUGAUUGAUGAAAAUAAGAUUUAAACGAUAGGAUAAUAAUUCCAAUUGAUGAACAUGAGAUUUAGACAAAUAUUUGAAGAAUUAAAUUAAGGCAUGAGAUUUUCUUAAAAGAUUCAGAUUUUUAAUAGUUAGAUAAAUAAUUAUAAUGGAUGAAAAUGAGAUGUGAACUAAUUAUUGAAUUUUUAGGAUUGAAAAAUUAAAUUAAGAUGCGGGAUUUCCUUGAAAGAUUUAGAUAGCUAGAUAAGUAUAUGAUAAUAGUCUUGAUCGAUGAAAAUGAGAUUUAAACUAAUUAUUGAAAAAUUAAAUUAAGAUAUGAGGUUUUUGAAGGAUUAGAAUUUAACUUUAAUGAGUGAGAUUUUAAAAGAUGAUAAAUAGAUACGUAUGAAGUAAUAAUAAUAACUAACAAUUAUAAUGUUUAAACUAGUGAAAUUGAAUAGUAUAAAUUUCAAAAUAAAAAAAAAAUAUAAUUAAUAAUAAUAAUUUGUCUUUUAAUUGUCUUUAAGAUAAAUUAAAUAAAUUAGUAGGAAUAGAAUAAGAUAACAAACAAGAGGGAAUGAUUGAAUUAAUUAAUUAUGGAUAUUAGAGGUUUUUAAUAGGAUUAUUUGGAUUUGGGUAACGUAAUGGGCUAAAUGGAUGUGGGCAUGGGCCAAUGAGGGGAGUUGGCAUAAGGCCUUUAUCAAUGCAAAUGACAUCAAUGGGCAAGCCCAAGGUUCCAUCUUCAGCAUCAACUUGGGCCGGGUUCCUCAACUUAAGCCCAAAGCCAAAGUCUCCAUGGGCAAGCCCAAGGCUCCAUCUUCAUCACCAACUUGCCUCUCCACCGGGGUAUCAUCCUCAGAGGAAACUUCCACCACCGGCGGCGCCAUGGAGAGGGGAGCAGCAGCGGCGCCGAGACGGUGGAGUUGCAUGGCUUUCGAAGCCACAACACCAGCAGGUGGACGUCUCCGCAGAUGGCGCUAUCGACCACGCCGCAGGAGCAGGCGAAGAGGGCGGCGAGCAGGCCGCCGUCGACAGCCUAGAGAAAAGUGCCCCGAGUCGAAGCAGCAGCGCCGAACCCCGAUGGCGACUCCGGCGAGGCCCGUGAGGAAUGGAAGGUUGCUUGGCUGCUGCCCAUUCUCUAGCCACUGAAGAAAGCUCACGUGCUCUACCGGUUGAGUGAUGGUGGGUACAAGGAUAUAGAGAGAGAAAAGGUGAUGGGAUGAACAAAGUGAUUUGAACCACUGCAUGAAAAGCAUGAAUAUGGGUACGAAGAUUUUGGAUGGUGUUCCUCAAUGAAAAAGGCAGGGUGCAUGAAAGCAUGGUAAACACAAAAAACAGGGUUAUCACAACAAACAAACAAAAUGGCCUACAAUAUCCACUCCAAGCAAUAUAAUGCAGAAAGAAACAAUAACAAUCUGAAGCAAAAACAGUGAAUAACGAGAAAUGAGAGGAUUAUCGUGUUCGUACUUAAGUUCUUCAAGCAAAAAUACCUAUAAAAACAGAGAAUCUCUUCUCCAGCUAGAAUCUCCCUCAAAACCCGGCACUCCGCUCUUUCUCUUUUCAACUAUAUCCCCUCAAUGACCCGCUCCAAAAGACCCCAUCUCUCUCAGACCAAAACCACCCAAAAGAAAACUUCCCAUCCCCCCCUUGACUUCCUUAGCAAGCCACUGAAAAAAAUCCCCUCUGUCCCCCCGCAGCCCCCAGCUCCUCUGUUCCUCUUAUGUCCCAUCUGGCCGCCAGAGAGCAGCCCACUUGAGAGCCAUCUCAAAAGCAACCCAAAAAAUAAUGAUAAAUAAUCCAAGCAAGCUCUCUCCUCCCGGGGGGGGAGUGUCUACAACUACACUAUACUAUUACCUAUUCAUGUACUUACACGGUUACCUAUUCAUGUACUUAUCCUAUACACUACACUCUUACCUAUUCCAUACCUAUUCAUGUAUUGUCAUAUCCGUCCAUUUAAUACUCCAAUUUAGUACACUCCACCAAUUCCAACUUCUCAUACACUAUAAAUUACCUUCUUCCUUCUCAUUUUCUCCUUCAAAUUCUUUCAUUCUAAUUUUCACCUUCAAACUUUUCACUCACGUUUUGUCCAUCUUCCCCACUUGAAAAUUUUUCACCUUUCAUCUUUGUUAGAAUUUGAGCAUAUCUUAUCUCCUCUCUUUUGUUGGACACUCACGUUGUUGCUUAUAAGGUAAUAUUUUUGCUUUAUUUGUAUUUGAAGUUAUUUUAUGAUGUAUAGUUUUUAUUAUUAUAUCAGUUUUUAAAUUUAUUUGGAUUAUGUAAUAUUUGUUUGAAUAAUAUUUAUAGGAAAUUGUUAUUUUAAAUAGAUUAAAUUAUUAAAAAAAUAAUAAAAGAUAUAUUAUUUUAUUUGGCAGUUAAUAUUUUUGCCUUUAUUUCAUAUUUAUUGUGUAAUGCAUGAUAGAAAUUAGAUAUUUGUUAUUACAUGUAUUUUUUAAAUUUAUUUGAUUUAUGGUAAUUUUGUUAGAAUAUUAUUUGUUGUAAAUUAUCAUUAUUAUAUAAAGAUAAAUGAAUUAAAUCAAUAAAAAAAAUAAAAAAAAUAUUAGUUUAUUUAAUUAAUAUUAAAUAAUAGGAUUAUUGCUUAUGUUUAUCAAUCAAAUAAUAGUGUGUUAAAUAAUUGAAAAAAUUGUUGUAAAACAAUAAGAUGUAAAAAUAAAAAUAUAAAUAAAAGUAAAAAUAAAACUAAAAUGUUAUUUGAUUUAUUAUAUAUAAAGUAAUUUAACACUAAUAUAAAAUAGUAACGUGACUAUUAAAUAUAUAUAAUAUAUACUUUAAUAUUAAAAUAUUAUAUACAUUUAAAUAUCCAUUUUAAAAAAGAAAAGAAAAGAAAUAUAUAAUCGUAAAAAUGUUAGAAUAUAUAAUAAAAUUAAAUAAAUAAAUUUAGUAAUGGUGGUUAGUGUUAAAUUAUUAUUAUUUUUUGCAUUUAAUAUUAUUUAAAAAAUAUUAAAAUAUAAGAAAUUUAAGUACAACAUUAGCUGAAAUUAUGAAUUUAUCUUCUAUAUUUAAAAAAAAAUUAAUAUUAGUCUUAAAUUAUUGAAAUAAUUGUUGUAAGAUAUUGAUAGGUAAAAAUUAAAAAUAAAUAAAAGUAGAAAUAAAACUAAAUUAUUAUUUUAUUUAUUUAAAUGGAUAUUUUAAUGUAUAUAAUAUAUAUAUAUAUAUAAAAGUAAUUUUCUAUAAUAUAACAUAGUAACAGUGAGUAUUAAAGGUAUAUAAUAUAUAUUUAAAUAUUAAAAUAUUAUAUAAAUUUAAAUAUCCAUUUUAACAAAGAAAAGAAAUAUAUAAUUGUAAAAUGUUAGAAUAUUAAAAUAUUAAAAAAUUUUGAAUGAUGCAGGAAAUACAUUCUCAUGGAUCCUGGACUUGUAGAUCGUUCAAUUCUAUAUAACUAGGAAAUACACCGAUCUUCACUUAUAUGGGAAGGAAAUGAUCUCGGAAAGGUCCAUUGUCGACGUCGUGAAGCCAGUUUUUAUCGUAAUAGUGUUUUGGAUGCACGUAUCAUUCCAUAUUUGAAACAAUAUGGAUUCUAUGGUGUUGCUCGAUUAGGUUUCAUUUCAUUGGAUUGGCACCUUAUUACAGCAUUCAUAGAGAGAUGGUGCCCUGAGAUCCACACUUUCCAUAUACCUUAGGAAGAGUGUACCAUCACACUUCAAGAUGUUAGCAUUAUUUUAGGCUUACUGAUUGAUGGUGUUGCAGUUACCGAUACCACGUGCUUGGAUUGGAGAGAGGUGUGUGCUACACUGUUAGGAGUGGUGCCUGGAGAUAGAGAUAUAUCUGGAUAAAGACUUUGUUUGACGUGGUUGACAGAACAUUUUCCUUCAUUACCACCUGAUGCUGAUGUGGAGUCCGUGAGAUGCUAUGCUAGGGCAUUCAUCUUACAGUUGAUUGGAGGUUUUUUUUUUGCGGAUAAAUCAAACAAUAGGGUACACUUAAUGUUUUUACCACUACUUCAGGAUCUUGGAGUUACUAGUACUUACAGUUGGGGUAGUGCUUGCCUAGCUUGACUAUAUCGAGAGAUGUGUCAAGCAUCCCGUAUUGAUGCACAUGAUGUAUCAGGUCCUCUCAUUUUGUUACAGUUAUGGAUAUGGGAUAGAUUUCCCUUUAUGGCACCUAUGCGCUUACAUCCGGCCCCACAUGAUGGAGUACUGCCACAACCACCUUUAGGCAUGCAGUAUGUGUUCAACCAUAGUUAUAGCAUAUGUUAACACAUAUAUGCAUAAAUAAACAAUUACUAAAACCUUUAAUAUAUAUUCUUUUUGUAGUUGGAGAGAUGAAUUUCGUACUACUUCGACGCCUAUGCAUGUGCUAUCCCAGUAUAGAUAUCUACUUGAUCGACUUAUGCCAGAGCAGGUGAUAAAUUCAUUAUUUUGAAUAAUUUUUUUAAACGAUUUAUAAUGAAAUUAUUAUUAAAUAAUGUGAGUUAUAUUUCAAAUUUAAUUGCAGAUUAUAUGGGAGCCAUAUACUGAUGAUGUCAUCUCUACACUCCCAGAUUACUGUACUAUUGCCUCUGACUUGUGGUUGACUAUUUCACCCCUUAUCUGUUUCCACAUAGUGGAGUGGCAUAGACUUGAUCGUGUUUUGAGGCAAUUUGGGCUAGUACAACAUAUUCCCGAGCAAUGCAAUAUAGAAUUGGGCUUACAUAGAUAUGAUUUGAGGGGUCGACAUGAUUUUGAUUGGAUGAGUAUUCAUCACCACUAUAUUCAAAGGUGGGAGGCUAGGUACGAUCAUCUUGCUAGAACUGAGGCAGCAUAUACUUCGUACGGGUAUAACCACCCAUAUAUGGUGUGGUAUCGUUCGAUCACUCGCCUUUUUUUUACUCCACAUGGAUCUUCAUGGGAGAUAGAGGUAAUUACAAUGGUUUUUUAUUUAUUACUAUAUUUUCUUCUUAUUACAAAAACAUCUAACUUUUUAUUCUUAAUUCUUACAGAACCGCAGUUUGCAACAAAUACAUUUAUGGAUUGCUCCAGAUACACCGAAUAUCAGUCAUCGUGAUGCAAUUCAUUAAUUAUGUGCAACCACUUUAGAGGCUAUACACGAGGCUGAUUGGUUAGUUAUUACCCUUAAUGUCGUUGAUACGGAGAGACAAUCAUCGGAUGAGGAGGUUGGGAUAAGAGAUGGUGGGGUACAAACUAGAGGUGGUAAGGUGUGGACUAGGGGUGGUGGGGUGCGGACUAGAGGUGGUGGGGUCCGAAGUAGAGGUGGUGGGGUACAGACUAGACGUUCAGAGAUCCACGAGGCUGAUGGGUUUCUUAUUCCCCCUAAUGUUGUUGAUACGGAGAGACAAUCAUCAGAUGAGGAGGUUGGGAUGGCAGAUAUUGGGGUACGGACCAGAGGUGGUGGGGUACAUCCUACAGGUGGUGGUGUACAAACUAGAAGUGGAGGUGUUCACACUAGAGGGGGAGGUGUACGAACACGUGGAGGCCAUAUUUUUGAUGAUCCACACUUCCAUAUCGAUGAUGCAUCUAUACAUUUUCCACCAUUAGCUCUACAACAUUCUUCCUUCAAUUUUUCUACACCACUUGACCAGUCACUGCCUUAUUCAUCAGUUCCAUCCAUUGCUGAGGGGGUGAUACAGGAAGAUGUUGGGACAUCAUUCAUGUAGGAGAUAUUGCAUUCUUAUAUUGAUGGGCCUUCUUUUCAUAUACCUAUGUCGUCUAGUAUCGAUGUAUCAUUUACUCCACCUACAGCACCACUUAUUGCUUUGUCACCACAAUCAUUAGGACAUUCAUUUAGAGAUGAUGUGGCGACACAAAUGCAAUACUUUCCGUCACCACUUAUUGAACAACAGCGAGAGACACAGGUGCAAGAUGAAGGACGUGGACGAGGAAGAGGUCGAGGACGAGGACGAGGAAAUGGAGCAACAUUAGAUGAUCCCUCAGAUCAAUCCGAGUUGGAAAAAUGUCACUAACGGCCACAACAAAGAAGGAAGCCUCCUUCAUGUGGCACACAUUAAUGACACAUGUUGUUUUUUUGUUGAUUCUUCGUUUAUUUGUAUUGAUGAUGCAUACUAACUUUUAUUGGUUGUUAGUUUAUUAAUGACGUAUGUUAAUUUAUCAUCUACUACUAUUAAAGUUGUCAUAUAGUAAUAUUGAAUUUUAAUAUUUUAGUUUUGUUGGUAUUCAUGGUUCAUAUUUUGUUAGUUGUUACAAUGUUUGUUGAGUUAUUAGUUUAUAUAUAUGGACUACAUAUUAGUUUUUUUAAUUCAUAAUAGUAGUUGUUUUUUUAUCAUUGAUUAUUUGAAUACGUUUGAUUGUUUAGGGAUUGAUCUCAAAAUAUUAUUUAUCUUAUAAAUAAAAACCAAUAUGAAACUAAAUUAAUUUUAUUAGUUGUAAUUAAUUGAAAUAAUUUAAAGAAAAAUUGAAGAUUAAGAACAAUUAACAUUAUUUAACGUACAUUUUUUUUAAAUAUUUUAUUCAUUUUAUUGUGAAAUUUGAACUUAAAGAUUAAUAUUUUUCAUCUUAAAAUUUAGACAAUAAAAUUAAUUUAAAAAUUAAAACAAAACAAAAUUAUUUAUUUUGUAAUUAAUUAUUUAAUAAAUUAAUAAAAAAUUGUUUUUUUAGACUCAUCUAUUCACAUAAAUUGAUAAUAUUUUUUUUUUUAAUUGCAAAGUGCAAAAAAAAAAUAAAAAUAGAUAAAUAUUAUUUAUCUUAUAUUAAAUAUUAUUUAUCAUUUCCAAUUAGGAAUUUUUUCUUUUUUAAGGGAAUUCUCUUUCGGAUUUUUUUUAAUUUAUAUAUUUUUUAUUUUGGCAAAUCAUUUCCGAUUUUUUGGGAUUUUUUUAUUUUUAUUUUUAAUGAGAAAUCGUCUCUUCAAGAGACGAUUUCCCUUUGGGAUUUUUUUAAAUUUUAAAAAAAAAUUUUGGAAAAUCAUAUCCAAUUGGGAAUUUUUUAUUUUAUUUUAUUUUAAGGGAAUUCCCUUUCAAAUUUUUUUUUAAAUGAGAAAUCGUCUCUUCAAAAGACGAUUUCCCUUUGGGAUUUUUUUAUAUUAAUUUUUUUUUUUUUGAGAAAUCAUAUGCAAUUGGGAUUUUUUUUUUUAAGGGAAUUCCCUUUUGGAUUUUUUUUUAUUUUUUAUAUUUAUUUUGGCAAAUCAUUUCCAAAUUUUUGGGAUUUUUUUAAAUUAAAUUUUUUUUUUGGGAAAUCAUAUCCAAUUGGGAAUUUUUUUUUUAAGGGAAUUCCCUUUCGGAUUUAUUUUUAUUUUGGCAAAUCAUUUCCAAUUUUUUGGGAUCUUUUAAAAUUUAAAAAAAAAAUAAUUUUUGGGAAAUCAUAUCCAAUUGGGAUUUUUUCAUUUUUUUUUAAGGGAAUUCCCUUUCACAUUUAUUUUUUAUUUUUUAUUUUUAUUUUGGCAAAUCAUUUCCAAUUUUUUGGGAAAACGAUUUCCCUUUAUAAAUAAUUGUAUGAGUAUAUUUAAUUUUUUAAUUUCAAAAUGCAUUUUUAAUAUAUUUUUAUAUUAAAUUGUAUUAUUUCUUUUUAUAAUAUAUAUAAUUAAUGGUACCAAUUCCAAUUAAAAUUUGAAAUUUCCUGCUUCAUUUAAAUAAUUUCAUGAGUUUAUUACAAGACAUUUGAAUGACAUUAUAUGAAUAUAACUCAAUGUUCAUCUUUAAUGUUAAAAAAAAACUUUCAUUUAAAUAAUUAAAUUUUCAACUGGAACUUACAAUAUCAUUGAGCGGUUGUGUUAGAAGACUCCCAUUUGUUAGGGCAUUUUCGCCGAUUGUGACCCUCUUGUUUACAAAGUCCACAUCGCACUUUAACACUUGGUUCUCUCCAAUCCAUUUCAUUCCUAAUCCUUGAAGAUCUUGGUCUUCCUUUAUCACGUACUAGAGUUGAAUUAGGAUGAACAAUUGGAAAAUUAGGCUCUGGCCAAUAGGCUUGAUGUGGAAUUGGAUUGAAUUGAGGUGUAUAGCAACAAGCAUAUACAUCCAUCCUAUAAUGUUUGUCAACAAAUUGCCAACUAUCAAUCCUUGCACGUGCACAUACAGCCAACACAUGUGAACAUGGUAUACCAAAUGAUUGUCAUUUAUUACAAGUACAUGUUCUUUCUUUCAACUUCACAAUUUGUAUAUUGUUUCCUUUAUCCAUAUGAAACCCAUGGGGAGCAGUUGUAACUUCAAAUAUCUUAUUUGAAAGGUGAAAAAUAUUGGCAGUGUGUCCACUAGCCCUUGAUUCAUAUUUUGUUAUUUUGUUAAUGGCAUAGGAAGUAUACAAAUCUCCUUUUGCCAUUUGAGUUUGUAUCUCUAUUCAACGAGUCUCGAAAUAUAAAACACAACGAUAGAAAGUUGAUCGAACAAGAGCAGUGAUAGGCAACAUUCUAGCCCCUUUGAGCACUCCAUUUAUGCAUUUAGCAAUAUUUGUAGUCAUCCACCCAUACCGAUGUCCUCCAUCAUGUGCCAAUGUCCAUUUCUUUGUAUCCAACCUGUUAAACCAUUCUAAGCAUUUCUCAUCUAAUCGUUUUAACUCAGUCAUACAUGCCUCAUACUUUCGUGGUUGAUGUUGAGACCCUGCUCUAUACACUAAGUCUUUUAACAUCUUAUUUCUAUAUUUAUCAUUGAAAUUGCUUGCCACAUGCCUAAGACAAUAUCGAUGGUGUGCAUAAGGCGAGCUCCAACCAACACUAGGAUCCCUAAUGGCGGCUUGUAUUCCUGCAUGACGAUCUGAAAUGAGACAUAUGCCUUUUCUUUGUGUGACUUGAGUCCUUAAUGUAUAAAGAAACCAAGACCAACUAUCUGAUGAUUUCUCUUCAACUAUUGCAAAUGCUAGAGGGAAGAUAUGACCAUUAGCAUCGAUUGAUGUUGCAAUCAAAAGUUUCCCUAUGUAUUUUCCAUAUAAAAAAGUACCAUCUAUUUGUAUUACUAGUCUACAAUGCUUAAAUCCUUCAACACAUGCCCCAAAAGCCUAGAACACACGCAUAAAACGUACAUUUCCAUUACAACCUACUAGUAAUGAUGUCUUCCAAACAGCCUUAGUCCUAGGGUUAGUAAGUUUAACAAUAUUCAUCCACCUAGGUAAAGUUUGGUACGAUUCAUCCUAAUCACCAAAUAUCCUUAUCAUUGCUUUCCUCUUUGCUUCCCAAAUCCUCUUGUAAUGAACAUUAUAACCAAAUUUAUCUUUCACUAUUUGAUGUAAUGCAGCAAUUGAAAUUGUGUGAUCACUUUGGACUACAUUUUGAACUUCUCGUGCAAUGAAGGUUGAGUCUAAUUGUGAGUGGUCUUGUGAUAAUUUAGGGUAAACACAAGUGUGAGGACUUAUGUACUUUGUUAUCUCAAACAAACCAUGACAUUUACGACGACAUGCACAAAGCCUCCAAUUACAACCCUCGGACCAUUUUUCACACUUUACAACCCAAAUAUUUGGCUCAGAUUCAAUAACAAUCAAAUGUUGAUUCCUACAUAUAGAAUAACUUUUAACAGCAUAUUGUAAGUCUACCUUACUCUCAAACCACAAACCCUUAAACAAUUCAUCUGAUUCAUUCCAUAAGCCAGUGCGUGCUAUUAAAUCCUUGUCAGCCAUGGAGUUAAUUACAUCCCAAUUCAAUUCUCUAAAUAUUGGGGAAGGGACAUCUUGUUCACCACCACCUAGCAAUGAUGCAUCAUUUUCUGUAUUUUCAUUAUCCUCCAUGUCCAUAAUAUCCUCAUUACCAUCAUCUUCAUCAAAUAACUCCACAUUGUCAUCAUCAUUUCCAGGUAAAAUAUCAACAUAAUUUUCAUCUGUCAUUACAAUUGACUCAGUAAUCCUUGCCAUAUCUACCCUAACUAUAGGUUCCAUGUCAUUAUCAUAACUUUACCUAUACAUAGGGGAAGAUGUGUUCUUUUCUACCAUAUGUUGACUUGGACCUAGACUUUCAAUAUGCAAUGGGGUAGUAAAGCUACUAGGCACGGGGUGAUAAUCAAUGGAAGAAGUUUGACAAUACAUUUCAAUAGUAUUUAGAGGAGGAGAUUGUGUGACAACGGUAAACAUUAUCCUUACAUCACCAUCAUCUCGAAUAGGCAAAGGGACAUAAUUAACAGUACCCUUUCCAUUUGGAAAGGGAACUGAAUAUCGGAACACCAUAUUUAACUUGGUGUAAGUACGAUUAAUAUUCAGAGCAUGACACAAUUUUGUUUCUAACUCAUCAAAUGUUAUCAUACUAUUGAUUAAAACACCUUUAUCAGGAGGACGAUUAUAACUUACCCCAAAUUCACAAUCAAUAAUUUCACCCCUAGUAUAGCACAACACCGUGUUGUAACUGUCCAUUAUCAAACCUAUUCAAAAGAUCGACAAAAAAAUAUCAUCAUCAAUAAACUUUAUGAUAAUAAACAAUAUAUAUUUUACAAAUCUAUUUUACUAAUAUUAUGGUGCAUUGUCCAUUACAAUAUAUUUCUUUUCUUUUUAAAAAUGGAUAUUUAAAUGUAUAUAAUAUAACAUUUUAAAUGUGCAUUUACAUAUUAUAUAAGAUAAGACCAACUCUCGGAUAAUGUUCUACUUAUAUUUCUUAUAAUUUAUAUUUUUUUAAUUAAUAUUGUAUUCAAAAAAAUAAUUUAAUACUAACAACCAUUACUAAAUUUAUUUAUUUUCUUUUAUUAUAUAUUCUGAUAUUUUAUGAUUAUCUAUUUCUUUUCUUUUUUAAAAUAGAUAUUGAAAUGUAUAUAAUAUUUGAAUAUUUAAAUAUAUAUAAUAUACCUUUAAUACUCACGGUUACUAUUUUAUAUUAUACACAAUUAUUUUAUAUAUACAUACAUUAAAAUAUCCAAUUAAAUAAAUCAAAUAAUAUUUUAAAUUUAUUUCUACUUUAAUUUAUUUUUAAUUUUUAGCUCUCAAUAUCUUAUAAGAAUUUUUUCAAUAAUUUAAGACUAAUGUUAAUUUUUAUAAAAUAUAGAAUACAAAUUCAAAAUUUCGAAUAAUGUUCUACUUAUAUUUCUUAUAUAUAUAUAUAUAUAUAUUUAAAUAUAUAUUAUAUACCUUUAAUACUCACGGUUACUAUGUUAUAUUAUAGAAAAUUACUUUUAUAUAUAUAUAUAUAUUAUACAUUAAAAUAUCCAUUUAAAUAAAUCAAAUAAUAUUUUAGUUUUAUUUCUACUUUUAUUUAUUUUUAAUUUUUAGCUCUCAAUAUCUUACAAGAAUUAUUUUAAUAAUUUAAGACUAAUAUUAAUUUUUUUUUAAAUAUAGAAGAUAAAUUCAUAAUUUCGGAUAAUGUUCUACUUAAAUUUCUUAUAUUUUAAUAUUUUUUAAAUAAUAUUAAAUGCAAAAAAAAAAAAAAUUUAACACUAACCACCAUUACUAAAUUUAUUUAUUUUAUUUUAUUAUAUAUUCUAACAUUUUACAAUUAUAUAUUUCUUUUUUUUUAAAAUGGAUAUUUAAAUGUAUAUAAUAUUUUAAUAUUAAAAUAUAUAUUAUAUACAUUUAAUAGUCACGGAUAGUAUUUUAUAUUUGUGUUAAAUUACUUUAUAUAUAAUAAAUCAAAUAACAUUUUAGUUUUAUUUUGACUUUUAUUUAUAUUUAUAUUUUUACAUCUCAUUGUUUUACAACAAUUUUGUCAAUUAUUUAACACUAUUAUUAAUUUUAAAAAAUAUAAAAGAUCAAUUCAUAAUUUUAGAUAACGUUGUAUUUGUAUUUUUUAAAUUUUAAUAUUUUUUAAAAUCAUAUAUUAUGCAAAAUAUAUAGAAAUAUAAUUAUUCUAUUAUUAUUAUUUUUCAUUCUCAUUUUAUCAAUAUUUUAUUUUAUUUUUAAAUUUAAAUUUUAAUAUUUUAUUGAUAAACAUAAGCAAUAAUCCUAUUAUUUAAUAUUAAUUAAAUAAACUAAUAUCAUUUUUAUUUUUUUAAUGAUUUAAUUCAUUUAUCUUUAUAUAAUGAUAAUUUACAACAAAUAAUAUUCUAACAAAAUUAUCAUAAAUAAAAUAAAUUUAAAAAAAAUACAUGUAACAACAAAUAUUUAUCAUGUAUUACACAAUAAAUAUGAAAUAAAGGCAAAAAUAUUACCUACCAAUAAAAACUGAUAUAAUAAUAAAAACUAUAGAUCAUAAAAUAAAAUAAAGCAAAAAUAUUACCUUAGGAGAUAUGCUCAAAGUCUAGCAAAGAUGGAAGGUGAAAAACUGAGAAGUAAAAAUUUGACUUUCAAGUGGGAAGAGGGGGAAAAUGUAAGUAAAGAAGUUCGAAGGUGAAAAUUAGAAAGAAGAAGUUUGAAGGUGAAUAUUAGAAAGAAGAAGUUUGAACGUGAAAAUGAGAAUGAAGAAGAUAAUUUAUAGUGUAUGAGAAGUUGAAAAAAGGUAUGAUGAGUGGUUAAAGUUUGAUAGCAAACGGUAUUCUUCAAAAUAGCAAACGGGCUAGUUAUGAUAGCAAAUGGGCUAGCUAUGAUAGCAAACGGGUUAGCUACUAUGAUAGCAAACAGUCUUGUUCAAAAUUAAUUUUUUUUUUUUUUGUAAAUGGUAAAUUAAUUUUUUUUUAAUGGGAAAUCGUAUCUUCAAGAGACGAUUUCCCUUUUGGGAAAUUUGUUUUUAAAUUAGUUUGGAAAAUAUAUAUAUAUUUUUUAAAAUGGUAAAUUAAAAUUUUUAAGAGAUGAUUUCCCUUUUGGAAUUUUUUUUUAAUUAGUUUGGAAAAUAUAUUUUUUUAAAUGGGAAAUUAAAAUUUUUUUUAAGGGAAAUUUUUUAUUUUUUUUUAAAUGGUAAAUUAAAAUUUUUUUUAAGGGAAAUCGUCUCUUCAAGAGACGAUUUCCCUUUUGGAAAUAUAUAUAUAUAUAUUUUUUAAAAAAAUUAGUUUGGAAAAAAUAUAUAUUUUUUUAAAUGGUAAAUUAAAAUUUUUUUAAGGGAUCCCUUUUGGAAUUUUUUUUUAAAAAAUUAGUUUGGAAAAUAUAUUUUUUUUUAAAAUGGGAAAUUAAAAUUUUUUUUUAAGGGAAAUCGUCUCUUCAAGAGACGAUUUCCCUUUUGGAAUUUUUUUUUUUAAAAUUAGGUUGGAAAAAAUAUAUAUAUUUUUUAAAUGGUAAAUUAAAAUUUUUUUAAGGGAAAUCGUCUUUUCAAGAGACGAUUUCCUUUUUGGAAAUUUUUAUUUUUAUUUUUAAAUUAGUUUGGAAAAUAUAUAUUUUUUUUUAAAUGGGAAAUUAAAAUUUUUUUUUAAGGGAAAUCGUCUCUUCAAGAGACAAUUUCCCUUUUGGAAUUUUUUUUAAUUAGUUUGAAUUUUUUUUUUAAAUGGUAAAUUAAAAUUUUUUUUAAGGGAAAUCGUUUAUGCAAGAGACGAUUUCCCUUUUGGAAUUUUUUUUUUUUAAUUAGUUUGGAAAUUUUUUAAAUGGUAAAUUAAAAUUUUUUUAAGGGAAAUCGUCUCUUCAAGAGAUGAUUUCAGAGACGAUUUCCCUUUUGGAAAUUUUUUUUUUUAAAUUAGUUUGGAAAUUUUUUAAAUGGUAAAUUAAAAUUUUUUUAAGGGAAAUCGUCUCUUCAAGAGAUGAUUUCCCUUUGAAUUUUUUUUUAUUUUCAUUUAUUUUUUUAAAAUCGUCUUUUCAAAAGACGAUUUUGGUUAAAAAAAAAAUAAUUAGCAUGCCUCUCUAUCCUACCUGGCAAAAACUACCAUAUACUUGGAAUAACUUUUUCUGCUACGAUAAUUUAAGAAUAAUUUUUUUUAACAAAUAAUCCAAAAUUGUGCAGAUACAUCUAAAAUAAAUGACUGACUCCAAAAAAAAUCAAUUUUUUCACCGAUAAAAGCAAGUUUAGCCAUCACGACCCAUGUGAAAAAUGCAGUCCACAAGUACAUUUCAAGUCAAUAAAUUAUUUUAGGACAAUUGUGUUUUGGGCCUAGCUAGAUCCAAAAAUUAAGUUUUGCUCCAUAUAAGUUGCAUAAUUGAAGGAAAAGAUAUAAAAUAUGAAAAGACUAAUAUACAUUUUAAAACUAUUUUCUACCACAAUAUUUGACAAACAUUUUUAUCUUAAUUUUUUUUUUAACAAUUAUUCUAAAAAUUUAUUAUUUUUAGAAAAAUAAUUUUUUUAAAAAUAUAUUCUAAAAAUAUAUCAUUUAAAAAUAAAUAAAUUUGACAUAUUUUUAGCUAUUUUUUAUAUACACAAUUUUUAAAAUAUAUAUUUUCCAAGAUAAUAAUAAUAAUAAUUUAUUUUUAUUUUUUGGAAAAGGGUAUAUUUUUUUUCAAAUCACUAAAUUAUAUUAUAUUUUAUUGAGGUUUACAAAAGAAAUAAAAUUUAAAUUAAUAUUUUUCUACUUUUUUUUUUCAUAACGAGCAAAUGUUAUUUUUCGAAAAAUAAAAAGUUCAUAUCCUUCUUCUCAAUUUUCACACUUUCUCUAGGUCUUAGGCUUAAAUGGUGAACUUAUAUAGACCAAAGCUUAAUUUUUGGGCCCAAAACACAAUUGUCCCAAUUAUUUUGACUUAUUUUAACUCUUUUAUAAAUGGUUAAAUAAUUUAUAAAUAUAUAAAAUUUUAACUAAUUUUAAUUAUAUUUAAUUUAUUUUCAUACUUUUUAUAAUAAAAUCAAAGAAGAUACUAUAAGAUUUUCCUCAAUUAUAAACUUAAUACAACAAAAAUCAUUUAUUCUUUUAAUGAUUUCUACUUUUAAAAAUCAUUUUGAGGCCGCAUUUUGGUUUUUUUUUGUUCCCGAGGUUAGAAACAUAUAAAUAGAGAGCUCCAUUUCAUUUAUGAGCAAGAGAAUACCUUCAUUUAUUUGUUUACUUACUUGUUCUUACCUUAAAAACUCUCAUUCUUUUCUUGGUGCAUUAAAUCUCCAUUUGCAUAUUCUUUAGUGCACCUUUGUGAUUCAUCCUAGCCUUGAGUUGUAUUUGAGCCAUUGUUGAGCUAGGUUGAGAAACUUAAACUUAUUAUUUGAGUGAUAAAGCCUUCAAGUGAGUUGAGAGUUGAAGAAAUUGUGUAAGAGCCCAUUGGAGUCGGAAUCUAAGUGUAGAGGUGAUUAGAAACUUGGUUGAAGUUUCAAGUUAGUAGAACCCUUACUCAUUUAGGAGCUUGAGAAGAGUGGACGUAGGCAAGGAAGUGCCGAACCACUAUAAAAUAUGAGUUUUAUUUCUUUAACCUUAUCUCUUUAUAUUUGCUCCUUUUGUACUUAAAUUUGUUGUAUUUAAAAAGAUUUUUUAAAUCCUAAUUCACCUCCCUCCCCUCCCUCUUGGGCGUUUUCUCAUUUAAGAUUAGCCUUUAUUUUCUCAAAUAUAUUUUUUUAUAUUUUAGCUUUACUUAUUCACCAUAACAAAUUAAUAAUUGACUUUUUAAUAAGCUUGUGAAACUAAUGUAUUAUUGAUUAGCAAAUUUAAAGAAUAAAGAAUUAAAUUUUAAACCCAAAAUUUAAGUAAGGGUAAAAUGUAUUUGUGAUAUCCUAUAUUAGAUAAGGGAGAAAUUUACUCAAACUAUAUAAGUAUGAACUCCUUUUAACCAUGUAGAUGUGUUUUAAACCCGCCCUUAGAUCCAGAAUAAUAUCUACAUGAUUGCGUUGUUACAAUUUCUCAAAUAAAUUUUAUUCUAAAAAAUAAGUGAAAAUUAUUACAUUCUUAAAAAUCAAGCAAGCUUUGAAGAUUUCUACACGAAUAGUGGAACUUUUAUGAUCCAAUCUAAAAUCGUUCCUCAUAUGAUACAGGGACAACCAAUAUCAACAUAUCUCUCAAUGUCAGGUAUCCAGAACUUUGUCGACAAAGGGGCCACCAACAUAUCAUCAAAAACAUCCUAAGAUAUAAUCCCCUUAAAGACUCUCAUUUGCUUCAUUCUUUGCUUAAAAUGGUCCAUAUGAGAGUAAGAAUCCUCAAUGACAGGAGCUAGUGCGUUGAUGGAUGGAACAAUAAUGGUCUGAUUGUGUAAAGUAAUAGGUGAGGUCUAUGGAGUUGGUAUCUGAGAGGUGGAGGUGGUGAUGUACUAAAUCAUAUGGUGUACCCUCAAGCACUACCUGUUUGCUAUGUUGACUAUCAAUCUUCUGACCCAAAUUGACCAAUGCCUUAUGAAUCACUGACAUAGCUGUGGUAAACUGAUCAACUAGAAUUGACGGUGGAUCCAUUUAGAGCAACUAAUGAUAUAUCGAUUUUGGUCAUCCCAAAAACGAUAACCAAACUCGGUGUCACCAUAACUAAUAAAGAAACAUUUCCUAGAUUUCGGAUCAAGUUUACUUCUAGCGACAACAUCAAUAUGAACAUAAGAAAGACAACCGAAUACUUUAAAAAAAAAAAAAAAAAGGUUUACCUUUUUGUCACUCUAAACCUCUUCAAGUAUUCUACAAUCCAAAGGAACUUAUAAACCGUAAUUGAUCAAGUAAAUCGCAGUAUUAACUGCAUUAGCUUAAAAUGUCUUGGACAAUCUUGCGUGAAUUCUCAUACUCCUUGCACACUUAUUUAAGUUCUUAUUCAUCAUUUCAACCACACCAUUCUAUUGAGGUUUUCCAAGAAUAGUUUUUGUCAUCUUGAUCUCAUUCUCAGUGCAAUACCACUUGAAAUGCAUUCUCCCCAUUAUCAAACUCAAUCACUUCACUUUUAAAUUCGUCUCAUUCUCAACUAUGACCUUCCACUUUAAUUUUAAAGGUAUCAAACACAUCAAAUUUAUUCUUUGGAAAAUAAACCAAUAUUUUCCUAGUUGAGUCAUCAAUGAAUGUCGCAUAAUAGUUGGAUCUUCCAAGAGAGGCUGCAGUUUAAGGGGCCCAGACAUUUGUAUGAACCAAUUCCAAUUUUUCUUCUUUCAACUCCUUGCUAACUUUGGAGAAGCUUACCCUCUUUGGUUUUUAGAAAAUGUAGCUCUGCAUAAUUUGUCCUCAACAGAUGUCAACCUUGGCAAUUUCCCUUUUGAUAUGAGUACUUUCAUUCAUUUUUCACUCAUGUGUUUGAGCUUACAAUGCAAAAAAAUUGAAUUAGCAUUACUGUCAAUAACAUAAACCAUAUCUCUGCAACUAGAUUUCAUGUAUAGAGUUCCAAUUUUGUUCCAUUGCGCAAUAACCAUGGCACCUUUCAUGACCUUCCACACACCACCGGUGAAGGUCACAUUAUGUCUUUCAUCAUCAAUUUGUCCUAUUGAAAUAAGAUUACACAUCAAUUUUGGUAUAUGUCUUGCCUUAUGAAUCUUUCACACAUAAUCGUUCAACAUUUUUAUAUGGAUGUCUUUAACACCCACAAUAUCCAAUGGUUAGCCAUAUGCCAAAUACACCUUCCUAAAAUUUCUAGAAACAUAGUUCUCCAUUAUUUCAUGGUGUGCAAUUGUAUGGAAAGAUGCCCUUGAGUCCAAAACCUAAGAAUCAAUAGGACUGUCAACUGAUAGAAGUAAUGCAUCAUGUAUCUCUUCAAUGAUUUCAUUCGCAACAUCAACUAUGUUUUCUUCCUUCUUUUUCAAUGCUAUAUAAUGAUUCUUUAUGUGACUUGUUUUCCCAUAGCUCCAACACUUCACAUUUCACUCAGAUCUUGAAUUACUUCUUCCAUUCCUUGACUUUGAUCUACCUUUAUUUCGAUGUUGACACUUUACUCGAAUAAAUUCUCUAAACCUCCUCAAUAAGAAUCCGAUCCUUAACAUCAUUAAACUUCAACUUGGCACUUCCUAUAGAGUUAUUAACUAUUGCCCUCAUGGGCUCCCAACUAUUUGGUAGAGAUGCCAAAAAAAUUAAAGCAUGAACCUUAUCAUUGAAAUCAAUUUCAACUGAUGAUAGUUAAUUAACAAUCAUGUUGAACUCAUUGAGAUGUGUUGCCACCAAAGAAUCUUCUUCCAUCUUUAAAUGAAACAAUUUCUUUAUGAGAAAUACCUUAUUAUUUGCAAAUGACUUCUCAUACAUAUCGGGCAAUACUUUCAUCAAUCCCAUGGUCGAUUUCUCCUUUGCCACGUUAUGAGCAACAUUCUUUGACAGUGUCAACCAAAUAACUCCUAACACCUGUCUAUCAAGGAGAUAAUAAUCAUAGUCCAACAUCAUUUUUGGUUUCGUUCCCAAAAAAGGUAAAUGAAGCUUUUUACGUUUAGAUAAUCUUCAAUUUGCAUUCUCCAAAAAGCAAAAUUUGUACCAUCAAACUUCCUGAUUCCAUGUGUCAAACCAUCUUCGCCAGCCAUCACUCUUAAUCACAACCAAAAGCUUUGAUACUAGUUGUUAGGAUUAAAACACCCUAAUCAUAUUUUUUGAAAUUGAUAAUAAAUGAAUGCGAAAAACUAAAGCACAAGAGCACAUGAGAUUUAUAGUGGUUCACUCUCAAUGUGAGAGUUAAGUCCACUUAUAGCUGUUGUAAAUUUUCACUAUGAUGAAAAAAAAAAUUACAAGAGGAUCAUAAACACCUUGUCCUCUAGGUUUUUCUCUUUGCGUUUUUCUAUCUUUCUUAAUUGCAUAAACAAACUCACCAAGUCGGCUACCUUGUAUAUGACAAAAUUAGACUAAUCAAAUUAUUUAUAUAAAAUCCCUAAAAUACCCCAACUUAAAAUACCCUUACAAAAUUUCGUGCAAUCCGCGUGUUGUCUCUGCAUAGGAUCAAUCUACAUUAGGGCAAACAUCAUCAAGAUAAUAAGUAGGUUUCAAACAUCUUAAUACUAGGAACUAUCACUAAUGUAAAGUGUAAGCACUACUUAAGCUCACCUAAACCACUUUACUAUCUUCAAGGUUACCCUUUCUUGAAAAUCCCCUAGUGCCACUCAUUUCUUUUGACGUUCUUGCUGACACAACCAACCACCCUAAAGCCAUUUCUAACCUAUGAACUCUAACCCUCUUGGUUAUAGUCUUAUAGAGGACCAUGCAGUGUGAAUAAUUUUGGGAAAAAAUUUAAGGAAAAAAUAAAAAAAUUAUAACAUUAGAAUUUAGGGAUUUUGGGGUUAAUCUUCAUUGGUCAUGAGUUGUUGAAGAAAGAAAUUAAGAAAAAUGAGAAAAAGAGUCUAAUUUAAACCAUGUUUGGUUCCUAGAAAAUUUGUAGGAAAAUAUAAAAGAAAAAAAAUAGAAAAGCAAAGCAAAAGGAAAAAUGAGGCUAAUAAAUUAUUUUUAUAUACCACUUCAAACGUAUUUAACCUAUUUUAGCUCUUUUACAUAAAAAAAAAAUGAAAUAAUUUAAAUAUAUAUAAAUUUUAACUAAUUUUAAUCAUAUAAAAUUUUCUUUUAUAUAUUAUUUAUUUAUUUGUUUAUAAAAAAUAACAAAAGAUGAGAAAAUAUUCUCUCUUAAUUUUAUAUUUUUCAUGAGAACCAACACUUUUAUUGAUAGAACUUCUAUAAAAAAAUAUUUUUGUAAAGAAUCAAUUAUUAUUUGAAUAUAAACUCAGUUUUUUUUGUAAUAUUUUUGGUAAUAUAUUACCUAGUAAUAAGUGAUCUUUAGAAAAAGUAUUAAUUCGAGGUUAGGCCAAGAAUCAUUUAAACUGUUUUGCUAGGAUUUUAAAGCUUUUAAAAGUCAGAUGUUUAGAAAAGUUUUAGAAGCUCUAAUACUUUUCUAAAUGCAAAAGUAUUUUUUUUAAGAGAAACAUUUUUAAUUAUUAGGGAACUAUUUUGACUUUCCUCAAUGAUAUAAUUAAACUAGCUCUUAAUCCAAAGCUAAUUUUGAGAAAGGGUUAAGUAAACUUUUGUAUAAGUUUUUUGUUGAGAUCGACUACUCAAAAACCAAAUAAUCACAAGAAAGGUCAUUUUUGUUUGACUAAAAGCCCGAAUAGGGUAAUUGUAAUUUCAUAACUAGAUAUAAUUUUCACUUGGUAAUUUUGGAAAUUUCAUUUAUUUAUUGAAGGAAUCUUAUAUCUUUAUUCUAUGUUUGGUACUUGAAAAAUUUGAGGGAAAAUGUAAAGAAAAGAAUAGAAAGAAAAAAUAUAAGAAAAUUAAAAAUUAAAAAUCAAAGUUAAUAAAUUAUUUUUUACAUGCUUCUUUAACUCAUUUUAUUUAGAAAAACCAAAUAAAUUAAUUUAAAAAUAUAAAGUUUCUAACUAAUUUUAAAAAUAAUGUUUUUUUACAAACCAAUUGUUAAAAAUCAUUGUUCUGUUUGGUUUUAAAAAAUUGGUGAGGAAAGGAAAAAAAUUAUUGACUAAAAUAAAUUUUUCAUAGUUGAUUUAUUAGUAAAAAAUAUGAAAGAAAAUAAUAUAACUAAAACUAGUAAAAAACUUAUGCAUUUUUAAAUUAUUUGCAGAACAAUAAAAGAAAGUUAAGGAAAGAAAAAAACUAUUAAGUUUAUACUUGGUUUUUAAAAAAUUUACAAAAAAUUCAAAAGAAAAUAGAGAGGAAAAGAAAAAAAGUAAAAUAAAAGUACAUUUCAAGCCAAUAAAUUAUUUUUACUUAUUUUAACUCUUUUAUAAAAUAUUAAAUAAUUUAUAAAUAUAUAAAUUUUUAACUAAAUUUAAUUAUAUUUAAUUUAUUUUCAUACUUUUAUAACAAAAUCGAAGAAGGUAAUAUAAGAUUUUCCUCAAUUAUAAACUUAAUACAACAAAAAUCAUUUUUUUCAUGAUUUCUACAUUUAAAUUUAAGUGUUAAAUAUACCUUCUUCAACCAUUGAUAUGUUUUAUAAUAUCUUCUAUCACAUUUAAAAUCUAACACUUGGACUUCAAAUUGCUAAAAUCCAAUACUUUAUCCUCCAAAUUUAUUAAAAAGCAAUAUUUUGCUCCCAAUUACAAAUUAUCCAUAAAAUUAUAAAAGGUAUUGUUUUUUUUUCCUUUUUAUUUGCACUGAGAGAUUGAAAGCUUUGAAGUGAAAAUUUUCGAACACUUUCAAAAUACAGUAACCACUAAUUUUGAUUUUUGGUUAUAAAAAAAUGUUCAUAUGACUAUUCGUGAUUUUUACAUGCAACUAUGAAAUAUAACAAUUUUAAUACUUUUCAUUAGGUUUUAAGUAUAAUAAAUUAUUAAUUAACUUUUUAACAAGCUUGUGAAGCUAAUGUAUAAUUGAUUAGUAAAUUUAAAGGAUAAAGGAUUAAGUUUUGAACCCAAAAUUUAAGUAGGGUCAAAUGUAUUUGUGAUAUCUCAUAUGGGACAUGAGAGAAAGUUAACGGGAUUAUGUAAAUAUGGUCUCAUCUUAGAUCAAGAACGAAAAAUAUCUACACGAUUUGAUUGUUACAAUUUCUCAAAUAAAUUUUAUUCUAAAAAUUAAGUGAUUAUAUUCUUAAAAAUCAAGCAGGCUUGUGAAGAUUACUACAUGAACAGCGGAACUUUUAUCAUCCGAUCUAAAAUUCUUUCUCAAAAUGAUUUCAUCGGUAUAAUGAGACAAAAAAUAAAAAAUAAAAAAUAAUUUUUAUUUUAUUUUUUUAUAUAGCUAAAACAGAUAAUACAAUUGGGAAAGUUUUUUUAUAUGCAAAAAAACAAACAACACAAUUCGGAAACGCAAUCGGCGGAGACAAGAAGGAGGCCUCACAAACAAAAUAUGAAAGAAUCAGUGGAGGACGUCGUCGCUUACGUCUGGACCCAGGCUUAGCCGCCGGGGGUCAUUAUAAAUUAUGCCUCAGACCCACUCCUACCCCACUCAUAAGUGAGAGAGAGAUAAGGAAGGAGAGUGAAAGGAAUAGAAAUGGGUUGGAAAGGUGUUCUAGGGUUCGAAUACGGCGUAGUUCAGGCGCCGCUGGGUCCCGACAUCUCAGGCCCGGAGCUCGUUGCUGCUGUUGCUAAUGCCGGCGCUAUCGGCUUCCUCAGGGCUCCUGAUUGGGUUCGUUCUUCCUUUCCCUUCAUCUCUCUUUAUUUGUUGCAAAUUUUGGUAUGAUUCAUGAAGAUGAGCCCUAGUUGUGCAGAGUAUAAUUGCAUUUAGAUGAAAUUUGUAUUUGCCUAUACAUUUCAUUUAAUAUAUAAGCACUUUUGGAAUCAACCUUCAUAAGAUGGAUUUGUUUUUUAAAAUAUUGAGUUAAAAAAAUGUUUUUCAAACCAAAUCCAAACUUAUUUUAAAUAAAAAAUUUGGGUAACUUUUAGAAACGUUUUUAAAGAGGUUCAGUUCUUAUUUUUAAAAAAUAGAAAAUAAUAGUAACUUCUAUAUAAAAUACAGAACUCUUUCCUAUAAAAAAAAUUACUUUAUAUCCUUAAAAGAUUAUUUUUAAAUAUUUUAAAACUUAAGAAAGUAAAAACUUUUUAAUAUCUCAAUUUUUAUUUAAAUAAUUUUUUAAAAUAAUUACUUUCAAAGAGUUCUUAUGUUUCAUAUAUAUAUAUAUAUAUAUAUAUAUAUAUAUAUUGAAAAAGGCUAAAAGCAUUUUUUAAUAUUAGAAAAUAUUUUCUUAUAAAAAUUAGGUAUUUGAUAUAUUUUUUAAAACCACUUUUAAAAACGUAAAGAAUCAUUUAAACUAAUUCAUGGAUAAUCAUUAAAUAAAUAAUUCUUCUAAACAUAGUGUGAUGAGUGGUGUGUAUAAGGCUGGCCUGAGAAAGAAUUCACUGUCGUAUAUUUGAUCGGUGAUUACUAACGAUUCCGACUUUACGCAGUUGAGUUAUAACAUGCAAUCUGAAUUAUGUUCCAAAACUAGUAAUUCCUAUUAUCUUUUUCUUUAUAAAUCCUUUGAAUGUAAGAAACUUGAAACAUUUUGAAGAUAAAUAUCAAUUGAUAUAAUCAAUAUGCUUUUUUUUCUUUUUCUUUUUUAAUGAAUUCUAUUAAAUAUUAAAUUAAAGAUAUAUAUGUGAAAACAAUCUUAGGCUAUGUUUGGUUCCCGGAAAGUACAAAGGAAAGAAAAAAAAUGUUAAGGAAAAUUAUUUUCUCAUGUUUGGUUGUCCUAUGAAAAAUAUCAAAGAAAAUCAAAUAUAAUUAAAACUAAUUAAAAACUUAUGUAUUUUUAAAUUAUUUAAUCUUUAUAUUGAUGAGUUAAAAUAAAUAAAAUGAGUUUGAAGUAACAAAAAAAAAUAAUUUAUCAACUUUUAAUCUAUUUUUUUAUUUUCCUUCACUUUUUCUUUCCUUCUACUUUUCCUUUAUAUUUUCUUUCCCUCGUAUUUUCCCUCAAAUUUUCCGGGAACCAAACAUAGCCUAUAGGUUUGCACUUUUAUCCAUCUCUCUCUCUCUCUCUCUCUAUAUAUAUAUAUAUAUAGACACACACAAUAAUUACUUAUUUAGUGAUUCUAUAAGUUUUUAAAUUUUAAAAAAUUGAUCAAACAUCUAAUUUUUUACAAGAAAACAUUUCAAAUGAUUAAAAAAUGCUUUUAGCUUUUUUCAAAAUCACUUUCAAAUAGAAUUAUGGAACUAAAUUUUAAAAAAGUUCUUAAAAAUAAAUAUUAAUUUUGAUUUUUUUUUUCUAAAAAAAAAAUUUAAAUGAACAAAAAAUCUACUUUAAUUGUAUUUUGUAUUUUCUCGAACAUGUAUGAUCAUGUUUGAAAAGGUGGGAUUCACGGCACAAACAUGCAUGUCCCCAAUCGGUCUGUAUUGGUUGAGCCUAGAUCCUAUUCUAAGGCCCAGUACAACAACUUUGGAUAACUUCUCUUUAUUGGCUGGGCCCAGCCCUAUUUUUAGGCCCAAAAGGCCUUUUCUUUUGGGCCUAACAGAAAAUACACCCCAAAUUGGACUGCUAUAUUUUAUUUUAAAACUAUAAUUUAAAUUAAUUUAUCGACGACCAGGGUGUGUAGGGAAUGUACUAUCCUUGAAAUAGAUCCGCCCUUUAAGAGUUGGUCACGUGCAAAAAAAAUGACUCUAGUCUUUAGUAUCUAAUAGCCAAUUUUUCGAUACAUCCAAAGACUAGCAAUAAUAACAAACCAAAACUCCAAAUUUUGAUUAUAAUUUUAAUAUUUAUUAUUGAAUUUUUGUACUAAAAAAAAUAAUCUAAAAAUAAGACUUAAUUUAGAAAACAACAAAUAUUAUCAAAACAUUUCAGAUAAUAAUAUACAUAGCCUUGGUUUUGAAUUUGGGGCUCAAAUUUGAAACUAUUAAUCAAAUUAACUUUUUUUUUUCUUUAAAUUAGCCAUGGGAUCUUAUUUUUUUAAAAUUUACUUGUACACAGGAGACACCGGAUUACUUGAGGGGGCUGAUAAAGAAGACUAGAACAUUAACUGAUAAACCUUUUGGGGUGGCUGUUAUCCUUGCAUUUCCCCAUGAGGAAAAUAUGAAGGCCAUACUGGCUGAGAAGGUAGCAGUAUUGCAGGUCUCCUGGGGUGAUGUCAGGGAGGAGCUUGUACAUGAAGCUCAUUGUGCUGGGGUCAAGGUUGUUCCCCAGGUGAGUGCAUUAUAUACCGAUAUAAAAAAUAGUAAUUGAUACUAUGAUACUAUGUUGAACUACUGAUUUGAUCCAAAAGUUUAAGCUGUUAGGUAAUAGACUAAACUGAUCAUGGUGAAAAGAAUGCAUCAAGGAAAAUGCCUUUGAUUUCCAUUGAUAGUUCUAGGAUAGACCCCUUGAUGGGGUCUAUGCUGGCUGUCCAAUAUUAGUAUUGUUCUUGAAAAACCGAUAAGUAGGGCUGCAUAUGGCUGAGAAUCAUCAAAAUUCUAAUGAGCAACAUGUAUUACUAUUACAGGUUGGGAGUUUUGAAGAAGCGAGAAAGGCAAUUGAUGUGGGUGUAGAUGCAAUUAUCGUCCAAGGACGCGAAGCAGGAGGUCAUGUAAUUGGUCAGGUGUGAGUUGUUUGACAUUGCUAUCAUUUCUUGUUCUCAAAUUAUUAAUGUAUUACCAUGCAAAUACAAAGCUCUUGUAGCUUAUUGGUAAAAUUAACGAUAAAUUCCUAACACUCUCAGAAUCACAUUUGGCAGAUACUUCACAUUAUGGCUCGAGUAUUUGCUGCUAAUCUUCUACAAGGAACUGAUGUUUCAUAAAUUGAUCCACAUUCAUGCUUCCUUGACCUUUAGAAUCUGCUAAGUAUAUCUAAAGAAAUUGAUGAAUAAAUGAGUUGUUGGAAAUGCACAAUGGAGUUCAUCUCUUUUUAUAAUUGAUCUACUCAUGUAAUUUAUGCCAUGCACAAAUGAUGUGAAACAUUUACAAAUCGUCACCUUUGCAAUGAUCAUACACUGAUAAUCAAUAUUAUGCAUGAAGAACUAGAUCAAUAAUGUGAUAUUUGAGUUUGAUAAUCUCUCUAUAUACUAUUGGUACCAUAACAAUCAUGUUCAAUUAUUUUCAGGAUGGAUUGAUUUCGCUGUUGCCACGAGUAGUUGACCUUGUUGGGGAUCGAGACAUACCGGUAAUUGCUGCUGGGGGUAUUGUUGAUGAGCGUGGAUAUGUUGCUGCUUUGGCUCUUGGUGCCCAAGGCAUCUGCCUAGGCACAAGGUAUAUAUAUUUGUAAGACUAUCUUUGAAAUGCUAAAAUAGAGAACGAAAAUAGGAAAUCCAUUUCAUUUUUUAUUCAUUAUGGUGUUUAGAUUACCAACAACCACUCUUAUUAGGAUUUUGAUUUUUUUUUCUCUACGUGGUAUUGUCUAUUCCUGUGUACCAAACAUGCCCUAGUGUUGUGUCCAGGGGCUUACGUAACUUUUUAGGCUGAGUUUAGAAGGGGGAUUUGAGACCUUACAUUGAUACUGAGGAAAAUGACUUCACACUGAACCCUUUUUAUGAACAUGGAACAAAAGGAUUCAUGUUAGCCUUCAAAUGCUAUGGAAAGGAAAAUGUAUUGAUUUCAUGUCUGCAUACUAUUCAAGCCCCAACCUUUCUUGACUUGCCAACUAUGAUAUGAUCUUGCACUGUAGGAUCAGAUUUUGUUUUUGAGAUAGGAAUUGAUAAAAAUUAUCCAUUUUUAGGCCUUUAGUUCAACAAAAUAUUCGACAUACGUUAUUGAUCUUACCUGAAACCUUAAGCUUUUGGGUCAAACUGAUAGUUUAACAUUGUAUCAGAACCCUAGUUUUGGGGAGAUUAUCAAUUUGAAUCUCAAUACUUUUUAAUUUUCCUGACUUAUUGAAUUCACAUGUAAGUCAGGUGAAGUGUAGACCUUAGUAAAAGUAAGUUGGCUUGAUAUUCUAUGUUAUUAACUCAUUAUCUAAAGCUUUUAUGAUAAGGGUUAUCAAGUAAUAAACUGUGUAGGUUGAUUACGAAACUAGUUUCUUAGCAUGAUAUUCCUAUAAUGAUUUAGUUUGAACUUCCAAAAAUUGGAUUAUCAAUCACAAUUGCAACAAAUACUCAUAAUUUUACUUCUGUUUCCACCCGAUUCUUUUCAUAUAUACACCUUUAUGGUCAUAUGCUAUAGACAUUUGUAAAUUAAAUGCAUGUUGCAGGUUUGUGGCAACGGAGGAAAGCCAUGCGCACCCUAUAUACAAGAGAAAGUUACUUGAACUUGAUGAAACCGAGUACACAAAUGUAUUUGGCCGGGCGAGGUGGCCUGGUGCGCCACAACGUGUUCUAGAAACACCCUUCUUCAAGGAUUGGAAAUCCCUUCCUGCUCAUGAAAGUGAGAUCAAUCAACCGCUCAUCGGUCAUUCAACGAUAAAUGGCAUGGUGAGGUUCUUCUCUUUGUACUUAGCAAAACUCUUUUUGGACUGAUUUUGUUGUGUGAAAUAUAGGGUUGAGGUUUCAAGAAUUGAACUAAAAUGUGUCUUCUAGUUUAAUCUUACACUUUUAAGGAAGGAUUUUUUGACAACGGUUUUUAAAAUGUCCAUUAUACCCUUACGCCUAAGGGUUCCACUUGUAAAGUAAAUCCUCUUUGUAUAAACAAUGAGUUUGCAUUGAACACAAAUGUGAGCGGUUUCGAUCUAAGAUCCUAUCUUUCAUGUUUCCGUUCCCAACAGGAAAAAGAUAUUCGCCGUUUCUCGGGUACCGUUCCAAAUAGGACAACAACAGGUGAUAUUGAGAGCAUGGUGUUGUAUGCAGGCGAAGGUGUAGGCCUCAUCAAGGAGAUUCUGCCUGCAGCUGAAGUGGUAAAGAGGCUAGUUGAAGGAGCUCAACUUCUCAUCCACCAACAGUUUGGUGGUCUAAAAUCCAAGGAUGAGGUUGCCUAAGUACUUGUUUAGUGCGAAGUAGAGACCGUACAAAGAAUAAAUGCUUAAGAGUAGUUACAUCAACUCAUCCCACAUCGAAGCUACUCUCUUUAUAUUGGAUCCGAAUAAAUUUUGAAGCGAUUAUUCACCAUUUUCUUCCUUGUGCAAACCGUAAAAUUCCAAAGAAUUUGCCUGAAUUUCAAUCUUAAGUCACUACAUUAGCCUUGACAGUCGAUGUUCUUGAAUGUUAAUUUCUCGGGUAAAUUUUGAAAUUUUGUUUGGAUGAUAAAAGUAAAGAAAAGCUUCGGAUAAUGUAUCCAUAGAAUUUUUCAUUUCGAUCAUUAAAAGUAUAUGAUAAAAUUUAUAUAAUUAAAUGAUGGUAUAAAUAAAAGGAUCAAAGCAUAAAGAAUACGAAAAUAUAAAAAAAUGAGAGUAAGGUUAAGGACAACAGGAAAACACUUGAUACAAGAAAAUAAGAUCUAAAUGUAUAUUUGACUUUUUGAUAUACACCGAAUCGAUAUUGUAAUACCACUCUAAAAGUAAUUAUUGGAAAAAAGAGUAAAAAAAAAUUCCAAAUUUUUUUAUUUGAUUUACUUGAAAAAUAAGCAAAACAAAAUACCAAAAACUAUUAAAAAUAUUAAUUAUACCAAAGAGAAAAGAACGUAAAUAAAUUUAAAUAAAUUCUACACUUUUAUUGUUUUUAUUGUAUCUUUAUUUUUCUUUUUCUCUUGUAUUUUUUCUUACACUUCUAAAUCCAAAUUAUUUGCAAUUUCUUGCUUGAAAUGUUUUAUCUUGUUAAUAUUAUUUAUAAAAAUAAAAAUAUUUAUUUAUGUGACUUUUUGGAGAAACAAAUAAAUAGAUGAAAGUUGUAACAUCAUUAAUUUUAAAUUGAUUUGGUGGCAAUUGGGCAUUGAAUUAGAAAUUAAUUACCUUUAUCAAAAAGAGAAUUGCCUUUUCAAUUUUAGAUAUUCGUAUGAUUACAGAUAUGAAUUAAGUUGGCCUUGACCUCACUUGGGCCCUCAAUCGUGGCUUGGGCUUGGGCUACUAAUUCUAUAUGAAUUGUUGUCUUUCUAAUUAUCUAUACUCCCUAUAAAUGUACGGGGUGUUUGUGAACUUUUUCUUUCCAAAAUUAUCAUUAAUCACAAAAAAAAAAAAAAUUACCCACACAUCUAUUAGUUAAUAUUAAUUUAAUAUGAUUUGUAUCCGUUUUAUGUUUUAUAAUUUAUUAUGUAAUGGAUUAUCCUCCCAUUAAUAAAAAUUCCUAAAUUUUAUUUUCUGAUAAAGUUUCUCCAAUAUUCUUUUUCUUUUUAGAGCCUGGCUUGAUAUCAUUCCUACAACUCCAUGAAGAUGAGGUUUGUUGUUUCUCUUAUAUAGCCUUCUGAUAUAUAUAUAUAUAUAUAUAUAGAUUGUUGAUGGAUGUUUGACUUAACCACAAACUUUGAUUUGAUUACAUUAUAUUACUAGGUGUUCUUCGUUUUGUUGUAACAAAAAAUAAUCUUGAAGUUUGAGUUAUUUGAUGUCAAAACCAAGUAGAAGGCCUUGAAGAAUGUCUCUAACAUUGCAGGUAUUAAAUAUGAUGUUUUUGUAAAAUUUACUCUAAUACCUGUUUGGUUUAUGUGAAAAUUGAGGAAUUAAAGAUAAAUAAAAGUAAAAUAAAAAUAUUUGAAUCAAGUUCCAUGUUUUAUUUUCAACCAAAAUUUUGGCUUUUCCUUCUUUUUAUAUUCUUUCACUUCAACCAAAUGGUUUAUUGAAUUCAUAGGAGAAAACUCAAUUCCUAAAUGCUUAAAAAUUACAAAAUCUAAAUUAGUAUUGAAUUGCAGUUUUAUAGAAAUUACUUGAAUCUUCGUGAAUAUGAAGGACGAUAAAUUGAUUGUGUGAAUCUUGUAAGUAUGGUGGGCAAGUUGAUUUGAGGUCAACAAGAAAAAUAUUAUACAUGUCAUGAAAAUGAAAUUUCCAUUCAGAUAUGUUGACAAUUUACCCAAAAAUAAUGUAAUGAAAAAUUUAAUUUUCUUGUAUAAUAUAUUUUUAGAUGGAAGAUGCAUUUUGUAACUCUUUGGUAUAAUGGGAAGAUGCGUUUUUCAUAAGUAACUCUUCAAUAAUGACCAUUUUCAUAUCGUAACUCCCCAAUAUAGUGGGAAUAUGUCUUGUUCACAUAGUAACUCCCUUAAUAAUGACCAUUAUUCUGGAUUAACGGUUCGUUCUCCCACCACAGUGACUAUUUCCUUCUUCUAGUUAGACUUGAUAACAAUAAUAAUAUUCAAAACUAUAAAUUAACUAUUUUAAAAUAAUUGUAUGGUUUCAUUUUAAAUAUUUUUAUAUUUUUUUUAUUAGUUUAUAUAAUAAAAAAAAAUUUGAAUCAAAUCCCAUGUUUUAUUUUCAACCAAAAAUUUGGCUUUUUCUUCUUUUCCUAUUCUUUACCAUCAACCAAAUGGUUUAUUAAACUCUUUGGAGAAAACUCAAUUCUUAAAUGCUUAAGAACUACAAAAUCUAAAUUGGUGUUGAACUAUAAUUUUCUCUCUUAUUUACUACUUACUAUGGCGGCGGAGAAUCAAAUUAUCGUUAUAUUUAUUUAUAUUUUUCUACUUCUUUUUCCAAGUGCAGGAUAAUGCCAAAGGAUUGUGGGUUAUAAUGACUUUAGUAUAAUGAGAAUAUGCCUUUUUGGAAGAUGUCCUUUUCAAAUAGACUUUUCACACCAAUGAGCAUUACUUUUUUUUUUUUUUUUUAAUAAUAAUAAAAGAUGUCUUUUCAAAUUGACCUUUUUGGUCUCCCAUCAUAAUCAGUGUUACCUUCAUGUCUUUUUCGAAUAGACUUUUCAUUCUACCACCAUAAUGAACAUUAUUUUAUAAUAAUAAUAAUAAUAAUAAUAAUAAUAGUAAUAUAUUAUUACUAUUAUUAUUAUUUAUUAAAGCUCUACAUUACCUAUUUUAAAAUAAUUAUAUGGUUUCAUUUUUAAUAUUUUUCUACUUUUUUUCUUAGUUUAAAAUAUGGUGGGCAAGUUGAUUUGAGGUCAACAAGAAAAAUACUAUACCAUGUCAUGAAAAUGAAAUUUCCAUUCACUUGUCCAAUUUAAGAUAUGUUGACAAUUUACCUAAAAAUAAUGUAAUGAAAAAUUUAAUUUCCUUGUAUAAUACAUUUUUAGAUGGAAGAUAGAAGAUGCAUUUUGUAACUCUUUGGUAUAAUGUAAAGAUGCAUUUUUUUCAUAAGUAACUCCCCAAUAAUAACCAUUUUCAUAUCAUAACUCCGCAAUAUAAUGGGAAUAUGUCUUGUACAUAUAGUAACUCCAAUAAUGACCACUAUUUUGGAUUAACUAUUUGUUUUCCCACCAUAAUGACUAUUCAUUUCUUCUAAUGAGACUUAAUAAUAAUAAUAAUAUUCAAAACUAUAAAUUAACUAUUUAAAAAUAAUUAUUUGGUUUCUCUUUAAAUAUUUUUCUAUUUUUUUGUUAGUUUAAAAUAAAAAAAUUUAAAUCAAAAUCCAAUGUUUCAUUUUCAACAAAAAAAUUUGGUUUUUUCGUCUUUUUCUAUUCCUUCCCAUAAACCAGAUGAUUUAUUGAACUCCAAGGAGAAAACUCAAUUCCUAAAUGCUUAAAAACUACAAAAUCUAAAUUGGUAUUGAACUACAAUUUGCUUUCCUAUUUACUUACUAUGGCGGCGUAGAAUCAAAUUAUUGCUAUAUUUAUUCAUUUUUCUACUUUUUUUCAAGUAUAGGAUAACCUUAAGGGGUUGUGGGUUAUAAUGACUUUGGUAUAAUGGGAUGAUGUCUUUUUGGAAGAUGUCUUUUUCAAAUAGACUUUUCAUUCUCCCACCACAAUGAGCAUUACCUUCUUCUAAUAAUAAUAAAAAAUGUCUUUUUCAAAUAGACUUUUCAGCCUCCAUCAUAAUGAGCAUUACCUUUGUAACACCCCAAAAUAAACUUUAGGGGCAAAAUAGUAAAUUAAAAAUUAAUUAAUUAAUUAAACUCAUUAAAAGUAAAAAGUCCUUUUACAAUUAAAAAUUCUAGAUAUAAAUUAGAUUUUCCUCUUAUCUUCCUUAUUCAGAAAACUCUAUUAACCAAAAAUUAGAGAAUUGGAAAAUGUAGGGUUAAAGGUUUGGAGGUCUAGAGUUUGAAGUUUAGAUUUUUUCAAGUAAGAUUCUAACCCUAGUUAAUAUUUUAUAUUUUUUAAUUAGUUUUGAACACUUUAGAUAUUCUUUAGAAUAUCUUAAUUUUGAUUAGAGUUCGUUUAAUUAAUUUCUAUAUAAAAAAGAUUAAAAAUUUAUUAACAUAGUUUGAUUUAUUAAUAGAGAUCAAUAAAUUUUCAUUACUCAAAUGAAUAGAUCUAGAUAAAAAAAAAAUUAUAUAGUUUCGAAUGUGAAAAUUACAUGAAAUUUGUGACUUUAGGGAAAAAUAAAUAAAUAAAUAAAAAUGUUGAAAGAUGCAUAGGAAGGAUUUGGCAUGUUGAAAAAAAAAAAAAGAAUCGCAUGGGGGAUUUGUUAAGUUUCAGUAGGAGAUUUAAAUAAUAGUAAUAAUAGUUUAAUGCAAAUAAAUAUUCUUAAAAGAUUUAAUUUAGAUAAGUAAGAAAAAAUAAAUAAAUUAAAUAGCAAUAAUAGUUUAAUGCAAAUAAAUAUUCUUAAAAGAUUUAAUUUAGAUAAGUUAGAAAAAAAGAAAUAAAUUAUUAUUUAGGAAGUUGAAAAUAAUAUUGAAUGGUAAUAAUAUUAAUAUGAGAAAUUAAUUAGGAUCCCUAAUACUAAAUAAAAUAUUUUUAAGAUUGUCAAAUUUAUAUAUUUAGAUAAAUAAUCAAUAAUCAAUAUUAUGCAUGAUAUUAUGUUAGGUGAGAAGUAAAUUUGUCAAGCUAAAUACUUCAAGUUUUUGAGUGCUUCUUCGAGGUAAGGGAAAUUAAUGCAAAUUUUUAUAAAAGAAAAUAAUUUCCUUUUUAUGUUGUAUUUUGAAAUGUGUAAAACUAUUAUUUUUGUCUUUUCGCAUGGAUCAAAUAUGUGUUUUGUAUGGAAAGUAUUUUUUGAGAAUUUUCUUUGUUUAUUUAUGAAAAGUGAAAAAUUGAGAAGAUAUGAUAUUUUGUUUUGUAAGUUUGAAUUAAUGAAACAAAGUGUUUGACUUUGGAUUAUAUGACCCUAGUCAACGGGUUAUAAUUGUUGACAUUUUUAUGACCCUAAUCAACAAGUUAUAAUAGUUGAUAUUAUAUGACCCUAGUCAACGAUUUAUAAUUAUUGACAUUUGACUUUGUUCACCUUAACUAGAACAUAUUUGAAACUAGUAACUCAUUUGUGAAGUCCCACCUAAUUGGGUACAUUUGUUAUUUGAUAACUAGAGAAAAAAUAUUUUGAAUGUAUUUGAUUUGGUUUUGAUGAGAAAUUGUUUUGAAAUGGAUAUGAGAAAGUUUUGUUGAAAAGUUUGAAUGUAUUAGUAUUUUGAAUUCAAAAGUUGCAAACAUGAUUGAAAAUGCUUGAUCCAUAAAACUGUACUGAUGUUUCUUAUUGAGCUUUAAACUCAUGCCCCUUCGUUGAUAAUUUUUUCAGGUACUCUCAGUUCAGGUGAGGAGUGAUGACUAGGCUGGGGAAUUUUUUCUUUAUUAGGAUUUUGGUUCAAACUUUAUUUUGAACAUUGUUUAGAUGUUAAAAUUUAAUUCCAUAUUUAAAUUAUUUGAAUUGGGAGUUAUUUGGACAAUAACACUCUGGUUGAUGUGUUAGUUUUUUUUUAAAGUUGAUACUUGAAGAUUUUAGAAUUUUGUUAUACUACUCUGAAUAGGAAUUUGGUAAUUGGUAAAUUUUUAGUUACAAUAUGAAUGUUUGUGUUGUUUCCACUUUGAGCCUUUGGGCUUGGGGUGUGAAAUGAUCGUCAUGCUAUUGGAGUGGGUUUUGGGGUGUGACAACCUUAUUAUUAUUAUUAUUAUUAUGAUUAUUAUUAUUAUGAUUAUGAUUAUGAUUAUCAUUAUUAUCAUUAUCAUUUUCAUUAUGAUUAUUAUUAUUAUUAUUAUGAUUAUGAUUAUGAUUAUUAUCAUUAUCAUUAUCAUUUUCAUUAUGAUUAUUAUUAUUAUGAUUAUGAUUAUGAUUAUUAUUAUUAUGAUUAUGAUUAUCAUUGUUAUCAUUAUCAUUAUCAUUAUUAUGAUUAUGAUUAUGAUUAUGAUUAUGAUUAUUAUCAUCAUCAUCAUUAUUAUAAUUAUUAUCAUUAUUAUCAUUAUCAUUAUCAUUAUUAUCAUUAUUAUUAUUAUUAUUAUUAUUAUUAUUUAUUAAAGCUCUAAAUUACCUAUUUUUAAAUAAUUAUAUGGUUUCAUUUUAAAUAUUUUUCUACUUUUUUCUUAGUUUAAAAUAAAACUCAAAGCUAAAGUAGUUAUUUUAAAGAAAUAAUGAUAACAUUAUAAAAGUUCAUUUUAGUUAAAUAUUAUGGUUGAGAAUAUAAUUAUAUUUUUAAAAGUGUUGUAACUGAAGUAAUGAAUAUCACCACAUUAAUUAUAAUAAAUAUUAAUUAAAUAUUAUUUAUGAUUUCCAUUAAUACUCAUUAAUAAAAACCAUUAAAUAUUUAUGAGUUCCAUUAAUAUUCAUUAAUAGGAAUAUUAAUGGAAGCCAUUUAGAAAGCCUAUAAAAGGGCUUCUCAUCCCUUACAAUAUGUACCUUCAAGUAAGAAAUAAAUUUCUCAAUUUCUCUCAUUCUCUUUAUCUUUCAUUCUCUCAAUUAUCUUCUUUGAUUCCUUUAUCCCAUUAUAUAUAUUGUUGAAGAAUAUAUAUCUUAUCUCUACUUUGAGUUGCAUUUAUCCUCGUUUUACAACACGUUAUCAACACGAAUUGCUCUGAAGGUAAUUCUUGUAUCUUAAACUUGAAGUUGUUUAUAUAAAAUAAAAUUUUACAUAUUUAUAUUGUUAGAUUUUGUUUUGUUAUAUAUUGUUAAAAGUUAUAAGCAAAUUAUUUGGUUUUGUUUAUAAUCAAAAGCUAUACCAAUACUAUCAAUUUAUUAUAAUUGAUUCUAAUAAUAUUAUUUUGUCAUAUAUAUGAAGUUAUUUGAUAAUGUUGAAUCUUAAGAGCUUGAAUUUAUGACACUUGACAUGUUAGGAAAGAACUAUCUAUCUUGGAUCCUUGAUGCUAAAAUACAUCUUGAUGCAAUGAAUCUUGGAGCUACGAUCAAAGAAGGAAAUCAAGCAUCCUUGCAAGAUCGUGCAAAAGAGCUGAUUUUCCUUCGCCAUCACCUCCAUGAAGGUUUAAAAAAUGAGAUCUUAUAGUAAAGGACCAUUUUACUCUAUGGAGUAAUUUGAAGGAAAGAUAUGACCACCAGAAAACUAUGAUUCUCCCAAAUGCUGGAUAUGAUUGGAUACACUUAAGGUUGCAGGAUUUUAAAACUGUUAGUGAAUAUAACUCUACACUUUUCAAAAUCAGCUCUCAAUUAAAGUUGUGUGGAGAAAAAAAUCACAGGAGAAGACAUGUUAGAAAAAACUUUUACUACGUUUCACUCCUUGAAUGCGCUCCUGCAACAGCAAUAUCGAGAUCGUGGAUUUACAAAAUAUUCUGAAUUAAUAUCAUGUCUUCUUGUUGCUGAACAAAAUAAUGAGCUUUUGAUGAGAAAUCACAAGUCUCGUCCAAUUGGAUCUGAACCAUUCCUUGAAGUGAAUGCAAUAUCGUCCCAAACUUCUAGAAGUGGAUGAGGACGAAGACGUGGUCGUGGAAGAAAUCCCUGAUACCAUGGUUCUUAUGGUAAUAAUUCAUCAAAUUCUCAAAAAAGGAAAGUCUCAUUGCACCAUCAAAAGUGGGAUAAUACUGAGGCAAAACAAGAAAAUGGGAAGUGUUUACAAGAUAAACCUCCUAAGAACCAUGAUAAUAAUUGUUAUAGAUAUGGUAUGAAGGGGCAUUGGUGGCGUACCUGUCGUACACCCAAACAUUUGGUCGACCUUUACAAAGCAUUAAUAAAAGCAAAAGAAAAAGAGAGAGAGAAAGAGAUGAACUUUCCUGAUGAUGAUGGAUUGGACCUACUAACCUACUAAGUCAUUGAUUUCUUUGGAGGUCUUAGUGAAAAAACAAACCAUUUAAUAAAUGAUGAGAAUAUUAACAUUGAUUGAUGUUACUUUAUGUAUCAAAUAAAUAUUAUUAUGUCUUAUAUUUAUAUCUGAUUUUCUUUUAUUAUUUACAUUAUGUCUUAUUUUUUUUUAAUAUUAGUUAUAUCUAAAAUCUAUGUGUUAUUUGGUCUCAAGAUGAAUGAGGAUGAUGUAUGUCUCGUAUACUGUGCAACCACACACACAAUUUUUCUAGAUAAAAGAUAUUUCCUUGAAUUUACAUUAAUAAAAGCUAAUGUAAGUACCAUAUCCGGUACUACAAACUUAGUUGAAGGCUCUAGAAGAACAAACAUAAUGCUACCAAAUGGAACUAGAUUCCAUAUAAAUGACACUUUAUAUUCUAGCAAAUCUAAAAAAAAUUGCUCAGUUUUAAACAUAUCCGUAGAAAUGGUUAUCAUAUUGAAACUAUGAAUGAAGAUAAUGUAGAAUAUUUUUACAUUACUUCCAUUAUAUUUGGCUAGAAGUUUAUAAUGGAAAAACUCCCAGCUUUCUCCUCUAGGUUGUAUCAUAUAACUAUAAAGCCUAUUGAAUCAUAUGUUGUCGUGAACCAGAAGUUCAACGACCCAAAAGUUUUUGUCAUUUGGCAUGACAAACUAGGUCACCUAAGGUCUUCAAUGAUGAGUUGAAUAAUCGAACACUCACAUAGACAUCCACUAAAGAACUAGAAGAUUCUUUUACCCAAUGAAUACUCAUGUGCUAUCUGCUCACAAGGUAAAUUGAUAGUCAGACCAUAUUUUAUUAAAGUCAUAUCUGAGUCACUAGUCUUUUUAAAAAGAAUACAUGGAGACAUAUGUGGGUCUAUCAAUCCACCAUGUGGACCAUUAUGUUAUUUUAUGAUCUUAAUAGAUGCUUUUACUAGGUGGUCACAUAUUUGUCUCUUUUCUACACAUAACGUUGCCUUUGCUAGACUCAUUGCACAAAUGAUUAGAUUACAAGCACAAUUUCCAUAUUAUCCAAUUAAAAUAAUACAUCUUGAUAAUGCUGGCGAAUUUACUUCUCAAACAUUAAUUGACUAUUGCAUGUCAGUGGGAAUAAAUAUUGAGCAUCCUGUUUAGAGGUGUCCAUUGGGUCGGGCGACCCAUUUUGGCUUAUGGCCUAGCACGCUAAAAGGCGGGUUGGGAUGGCAUGGCCCAACACUAUAGUAGGUUGGGUUGGCAUGACCUAAAGGAGCGGGCUGUGUAGGGUUUAAAGAAAUAGUCCGUCGGCCUACCGUGCCAGCCCAACAUGCCGACCCACCGUACCAGCCUGACAUGCCGCCCUGACGUGCCAGCCCACCGUGUCCUUUUAAAUUUUACUUUUUACUUUUGACUUUUUAUUACAUGUCAAAUGUCUAUAAUACCCCUUUCAACAACUAUAUAAUGACUAGUUUGAGGGGUAAAAAUGUAAAUCAAUAAUUAUUUUUACUUUUUUUCAUGUCAAGUGUCUAUAUUACCCCUUCCAACAACUAUAUAACAACUAGUUUAAAAGAUAAAUAAGUAAAUCGCUCACUAUUAAUAUUUUUAUGUCAAAUAUCUAUAAUACCCCUCUCAACAACUACAUAACGGCUGGUUUUAGAGGUAAAUAAGGAAAUGACUCACCAAUAUUUCUCUAUAAAUACCCUUCAUUUUAAUUCUUUCUCACAUAAUUCUUUAUUCUCUCUCUUUAUAUUGUUUACAAUUCUCUCUAAUUUCUCUUUUCAUAAUUCUCUAAAUUGAAAUUCUCUCAAGUGGUAAAAAUAUUUACUAACUCUACAAGUGCUAAAGAUAUCUACCAACUCUACAAGUGUUCAUCAUUCAUAAGGUUGAGGUAUUUAUAUUUAGUUAUUUUAUUUAUUUAUUUUAAUUCUAUAUAUUUAAUUUAAUUGUUCUCUUUAUUUUACCUUAUUUUUUUUCCUCUAAAAUUAAAAAUGGAUCCUCAUCACCUAGAUGUAGAAAACCUUGACUUUGGUAUUGAUGCAUGUAAUGAGUUUAAUCCUUUUGAAGAUGAUGAGAUUCCCACCUCCUCUAGCGUUCCUCCCUCGAACCUUCCCCAACACAAUCCUAUAAGCAAAAGACCAAGUAGAUGCACAUCUAUAGUAUGGAAUCACUUCACCAUAAUAAAUAGACAAAAUACAAGAGGAGAGAUAGAAAAUCUACCAGAAUGUAAGUAUUGUAAAAAAACAUAUAGUUGCAAAGCUAGUGGUGGCACAAGUCACCUUAAAAGAGAUGCCAAACAAUGUACCAAAAAACAUGGUGCAUUAGACCCUAGACAAUGCCAAAUAAGUCAAAAUGAAAUAGGUUACUAGUACAUCUUUAAUAACCCCCUUUAUAUACAAUCAACAAGUCCUAAGAUAAGGGUUAGCUAGAAUGGUAGCUAGUAUGGGGCUUCCAUUGUCAUUUGAAGAAGAUCCUAGAUUUGUACAUUUCAUGCAUAAGUAUGCCCAACUAGCCUAUCAUGGAAUUCCUAGGACUACUUCUCAUAAUAAUGUAAUUAAAUGUUACCUCAAUGAAAAACAAUUAAUAAUUGACGACUUUAAAAAUCAUAGUGGUAUUGUAUCUAUGACCUUAGAUAUAUGGACUAAUCAAAGUAAUGAACCUUUUACAUGUGUGACAUCACAUUAUAUAGAUUCAAAUAUGAAAUUACAAAAGAAAAUAUUAGUGUGGACCCCAUAUUUUCGCAUGAUGCGUUCCCACUCAAUGGCGUGACUCGUUUUUUUAUUUAUUUGUGAAAAAAUGAUUUUUUUAGAAAAAGACUUGGAGUCGCCACUUAUUUUUGUUUUAUUCUUAAAGGGUAAAAAAAGAAAAGAAAGAAAACCCUAAGUGUGACUCCUUAUUUUGGAAAAGAUGGUAUGUGAAAAACUAAAUCUAGGCUCGGGGGUCAGGUUACUUAUUGGGAAGGUACGGUAAAGACCGUAGCACCUCUCUAAGUCCCUAAAAACUAGUUUUUACUGAUGAGAUGAAGUAAGUAUGGUCAUUGAUCAAUCAAACAUGGAUACCGAAUAAAUAACAAUCAAAACAAAAUAAUCGAAUGAACAAGAGAGGCAAAGAGUGUACCUGAGUAAUGAACUGGUUUACUUCAUGGAAAACAAAAGUUAGUAAACAAAUACAGAAUAAUCGCAUGCAUGUCAUAGAGUGGAAUAAGUUAAUCAUAUAUAACAAUCAAAUCAAUCAAUCAUAAAAUCAUAUAUGUUGGGCCCUCACCAAAGCCUAAUUGAUUUUGUAUGAAUUAAUUCCACAAAUUCCAUUGUUUUGAAAUUACGAAAAUUGCCUUCAUGCUUAUUUUAAAAAAUCAAGGAAAACAAAAGAUUAUUUGAAAAUAUAAAAAAAUUAUGAAUUAAAAAUAUUUGAAAAAUGGAGUGAAAUUAAAACUAUUUGAAAGAAAACUAGAGUUUUGAAAUUUAUUUGAAAAUUGAAGUCUCGAAAAUUAUUUAAAAAUUGAAAGAAAUUAGCAUUUUGAAAAUUAUUUGAGAAUUAGAAUGUUGAAAGUUAAACUUAAGAAUUAGAAUGUUGGAAAUUAAAUUUUGAAAGAAAUUAGAAUGUUGAAAAUUAUUUAAAGAUGGAAUUAUAAAAAAUAAAUAAAUGAAUGAAUAAAUAGAAUAAUGAUAAUAACGAAAAUAAUAAUUUAAUAAAUGAACGUGAAAAUUGGAAUUUUUGACAUUGGAAAUUAAAUUUGGAAGUUAGAAUUUUGAAGAAUUUGGAAAUUGGAAUUUUGAAGAACUAUUUAAAAAUGUGAGUUUUUUUAAAAAAAAAAUUAAAUUUGAGGAUCGGAAUUUCGAAAAAUGAUUUGAAAAUGGAAAUUUGAAAAUUAAAUUUAAGAAAAGGGAAUUUUGAAGAAUUAUUUGAGAAUGAAAUUUUUGAAAAUUUGAUUUGAAAAUAAUUGGAGUUUCGAAAAUUGAUUUGAAGGUGGCAUUUUAAAAAUUAAAUUCGAAAUUGUGGAAUUUUUGGAAAAUUAAAUUUAAAAAUUUGAAUCUUGGAAAAUUAAAUUUAAAAUUAGAAUUUUAGAAAAUUAUUUCGAGAAUUGAAUUUUGAAGAAUUAAAUUUUAAAAAUAGGAGUUUUGGAAAAUUGAAUUUAAGAAUUGGAGUUUCGUAAACUAAAUUUAAAAUCAGAUUUUACAAGAUUAUUUCGAAAAUGAUAUAUAUAUUUUUAAAAGGAAUAGACAAAUGAGUAGAUAAAUAAACUUGGAACUUUGGAAUUUUAGGAGAUUUUAAAGAGUUAUUUGAGAGUUGACGCUUUGAAAAUUAAAUUUAGAAAUUAGGAUUUUGAAAAAUUAUUUGAGAAUGAAAUUUUUAAGAAGUAAAUUUGAAAAUGGGAAUGCUGAAAAACAUUUGAAAACGAAAGAUUUGGAAAUUGGAAAUUUUUAGAAAAAAAAAACAUGAAUUUCGGAAGGUUAAUUGAAAAUAGAAUUUUUAUAAAAUUGAAUUUUUAACAUUAAGAGAAAAAAAAUAAAAUAAAAGGGGGGGAGGGGGGGAGGGGAGGCAAAUAUUUGGCCCGUUGGGUUCUACUCCAAGCAAACAAAGGCUUAGAGCAAUAAAAAAAGGAUAUACCACGUAACCUUCAACAAAACCCAAUCAUGUAAAGCCCGAAUAAAUGUAAACUCAUCAAGCCCAAACUCAAUAACUGGAGCUUAAAGCCCGCAUGAACUAGUUUAGGCCCAAGAACAAACAUGACCCAAUGCCUUGAGCGGCCACCAAUAAUAACCAAAGCCCAAAACGUCAACUGUGAAGAUCAAAACCCAAUGCAUGUUGAUGAUGGUAGCGGGGGAAUGGAGAACUGGAACAAAAACAACAAUUUGUGAGUCUCGACAUGGGCUAGCAAAUGGAGGCAUGGGUAUGGGGGAGAUGGAAUGGAACGAAAGCAGAAGGGUGGCGAACAAUACCAAGCUUCUGGACCCACGAAAACUCCGAUUAGAUUAGAUUACGGUUCUGAUGAGCAGUUAUUCUGAGUCUUACAUCCCUAUUCUCCGCUCGAUUGCCGCUACGUAUGCCGCGUCCAUUGUCAGUUUCGGUGUUGGUGUUCGAAAGUGGAGCUAGUGGUUGUGGCCUCUAUAGGUGCGUGGAGAGCUUCAUCGGUCGGAUCUAGCUGUUUGAGGGAGAGCUCGUCCACAAACGUCAUCGUCAAUGUCACUGCCAUCGAGUUCUUGUAGUAGGCGAGCUGUAUGGAGAAUGUGAACUCGGCUUCAAUGGACGACGACGUUGAGGUGAGAGUUGUCGGCGACGACAUCGUGCAGAAUGAGAAGUGCAUGGGACUCACCGGAGCGCUGCAAGAGAGCCCCGUGCUUCCAGAACCGUGUCCGGGGCUGGAGGUAACACCGAUGCAGGGGGUGGAGUAGGAGUUGUCGAUGUCGUCACAAGUUUGGGGUGCACGAUAAGUGGAUAUCUCUCCAUUGCCAGGAUUUUGAAGCUUUGGUGUUGAGUUCGAAAUGGGGUUUGAGUUUUGAGCAUCAUCGGUUGCUGUUUCGGUAGACAUAUUCUUCUAGUGUUUGGGAAGUGAGAAAAUGGGAAGAAAGCAGGAAGGAAAAUGAAGAAUAGGGGUGGAUAUGCAAUUCAUUUGCGCAUGGGUAGGAAAUGGGUAGCGUGAGAGGAUGAAGAAAUAAUUUACUAAGGAACAGAGCAAAGACGAGAGACUUGAGGAUUUAUUAGGUGCAGUCUCGCUCCAUGAGUUAUCAACAGACUGAAAACUAGUGAGACAAAUGGAAAAUAGUAAUAUGACCAUCAAACACCAACCUGAACCCAAACAUGAAUCUGACCAUUUGCAGUGGGAGAUCAAGAAUAUAAGAUAGAGCCAAAAUAGAGUAACAUACACAAACAAUAAGAUUCAACCAAAACAACUUAGAAACUCUUGAUGGCCAAAACAAACAAACGAACCGUGCUCAUCGACCCAUAAAAAAUGAAAUAGAAUAAUAAGAAAUAGGAGAAAAUGCCAAGCUCGUAGUAACCUUACUUGGAAGUCCACAACAACAAAAUCCUUAUCCCUUAUCUCAUUUGUUCCUCAAAUCACCCUGCCGGUUUUUCUUUUCUCUCCAGCUUCUCUUCUUCUCCUUUCUACAAAAAAUCCCCCCCUUUCUUUCAAUCCCAACUCGGUUUUCUUUCUUUUUUUUUCUUUGAAAAUGUCCCCCCUUCUCCAAAAAAGCAAAUGUUUGGCUUCUCUCCCAGGUGUUCCUCAAAGGUGGCGGGAAAAACUAAGAUAAAAAAAAAAGGGUCUACAAAUAUGCCCCUCUUCGGUAGAGUUCACGAGUGUAAAGAAUGUGAACAUCAAAAUGAAAUAAGAGUGUGAAUAAUGAGUGUAACGAAGUGACCUCUACCGAAGAAAAGGAAAGAUCCCUAAAGAUACACAAGUAAAACACAAACUUGCUCAAACCAAUAAAGAAACAAAAGGAGUUCUAAAAUCUUAAGAGAAGGGUAGCUCUCAGAGUGUCUUUAAAGCUGCACUAUGGGUCCAAACUUCUUCUAAGAUGCCUCCCAAAGUGACUUGAAGAUUAAUGUCAAAGAUGAGUAACGGUCGAACCACAUAGGAGUACAGAAAGGAAUGCACCAGAAAGGACUGCCCUAUGUGAACUACAUGAGAACGUUGAGUAUAUGGUGCUGAACAACAUGACCGAAACAUGUGAUGUGAACUCAAAGGACUAUGUCAUGUGCAGGGGAAGGGAAAGUCUAUAAGAGCAUGACAAACAAGCAAUAAGCAUAAGGCAACGAGGUGAGGAAAAUGAGGACAAAUUUAUAAUCGUGAAGGCAAGAUAUGCAAUGCCAGUGAAUAUGACUGCCAUGAACCAUGACUUUGAAUGAUAAGGCUAAGGAAAAAUGACUUUAAAUGUCAAAAAAUGAAGAAAAAUGGUGACUCUAAAUGCCUGAAUGACUAUGUGCAACGACUUUGAAAGCCAAAACUAAAGGAAGAUGGUGGCAUCGAAUGCCAAGCUGGACAAUGGCUCUGAAUGCCAAAAUGAAGACAUGACUUCGAAUGCCAAAAUGAAGACAUGACUUUGAAUGCCAAACUGAAGAAGAUGGUGGCUUUAAAUUCCAAACUGAAGACAUGGCUCUGAAUGCUUAAAAUUGAUGAAAGUGGCUUUGAAUGAUAAGAAUGACUCUAAACGCUAAACUAAAAGAAAAUGGUAACUCUAAAUGCUAGCAAUGUGGCUUUGGACAUCAAACUAAAAGAGAAAGACAACUCUAAAUUUUAAAAACUCUAAAUGCUAGGAAUGUGUUUAUGAACAUCGAACCUAAGAUAUGAUGGCUUUAAACUCUAGGAAUGAACGACGACUCUGAACUCCAAACUGUGAACGAUAGCUCUAAACGCCAAGAACGUAGCCCUGAAUGCCGAAAAGGUGGCAACGAGUGCCCGAUCAUGAUAGAAUGAUGACUCUAAAUGCCAAACUAUGAAGGGACAGUGACUCUGAAUGCCAAACUAAAAAGAGAUGAUGGCUCUGAAAGCUCAAACUGAGAAAGGAUGGUGGCUUUGAAAGCCAAGCUGGAGAUGCGGCUCUGAACACCAAAACUGAAGAAGAUGAGGCCCUGAACUCCAUAACUGAGAAGGAAGAGUGACUUUGAACGCCAAGUUGGAGGUGCGGCUCUGAACACCAAACUGAGAAAGAUGAAGGCUUUGAAUGUCAAAUUGUGCAGGGAUAGUGAUUUUAAACUUCAAGCUAGAGAUGAGACUCUGAACGCCAAACUGAAGAAGAUGAAAGCUCUGAAAGCCAUAAUUGAGAAAGGAUAGUGACUCUGAAUGUCAAACUGAGAAAGAAGACUCUGAACGUUGUAACUGAGAAGCGAUGAUGGCUCUGAAUGCCGAGCUGUAAGGAGAUGGUGGCUUUGAACGUCGAAACUGAGAACUGAUGGUGGCUCUGAAUGCUAAACUGUGAAGAGUUGGUGGCUUUGAACGCUAAGCUGGAGAUGAGGCUCUGAACACCAAACUAUGAAGGGAUAGUGACUCUAAAUGCCAAGCUAGAGAUGAGGCUCUGAACGCCAAGUUGAAGAAGAUGAAGGCUCUAAACGCCAUAAUUGAGAAUUGACAUCUCUGAAUGUCAAACUAAGAAAGAUGUAUCUAAAUGUCGUAACUAAGAAGCGAUGAUGGCUCUGAACGUCGAGCUGUAAGGAGAUGGUGGCUCUGAAUGCCAAAAUUGAGAACUGAUGGUGGCUUUGAACGCCAAACUGAAAAGAGAUGGUGGCUCUAAAUGCCCAAGCAGAAAAGAUAUGGUGGCUCUGAACGCCCAACUGAAGUAGAUGAAGGCUUUGAACGCCAAUACUGAGAAGAAGGUGACUAUGAAUGCCAAACUAAGAAGGACGACUCUGAAUGUCAUAACUGAGAAGAUAUGGUGGCUCUGAACGCCAAUUUGCGAGGAAAUGAUGAGGAGGGAAACAUGCCCUAGUGUAGCGUGCCACCAUAACUCUCAAUCCACUGGAAGGGUCUGAAAGAGGCUCUCUGAGUCCCAAAAGAUGCUCUGCUAGCGAGUCGGAAUGGUUAAAUCGACUAUAAAUAUGGCCUCACAGCCCAUUUGACUAAAUUACGAGGCUUGACGAAGUGUCACAAUAAGUUGAACGUCUCUAACUCAAAAUGCUUUGCUGGAGGAAUCCAUCGUCAUCUCAAAUGAAUGGUCCAAUGAGGAGUCUCAAGUGAAUAAUCCGUCGGGGUAACUACCGCGACCUCAACACAAAAAUCUACUAAAAAGUCAUGGAUAGUAGGGUAGUCAAAACCCAGAAGGUCGUGCUCCUCUGAAGGCUCCUCUCGGCCAAAAAUCAUCAAAACUGAGGCCAGUAAUGCAAAGAAAUAUCCCUCGCUUGAGUAAUGAAGACUGUAAUAAGUUUAUGAGAAAACAAUCAUCUCCACAGCUAAGAGAGGGAAAUAUGCCCCAGUAUAGCAACUAGGACAUUCGGUCUGUCCUGAUAACUUGAGAAUAACUCAAUGGGGAUGUAUAAGAGAUUUGACAUGUACUCCAUUGAAAUGAUGAUAUGGGAGUCUAUAAACCUGGGAUAACUCCGUCUAAGAAUCACGACAAUAUCAAAAAGCAUGAGCUUGAUUGAAUGACUCAAAAAAGGCUUUACUGGAGAAUCAAGACAAAAUGAAAGCAAAUCAUCAGCUUGGUAUGUAUUUCAUAACUAGGGAUGACCAUGCAAAUCAAUGGAGAUCUACAAAUCUCAACCAGAACAGAAAUAUGCCCCAGUAUGGCAUCAGAUGUAUGGUAGGUUAGAAAAUCAGAUGACACCAAAUCAUCCAUCACCAAGUGUGUAAUCCUAAUAAUCCAUGUCCACAGUUGAAUCAAACCCAUAGAUCAAAAGAACGUCUCCUAGAAAGAGAAGCAUGAUGACAUCCAAAUGCCGAAAAGUGUGGGUUUGACUUAAUGGCUUAAAAGAGGCUCCCUUGGGAGAUUAUGAUAAAACAAAAAAUAGGUCAUCGUCUCGGCGUAUAUCUCAUAGGCGGGGAUGAUCAUGCGACUCCAUGAAGAUCUGUAAAUCUCAAUUGAAACGGAAAUAUGCCCCAGUAUGGAAUCAGAUGUGGAAUAAGCCGAAAAUCGGACAACAUAAGAUCAUCCAUCCUCAAGUGUGUGAUAUUGUCAUCCACGUCUACGGCUGAAUCAAACCCAAACAUUAAGGAGACGUCUCCCAGAAGAAGAAACAUGAUGAUAUCUAAAUGCCGAAAAGUGUGAGCUUGAUUGAAUGGCCCAAGAGAGACUCCACCGGGGGAUCAUGAUAAGAUAACAAUAGACUAUCAACUUGUCAUGCAUCUCGUGAGUGGUGAAGAUCAUGUGACUCCAUGAAGAUCUACAAAUAUGAACUGAAAGGGAAAUAUCCCUAGUAUGACAUAGAUGUAUGCUAGAUCAAAAAAUCGGAUAACCUCAAAUCAUCCAUCAUCAAAUGUGCAAUCUUAGUCAUCAAAAUCCACAACUGAAUCGGGUCAGAACGUCAAAGAGGCGUCUCUCAAAAGAAGAAGCAUGAUGAUAUCCAAAUAUCAACCAAAUCUCAAAUACCUAUCCAAGUAGGGGCUGUCGAAGACAACAUCUAAUCCCAUGACCUCAGGGUAGUCUUAAGACAUUGGACGUAACGUAGGCUAGGGUGAUAAGGUAAUAGAAAUGAAGGGAAACUAGGCCCAAAUACCCAAUUAUCAAAACCCAUGUCCUCAUGUAUGAAAUGCAACAUGUAUAGAAGAUCUCGUAAGCCAUGGACUUGAGGGUGCUCAACGUGAAUAUAAUAUCAAUAAUGAGACGAUGAAACAAAUCAAAUUGAUAAUGAGAGGUGUAAGAAUGAUGCAUGGAAAAUAUCAAACCUGGAAUAAGUCAGUAUAAGAAAAGAAUAAGGGGGUGAAGCGAAUGAGAUGAAUCACAAGCAAUGACAAGAAUGAUAGCGAAACAAUGAAUAUACGAAGAAAAGUGAUGAUCAACUCAAAUCAAAUAUGGAGUGAAGUCACAUCAAUAAUGAAUGUAAUGAUGGAAGAGAUAAUGGCCUAGAGUCCCUAGGAGAAGGUCACUCAUCUCACUCUUAACUAAAUAUGACAAAGUGAAUACAAAGAAAGAAAGGAUCUCAGAAAGCUCACAUAUGAAUUCACAACAACAAACAUAUUCGUUAAAAUGACCCUUAGAUAUCAAUAUAGAUGCUCAAUGAUGGAGAAAACUAUGCACAUACACACAUGCACUUAUUUUUAUUUUAUUUUUAUUUUCCAUUUUUUUUUACAUAUAUACAAAUGCACAUACCUUGAACAUGAACAAAUGCAUCCCAAAGAUGAUAUCAAUAAUGGAUAGACACACUCUCAAGUGCUAAGGAAACAAAACUCUCUUUGACGAGAUGACCUUCUCAAACUAAGGAUCUCUAAAUCAGUGUCCGUAUGAUAGAUAGUGGAAAUGAUAUGACUAUCCUCUAUGUAAUGAACUGAGGAGGAUCACUACUCAGGGUGAAGAGAAUAUGAAGCAAAUCAAGCAGUAGAUAGAAUAAAGAAGAAGAGAUGAAUAAUACAACCAAUGAGAUAUGAAGGAAUGUAAUAGUGCGAUGGUAGGAAAAAUAAUGAGAGAAUGAUGUGCCCAUAGGCCCAAGGCUCAUGAAACUCCUGAAUGAAGCAUGCAUACACUAAAGAGCCCCUAUCCUGGUAUAAAAGUGUAAGCAAGGUAAUAAGAAAUAAAGGCUUUCAUGCACAUGUGAGGCUCAAUGGGCUAGAAAUGGUCUGUAUGUUAAGAGGGAACAACAAAGUAUAUGGUUAACCGAAAUGAUGGCCACCCAUCCUGCGACCAUGGUCUCAAACACAAUACUUUUUCAACUGAUCUACGUUAGUUGGCUCCGAGAAUUGGUUUCCAUCUAGAUCCAUCAACCAUGCAACGUUCUCUAGGGUCAGCUCCCUAAUGAAAUAAGGUUCGCUCCAAUUGGGUUUGAACUUCCCUCUGGGGUCUUUGAUCAAUCCCCUGAUGACUUUUAGAACCAAGUCACCUUUCUGUAGCGGUCUACGCUUGACCUACCUUUUGAAAGAGUGGGUCAUUGAUUACUACCAAAAAGUGCUAUUUUGUAGACCUAAUUAUAAUGGUUUUAAGCACCUUUGAGUAGUAAUCAUAUUCAUUUAACCCAAUUAAUUCAUUAAGGUCCUUAGUAAUUGGUUUUCACCAUUUUGUGGCAAGUUUACAUGUUUUUAUCAGCUUAUGAAUCAAUUCAAGCAUGCCAAAUGAUGGAGGAGCUACUUGGACAAGUUAUGGCAAAGCUUUUGGAAGCUCAAAUUCAUGAAGAACCAAGCUUUGGAGCUCCAUAUCCCUUUGCCAAAGUCGUUCAAAGUAUGCAAGGAAAGAACAAUGGAGAAGAGGAAAACAGAGUGAAGAAAACAGAGGACAGCAGCUGCAGUCUUCUUUCGCACUUUUGGAGCACUUCCCGAAGUCUAUUUUCUACACUCUAUAUACUAUUUCAAAUAUCAGGAAGUCAAGAAUCCAACGCUUCAAACCGUGUACGAUUUGGAGCUGAAAUGAGGAAGAUAUGGCCUUCGCAAGACAACUGCAUCCAGCUGAAGGACAAUUUCGCACCUUGCGAAAUUGGAACUCCAACGUGCGAAAUUUAAAGUGGAUGACGGCUGUGCAUUCGCGGUGAAGUCCAACAUAUGAAAGUGAUUUUGCAACUUGCAAACUUGAAUCUCAAUGUGCGAAAGUGGAUUCUAAGUUGCGAAAUCAACUUGCGAAAUUUUCGCAAGUCACCAUGCAACGUGCGAAACUGGGAUAUUUGUGCACCGACUCUUUUAGAUAUUUUCUUCAGAUAUUUUUGUAUAAAUUUUCAUUCUUCUCCUUGUAAUCCACCAACCAUAAGAUUUCUUAGCUAGGAAGGUUGGAAAAGCUUCUCUAUAUAUAUUCCCUUGCAUCCAUUGUAACAGAUAUCGAUCAAUAUAUAGAAUAUACAGAGCCUUGCUCUGUUUUUCCUUCUCUUUACUAUUUUAUUUUCUUGGAAGCCAAACAGCCUCUGAGGGCUUUUCCUCAGAGGAUGAUUGGCUAAAACUUUUAGUUUCUCAAAGUAUGGAUGUUAUGUGAUGACUUGGAUGCAAUCCCAUGGAAAUUUCUCGCACCUGGAAGGUAAGGUAGUCGUUUUUCAUUAAAGGUUCAUUAAUGCAAAGUUUGGUUUUUAUUUCCUUUGGACAACUUCCAACGGCCAAUACUUGAUAAGCUUUUGGAUUUCUAUCCAUUAGUUAUCUCCUACGAGCUAUUGGAAGGUGAGGUUUUCAAUUCCAAGUUUUGCAUUAAUCCGUUAGAACCAAUUUCAAUGGCCAUUGAAAGGUGAGUUUAUCACCUGGAAUGACUUUGAGUUGCCAAUAUUUGGUAAGCUUUUGGAUUUAGACCAUUAGUUAUCUCUUACGAGCCAUUCAAAGGAAGUCUAAGGUGAAUAACCAUUGAUGAAAUUCACUACCAUCUGUUUUUCCAUUUUAAAGGAUUAAAACUUGAUUUGCUAAAUCCAUACCGGUUCGGGAAGCAAGCAUCACCAUAGUUGCAACCCCAACGCGAGGAGCCUAUCCUGAGAUUUCCAAUUUGCAUAAGAGCCAGAGCAUAGCUAUCCUAUCUUUGAGAAACUUGUUUUUACACCCUUUCAUUUUAGUCUUUAAUGUUAGCUUAGAUUAGUUUAAAUCUUUCUAAAACAUUUACAUCUUCUUUUAAAGCUAACAUCCAUAAGAAAAUCACCUAUUUUCCUAAUUUGAAUAUCAUUUGUGUUUGCGAAAACCCUUCCCAGUGAACGAUCCUAGAACCACUAUGCUAUAGUAGCUUGGCUACUUUAGUAAUAGUAUUCAAGGUAUAAAUUUUGUUGAUACGCCUUUAAAGCUAAGCUACCAUGAGUCGAAUCAAAUGGCGCCGUUGCCGGGGAAGGUGCCACAAGCACAGUGAAGCAACCAUUAAGGGUAACUUGUGAUCUUUAUCACAAGUUUGGUGAGUUUUCUUAUAAUUUUUUUUAGUUUAGUUUUUAUUUAGUUAAAUUUUUUAUUCUCUUUUAUUUUAUUUUUGUUUUAAUUUCAAUUUGUGCAUUCCUUGUUGGAUUCGAGACCAAGAGGGAACCCUAGUACAAGUUGAAGAAAAGAGCCUUAGUUGAAUAUCAUUUUUUUUUAGAAAUGGAAAUUCCACAUGAAGAUCAAAGCUCUCAUUAUGAUCAUGAGAAGGACAAAUUUGCAUACCUAUCCAUGAGGGAUCGGAUUGAAUUAGGGAAAAGGCAAGUUCAACAAAGCCAAUGGGGUAGUAAGUAUGCUUUGAAUGGAGAUGAUUCAUAUGAGCAUACGGUAGGGGAGUGCCCUACCAUUCCAACUAUGAGAGACAUGUACGGUUACCAAAGCUCCUACACCUCAAGUUGGAAUAACCAUCCCAACCUUACAACCCAACCUCAACCUCAACCUCAACCAUCAAUGAGUACAUCUUCAUUGGAGCAAGCCAUUUUGAAGAUAAGCAAAGUCAUGGAGGACUUUGUAGGUGAGCAACAAAAGAUCAACUCUCAUCUUAAUGAAAAGAUUGAUAAUAUGGAGAGUUCAAUAAAUGUAAGAAUGGAGGGGGUUUAUAAUGAUCUAUCACUAAGGAUAGAAAAAGUUCAAGACUCCAUUAAGAAGCUCACCAAUCUCGACAUAGCAAGGGGGAAAAGGAAGCUUCCUCCUCAACCCCACCAUAACCUUCAAGGAACCAAUGCAAAAAGAUCAAGGAAAGUGUUGAAGAUCGACACUUUGGUGGGGGAUUGCUAUGACAACUCUAUGGACCAACCUUCUAUUGAAAAUCAUAAGGUUCAAGAGAUAAAGGGUUACCUGAACCCUUUAAAGCAUCCACUUCUCUAGGGAAGAGAAGAGAAACGAAUUCCCUUGGACCAAAUGGGAAGGAUGCCAAUUUUGUUUGGGAUCCAGGGGGAAUUCAGCAUGAAGUGGGUGUGUGAGUGAGGAUGAGCUAAAUAAUUCAUCUUCUUUUUGGGGUACAUGCUAUCAACUUCAUUUAAAUUCUAUGCUUUCUUUAAAUUUAUGCAUGUUUUAGUUUGAAUUCUUAGCUUUAAUUUAGUUUUAAUAUGUUUUUAAGAUGAGUUUUGAAGUGUUCAUGCAGGUAUGAUGCUUGCAAAAAUCGAAGUUAUGGUGAAAACAAGAGAAAAUAGGGGAGAAAAGCCAAAAUAGAGCAAUUCGCACCACCCCAUUUUGGCAAUUUUUGGGCACAUUUUGAUCACUUUCCAAAGUUCAUUUCAUGCGUACUAUAUCUCCUUUCAAAGCUCGGGAAGUAAGGAGUCCAACGCUUCAAACGGUGUCCAAAUCGGAGUUGAAACGAAAAAGUUAUGGUCAUUGCAAGAAAACUGCACCGAGCUGAGCGGGAAUUUCGCACACCUCAAUCCAAAGUGCGAAAAUUUUUGCACCGUGCGAAACCACCUCCUGGCACACGAGUGCCAUUUCGCACACCUCAAGCCAAUUUUCGUACCGUGCGAAACAAGGUGCGAAAAUUUCAUUUUAAGGUGCGAAAAUUUUGCUACUGUUGGACACGUUUUUGGAGCACUUUCUGGAGCUCAAAUUAUGCAUAUGAUAUGUCAUUUUAAAGCUUGGGAAGUCAGGAAUCCAGUGCUUCAAACGGUACAUGAUUUGGAUUUGAAACGAAGAAGUUAUGACCAUUUUAAGACAGAUGGUGCAGAGUGCCAAAAUUUCGCACCUUGAAAUCCAAAGUGCGAAAAAUCCUUUCCAAGGUGCGAAAUUUUUUUUUAAAGUGCGAAAAUGUCCAAAUGUCUUUUAAACCAAUUUUUAAACACCCAAGACUCUGUUUUUCAUUCCUAAAAGCCAUUUUCGACUUCUGAAAGAGUUUUUAAAUGUGUGACCAUCCAAAUUCUGCCCCUCCCUCUCUAUUUGAAGCCUCAGGAACAUGCAUUAGUGGAGAGAACACCCCCGUGCACCAUUUGAGAACUCUCUGGAAAUCAUGAACAACCACCUCUCUCCAUCUCAGUCAUGGCCAAGACUAGAGGAGAACCCCAUGCACCUUGGGAUCACACAUACCAAGCCUCUCAUUCCAUUUCUUACCUCCUAAAACCAUCACAGCUCAUAGCUCUAGCUAAGAGCUCCAGCAGAGGAGACUAUGCCACCCAAGGAGACUACCAGAGCAGAGGUCAAUGUCCUGACCCAACCCACUCAGAAGGCCACCACAGAGCCAUUAUCUCCAUAGGACCCUACCACUACUUGCUCAUCUCUUUAAUUUUUGUAUUUACUUAUUAUAUUAGUAUAGAUAAUUCCAUGUUUUGAUGUUCUAUAUUCUGGGAUUGGAUGUAUUGCAUGAUCAUAUAUUAUAUUCUAUUUUCUCAGAUUAAUAUAUAGACAUCAUUUUUGUUUAAACUUGGCAUUUUUCUAUUUCCUCUAUUCACUGAAUUUUUUUUUUUUUUUUAGAAACAUGUGGUUUCUCCUAUACAACCCAAACUCCAUGUCACUCAGGAGGUACCACUUCUUUCCUAUUUUUUAAUCGCUCUUGAAACAUUGAGGACAAUGUUCAGCUUGGUUGGGGGGAGAGUUGAGGAAGGAAGUUUUUGUUAUUAAUGCUAAGUUAUUUUGGUAAUUUAGUUGUUUUUUGUUUAAUUUUUAAAAUUUUUUAAGUUUUUUUUUAUUCUACUCUCCAUGGUUAUUAAGGAAAAAUUUUCAAAAUGAAAUGGGAGAAAUUGAAUUUUUAUCUUUUUACUUGACUUAGAUUUUGUAUUAUGCUUACUAAAGUUGAUGAAUUGUUGAAACUUCUAUUGAAUUCAACCUCAGUUCUUCCACUUUAAGCUAUCCACACACUAAACACAAUAGGUUUCGAUUAUAAGAUGAAGAACUAUUUCCCUCUUGACUUAGGAAAAUUUUAGACUUGGUACCUUUGACCUCAUUUUAAUAGUGUUGAGACACCUUGUAAAAGGCCAAUGAGUCUUUGAAGAAAAUAAAGAAAGAAAGAAAAAUGUUUGCUUGCCUUGAAACCCGAGCAAGGUCCGAGGGGUAUAUGGUGAAAAUCAUUAAAACCUGGUGCCCUAAAGCCUUAAUUGGUUGGGAGUCACCGACCUCAAUGCUCGUUACAUGGGUGAAUAGGUGGAGUUUAACAUAUUGUAGGUGCUUGGGUAUUAAAAAUUCAUUCUCAAAAGUCUGGGGUGAAAUCCGAGGAGUUAGUGGUUGAAAAAUCCUUAAAGCUUGAUGCCCUAAACCUUGAUUGGUUGGGAGUCAUCGAUAGACCCCCGUUACAUGGACAAUUUAGAAAAGAAUGCCUUUAAGCUUUGCACUCCUACAAGAAAAAAAUUGUGAAAGAAAAGAGGUGCGUUCUUAGCCUAUUGGAGGUUGAUUAGUUUGCUAAGUUUUGAAAAGAACUAGGUUGACAUACUAUAUCCGGAAACUAAUAAAUAACACAUAAAUUUUUGUGGAAGAGUAAGGAUUGGACCUUUGGGAGUGGAAAUUAUUUUGAAGCUUAAAUUUGCAUAAUGCCUACUCUUUAUGAAUUGUGACUAGGCAAUUUAUUUGAUAGCUCCUAUUGAAGUUUGAGUUUUAUUUCUUUCAUGUUCCAUGUGAGAGUUUGAUCAGUCAUGCCACUUAAACAUUUUUUGGAGUGAUUUGCAUGAUCCCUUUUAUGUAUAUUAUUAUAGUUUACUUAGUUUUUAUCUCCUCCAUUGCUAAGGGACUAGCAAUGAGUCGGUUGGGGGGUGUGAUUACUACCAAAAAGUGCUAUUUUGUAGACCUAAUUAUAAUGGUUUUAAGCACCUUUGAGUAGUAAUCAUAUUCAUAUAACCCAAUUAAUUCAUUAAGGUCCUUAGUAAUUGGUUUUCACCAUUUUNNNNNNNNNNNNNNNNNNNNNNNNNNNNNNNNNNNNNNNNNNNNNNNNNNNNNNNNNNNNNNNNNNNNNNNNNNNNNNNNNNNNNNNNNNNNNNNNNNNNGCUAUUUUGUAGACCUAAUUAUAAUGGUUUUAAGCACCUUUGAGUAGUAAUCAUAUUCAUUUAACCCAAUUAAUUCAUUAAGGUCCUUAGUAAUUGGUUUUCACCAUUUUGUGGCAAGUUUACAUGUUUUUAUCAGCUUAUGAAUCAAUUCAAGCAUGCCAAAUGAUGGAGGAGCUACUUGGACAAGUUAUGGCAAAGCUUUUGGAAGCUCAAAUUCAUGAAGAACCAAGCUUUGGAGCUCCAUAGCCCUUUGCCAAAGUCGUUCAAAGUAUGCAAGGAAAGAACAAUGGAGAAGAGGAAAACAGAGUGAAGAAAACAGAGGACAGCAGCUGCAGUCUUCUUUCGCACUUUUGGAGCACUUCCCGAAGUCUAUUUUCUACAUUCUAUAUACUAUUUCAAAUAUCAGGAAGUCAAGAAUCCAACGCUUCAAACCGUGUACGAUUUGGAGCUGAAAUGAGGAAGAUAUGGCCUUCGCAAGACAACUGCAUCCAGCUGAAGGACAAUUUCGCACCUUGCGAAAUUGGAACUCCAACGUGCGAAAUUUAAAGUGGAUGGCGGCUGUGCAUUCGCGGUGAAGUCCAACAUAUGAAAGUGAUUUUGCAACUUGCAAACUUGAAUCUCAAUGUGCGAAAGUGGAUUCUAAGUUGCGAAAUCAACUUGCGAAAUUUUCGCAAGUCACCAUGCAACGUGCGAAACUGGGAUAUUUGUGCACCGACUCUUUUAGAUAUUUUCUUCAGAUAUUUUUGUAUAAAUUUUCAUUCUUCUCCUUGUAAUCCACCAACCAUAAGAUUUCUUAGCUAGGAAGGUUGGAAAAGCUUCUCUAUAUAUAUUCCCUUGCAUCCAUUGUAACAGAUAUCGAUCAAUAUAUAGAAUAUACAGAGCCUUGCUCUGUUUUUCCUUCUCUUUACUAUUUUAUUUUCUUGGAAGCCAAACAGCCUCUGAGGGCUUUUCCUCAGAGGAUGAUUGGCUAAAACUUUUAGUUUCUCAAAGUAUGGAUGUUAUGUGAUGACUUGGAUGCAAUCCCAUGGAAAUUUCUCGCACCUGGAAGGUAAGGUAGUCGUUUUUCAUUAAAGGUUCAUUAAUGCAAAGUUUGGUUUUUAUUUCCUUUGGACAACUUCCAACGGCCAAUACUUGAUAAGCUUUUGGAUUUCUAUCCAUUAGUUAUCUCCUACGAGCUAUUGGAAGGUGAGGUUUUCAAUUCCAAGUUUUGCAUUAAUCCGUUAGAACCAAUUUCAAUGGCCAUUGAAAGGUGAGUUUAUCACCUGGAAUGACUUUGAGUUGCCAAUAUUUGGUAAGCUUUUGGAUUUAGACCAUUAGUUAUCUCUUACGAGCCAUUCAAAGGAAGUCUAAGGUGAAUAACCAUUGAUGAAAUUCACUACCAUCUGUUUUUCCAUUUUAAAGGAUUAAAACUUGAUUUGCUAAAUCCAUACCGGUUCGGGAAGCAAGCAUCACCAUAGUUGCAACCCCAACGCGAGGAGCCUAUCCUGAGAUUUCCAAUUUGCAUAAGAGCCAGAGCAUAGCUAUCCUAUCUUUGAGAAACUUGUUUUUACACCCUUUCAUUUUAGUCUUUAAUGUUAGCUUAGAUUAGUUUAAAUCUUUCUAAAACAUUUACAUCUUCUUUUAAAGCUAACAUCCAUAAGAAAAUCACCUAUUUUCCUAAUUUGAAUAUCAUUUGUGUUUGCGAAAACCCUUCCCAGUGAACGAUCUUAGAACCACUAUGCUAUAGUAGCUUGGCUACUUUAGUAAUAGUAUUCAAGGUAUAAAUUUUGUUGAUACGCUUUUAAAGCUAAGCUACCAUGAGUCGAAUCAGUCAUCUUCCUUUGAUAUGCACGAACAUGGUCUGCCGCCCUCAAUCUCCUCUCAUCUAGGAGAUUGAGCUGAUGUAAUCGGGCUUGAGCCCAAUCAGCCUUUGGAAUCUAUUGCUCUAAUGCUACCCUCAAUGAACCCAUUUCAAUCUCAACAGUAGCACUGCCUCCAUACCAUACACCAAGGAGUAAGGUGUGGCUCCUAUAGAGGUGUGAAAAGAAGUUCGAUAAGCCCACAAUGUGAAAGGGAGCUUCUUUUACCAAUCCCGAGAAGUCUCUACCAUCCUCCGUAAGAUCCUCUUAAUAUUCUUAUUCGCAGCCUCUACUGCCCCGUUCGUCUGCGACCUGUACGCAGACAACCUAUGAUGCUGAAUACCAUAUCUUUGCAAUAAGGUGUCAACUUCUGCCCUGAAAUGUACUCCUCUAUCUGAAAUUAGCUCGUGAGGGACUCUAUAUCAACAUAUAAUGUGUGAUAUGAUGAAAUUAGCAACUCCAGACGAUGUCAAUCUCGCAUAUGAGGCGGCCUCCGCCCACUUGGUGAAGUAAUCUAUGGCAACUACGAUAAACUCAUAACCACCGGAAGAUUUUGGCGAAAUCUUCCCAAUGAUGUCGAUACCUCAUACUGAAAAUGGCCAUGGUGAAGUCAAUGCGUGCAGCUUUGAAGAUGGCACGUGAAUGAGGUCCUCGUGUAUCUGAUACUCUGGACAUCUCUGAACAAGCUGACAACAGUCUAUCUCUAUGGUCAACCAAAAAUAGCCAGUCUUUAUGAUCUUACGGGCUAACAUAUGUUUUUCCAUAUGUGGCCCACAGACUCCCAUAUGAACCUCUCUUAUCACUCGAUUGGUAGAGGCGCAGUCUAAACACAAUAGUAACAUCCCGUCAGCUAAUCGUCUGUAUAAUGCCUCACCAAAAAUCACAAAUCGGGUGACCAACUGUCUUAAUGCUCUAUUAUCCUUGGUUGUGGUGGCCUCAGGAUAUGCGCCGAGUCUCAAAAAGUGAUAUAUGUCAUGGUACCAUGGCAAACCAUCAUCUAACUCUGUAUCGUCAAUCAAACAAUAAUAGGCAAGAACAGAUCUCAACUCGAUCAGUAAAUGACGAACAAUGACAUCAACAGGAAUAUCAAUCAUGGAAGCUAGAGUAGCUAAGGCAUCAACAAACUGGUUUUGCGCUUUAGGUCGAUGUGUAUAUCUCAAAUCAUCAAAUCUCCCAACCAGUAGCUCCAAGUAUGUGUGGUAAGGCUUGAGCUUCACAUCUCUAGUUUUCCAUUCGCCCUGAAUUUGUCUCAAUACUAGAUUGGAGUCACCAAACACCUCUAUUUGUCUAAUCCCAAGAUGCAAGCCUCAUACUAAACAAUAUUGGUCGUGGCAGGAUGUCGAUUCGAGAAUGCUAAAUGAACAGAUCUAGGAAUGUGAUCGCCACGAGGGGAUAUCAACAAGACACCUAUCCCGUAUCCAGAAUGGUUAGCUGUACCAUCGAAGUACAUGUGCUAACCUGACAGACUAGUCACAACAGCAACAUCCUUAUUUGGGAAAUCAUCAUCAAUAGCUUUACCAUAGAAAAUUGGUAAUGAGGCUAGGUGAUUUACAACAAUGCUCCAUCUGAUGGACUUCUGAGUGACAUAAUGGAUGUCAAACUCAAUCAAAAGUACCAACCAUCUCAUAAGGCCACCGACCAAAGCGGGCCUGUACAAUAAAUAUCUCAGAGGAUCCAGACGAGAUAUCAAGUGCACUGAAUACUCGGUCAUGUAAUGUCUCAAUUUGCGAGUGGCCCAAACCAAUGCCAAGUAGUGGCGCUCAAUCAUGACAUAUCUCAUCUUAUAAUCUAGCAUUCUCUUACUCAGAUAAUAAAUGGCUCGCUCCUUGCCCGAAUCGUCGAGCUGAGCCAACAUGCAACCCAAAGCUACGUUUGAGACUGACAGUUAUAGGAGUAAAGGACGACCUGGUGUGAGAGGCACCAAGACUGGAGGUGACAACAAGUACUCUCUAAUCCUCUCAAAUGCGCACUGACACUGAUCAUCACAAACAGUAGGUUAACUCUUCCUCAAGAGUCGAAAAAUGGGCUCAUAGAUGUCUAUCAAUCUAGUAAUGAAUAUGCUGAUGUACUGAAGUUUACCCAAAAAGCCUUUGAUAUCUCUCUCGGUUCUCGACGUAGGCAUGUUGAGGAUGGAUCUGAUCUUAUCCGGAUCUGCCUCUAUGCCUCUCUCACUGACCAUGUAUCCUAGUAGUUUCCUAGAAGUCACUCCAAAAGUGUACUUCUUGGAAUUCAGUCUCAAUCUAAACUGCCUGAUCCUCUCAAAGAAUCUUUCUAAAGCAGCUAAGUAAUCUACUAUAUCUCAAGAUUUCACUAUCAUGUCAUCUACAUAAACCUCGACAUCUUGAUGCAUCAUGUCAUGGAAGAGGGUCACUGCUCUCUGAUAGGUAGCUCCUGCAUUCUUCAACCCGAAUGGUAUGACUCGGUAGCAAUAAGUACCUUACUCGGUAAUGAAGGACGUCUUCUCCAUGUCUUCUAGAGCCAUCAGUAUCGAACUGUACCCGAAAAAUCCGUCCAUAGAGGACAACAUCGAGUGAUUGUUGUACUGUCAACUUGCAUGUUGACAUGUGGGAGAGGAAAAUCAUCCUUAGGAUUGGCCUUGUUGAGAUCUCGAAAGUCAACACAAACUCUCACUUUUUCGUCCUUUUUAGGAACAUGGACGACAUUGGCUAGCCACUUGGGGUACUCGACCAUUGACAAAAAUCCCACACUGAGCUACUUUUGGAUCUUCUCCUUCACCUGCAAACUCUAGCGAGGAUGCAAUCAUCUCAGUUUCUACUUAACCGGUCUGGCAUAGGGCAAAAGUGGUAAACGAUGCUGGACAAUAGAUGGAUCAAGGCUCGAUAUGUCCUCAUAAGACCAUGAUAAAACAUCCAAGUACGAUCUAAGCAACUGGACGAGGCUAUCUAUCUCAUCUGUAGAUAAAUCCAAUCCGAUCCUCAACUCCCUAGGCUGAUAUGUUGUGUCGAAAUCAAUAAUCUUUGCGUCUCCUACAACAGGUGAAACUUUCUGAUCAAUGGGGCCUGAAUCAAAAGCAGAAGAUGAGUCUUCAUCUGAAUCAUGUUUUACAAUUUCAUCAUCUAUAUCAAAUAUCUAUGAAGUGAGAUGAGGAGGGUGCAAAUAAAGUGAUAUCAUAAGAGACAGAUAGAUACUCAAAAAUGCACAAAUCCAUAAAUGAAGAGUCAUGAACAUUGUCAGAACGGGAGACAAAUCCCGAUAAAGCAUCACAUGAAAGAGGUGGGUCCACAAAUUCAGACGUUUCCUCGAUUGGGCCAACAGGACCAUCAAACAAAUCAUCAACAACUAUAACAUCCCUUGUAAACUCUAGAGCAGGAGCAGUUUGGGUAUCCUCGACAAUCUCAAAGGCAGACACCCCAAAGAGAUCCAAUGGCGAAGUAAGCUCGGGCUGAACUAUCUCAUCAAUAUGGCUCAUACUCAUAGUGAACAUCUCAUCAAUGUACUCGUCGAGGGGAACAACUCCAUCCGUUAUGUCUCCAAUUUCAAAAAAUUUCCCUUGCUCAUCGAUCUCAUCCGGGAAAUAAAGCGUCAUAAGGCUCAUACGAUCUGGAGAUGAUGAGGUGACCAAUGUAGAUGUCGAAGUGCUCGGAGCUCCAUCACUCAACUGUAGAUGAUGGAUAAGACGCUGAAGCUCGACCUCUUAAACACUGCUGAGUUCCCCAAUGAUCCCAUAUGAAGGAAUCCAUGGCUUCGACGCCCUCACAAAGUAGUCCGCCAAACUCAUGGUGUAUGGGCGAAUAGGAUAAUCGAACGGUGUGUGAGUCAAUCGGGCCUUCACCCUCUCCUUACGUAAUCGCGCCAUAUAUCGAUAAUCGACUUCAGUGGGGAUGAACCCGAGUCCGAACGGUACAUCAUGAUUUGGGAUAGCCAUGAACUCAUUGGGCCCGUACUGACGCUACCCCAACCUCAUGCCAGGUAAGUAAGACAUGCUCCUCAUCAUGUUGAGUACCACUAUGCUACCAUGCUGGUCAAAUGACAUAGCCAUGAAAUCUUGGAAAAAAUCCUCCAUCUCUAAGGUUUCCACCUCAUUGAAUGCGAAUUUAGUAAGAAAUAGGUCAUCAUCACUAUGACUAAUUUGAAGUAAUGGCCCAAAAGAAAUAAACAUGUCUCCGACAAACUACACUGUGAUGACCUAGCCAUCAUGAAUGAACUUCACCUUCUGAUGAAGGGAAAAAGGAAUGGCCCUAGCUCUGUGGAUCCAAGGUUGGCCCAAUAGCAGGUUAAAGGACGCAGAAAUCCUCAAAACCUGGAACAAAAUAAUAAAUGUGGCCGGACCUAUCAACUGCUCAAUCUCUAAAGUGCCCAUGACCUUCCUCUGAGUGCUAUCGUAUGCUUGGAUUGUUUGAGUGGAGGAACCAAAGUUAGAGGGCGCAUAGCCGAGGACGAUGGUAGUGGCUAGAGGGCAAAUGUUCAUGACCGAGCCAUUGUCCAAAAGGGUAGAUAGGACUCGACGGCCUAAACAACCAACUGAUAUAUAUAGUGGACAUGUAUGGUUUGAACCCUCUGGCGGCAAGUCAUCAUCAGAGAAUACUAUGCAAGUGGCUCUACCAGCCGUCACCAUGUGAAUCAACCUCUUCGGAGUAGUGGUAGUCUCGACUAUGAUCUGGCUCAGGGCUCGAAUCAAUGCAUCCCUAUGAGUGCUGAAAUAUGCCAACAAGUUCCAAAUGGAAAUACAAGCAUGUGUGCUCUGUAACUGCCUCAAAAUCUCAUUAUCCCCUCUCUUGACCUCAUCGGGAGUAGAAGUACCCUCCAAGGGUUUAGCAGUUGUGGGAGGCGACUGUCGCAAUACCCUAUCCCAGUGAAGAAUAUACUAUACAUCAGGAGUUUGAGAAACAUCAACAUAUGGAGUCUGAACCUCCUCAACAUCCAGAAUCAAGAUGAAUGGCAUCUGAAGAUUGUAAUGCGGGAAAGUCCAUGGCUCAACAGUGGUUGUCUGUACUGAUGCUGCUUCAGGAACCAGUCUGAAUGGUGUGGGCAACCGAGGGCCCAAAGUCACUCCACCUAUCUCAUAAAUCCUGUCCGAUACUAUGAGCUCUGGCUCUGAAUCAUCCCAUCUUAGCAUGUGGAUGUGAUCGUCAAGCUCACCGAAGUCAAGGAAAUGUAUGCCAUCUAUUGGAGUAAAAACCACAUGUGUAGUGUGGGCCGGUAAUGGGUUUGUGGUUAUACUCGACUAACCCAAGUGAACCAAACCCUGAUCAAUCAGAUCCUGGAUGGCAUGUCUCAGAGUAGUAUAAUGGUCUGUCUUAUGUCCUGGCCCCUGAUGAUAUGCACAAUGUAGAUCCAUUCGAAACUGAGACGGGAUAGGCUGAGGCAAUGGUUUGGGAGUGAGGGCUGUCAAUAAUCUAGCCUCUAUGAGUUUUCAAAGAGCCUGACUCAACAACAUACCCAACUGUGAAAACUGCCUCUGCGUCCUCAAAACAAAAUGAGUAGAGGUCUGCUGAGCUCUAGGCCUGGGAUAAAAUGUUGUAGGUCUCGCGAAAAAUUGUACCGCAUAGCACGGCUGCCUUGUGGCAGAAUAUGAAACAGGUGGUCUCUCUGUGCCCUGUGUGGCAUAAUAAGGCAGUGCUAAUGUAGGAGAAAUGUAUGCCUGAUCAUAAGUCUGAGGAGACGCUCAUGGCCUAUACUGUUGAGGUGCAUAAGAAGGGUGGAUCCCAGUAAGUUGUGGAAUUGGAUGAUGACGCCUAGGAGGCUUCUGACUGGUAGAAUUGAUAGCACUCACAUCAAUCGAUCUCUGCCUUCUAGAUGGUUUCUUCCCCUUAACGUCAAUAGGGGAAUAAUCUGUCCAUAAACCUCUAGAAAUACCAUCCUCAACAUCAUAUAGGGCCAAAAUCAGAGAGCCAAAGUCUGUGAAGGGUACCCCGACCACAUGUCUAGCAAUCCUAGGCUAUAGACUCCUUAGAACCAUCUGUAUCUGAUCCCUCUUUGAUGGCCUAUCAAUAAUCUCAACUAUUUUCCCGUGCCAACAGGAGAUGAAUGAAGAAAUGGACUCGUCCGAUCUUUGUCUCAGAGCCUCAAGUUUUCUCCUCGAUACAUCUACAAUAAUAUUAAACGAAAACUAUCGUAAAAAUUCCUAGGCCAAGUCAUAGGUGAUCUUUUGUGUUGAGUUCCACUCAAAGAUAGUGGGAAUAAAGUGAUCAUUUGUGACUUGUCCAAUCUGUGGGCCCUCAUCAUUGUGUUGUACAGUCAAAGGUGAAUGCGAGGUCAACCAAUGCCUGUGUACCUCUCAUUGUCAGGCAUCCUAAACUUGGCUGGUAAAUUGGCCACUAGCAUACCCUUAAGAUCAUCCCAAACAGUUGAAUCGUCAGAUACUCUCAACUGUCUCAUAUGCUGCUCAAUACGGUCCAUACGUGUGUGAGCAUCAUCAAUGACUGUGGUCUAAACUACUGCAGAUGGAGCAACCUUAGAAUGACCAUGCAACAUAUAAGGUAAGACCUGAGGCACUAUCGAAACAGGUGGUGCGGUGGAGGUGGCAACGAGUCAUGAGGUGUCUCAUCCUGAACUACAAACGAUUUACUCUACGUCCAGACAUUGCUUUUUUUUUUGUCAAUUUAUUAGCAAGAUACAGUUCCGCUCCAACAUGAAGACAUUGGAAUGGUAUUAAACAUAUAUUUCGUUAUCUUCACAAAACUACUAAUAUGGGUCUAUUUUACUCAAGGGAAUCAAAGCAACAAUUGCUUGGAUAUGCAGAUACAGGUGUGGACCCCGUAUUUCUACUCAUGCGCUUUCACUCGAUUGCGAACUCGCUUUUUAUUUGAAAAAAAUAUUUAUUGUUUAGAAAAUGACUUGGAGUCGCCACUUAUUUUUGUUUUAUUUUUAAAGGGUAAACAAAAUAAAAAAGAAAACCCUAAGUGUGACUCCUUAUUUGGAAAAUGCAGUUUGUGAAAAAUUGGAUCGAGGUUUAGGGGUCAAGUUACUUAUUAGGAAGGUAGGGUAAAGACCGUAGCAUCCCUCUAAGUCCCUAAAAAAUGGGUCUCUACUAAUGAGAUGAAGCAAGUAUGACAAUUGAUUGAUCAAACAUUGAUACCGAAUGAAUAUCAAUCAAAACAAAAUAACCAAAUGAACAAGAGAGGCAAGGAGUGUACCUGAGUGAUGGGUCAGUUUACUUCAUGGAAAACAAAGGUUAGUAAACAAACAUAGAAUAAUAGCAUGCAUGUCAUAGAGUGGAAUAAGUCAAUCAAUCAAUCAAUUAAUGAGGAAGUCACAUAUGUUGGGCCCCCACCAAAGCCCAAUUUAUUUUUGCAUGAAUUAAUUAUGUAAAUUCCAUCACUUGAAAUUACAAAAUUGAAUUUAUGCUUUUUUUUUAAAAACAUUUUAAAAAUCAUGGAAGUUAUGAAAAUUGCAUGCCGAAGAAAGUGGUAGCAAAUUUUUUUAAAAAUGGAAGGAUUUUUGGAACCCAAAAAAAAAAAAAAUUAAGGAUGAAAAAAAUAUGGAGUUGGGAUUUUUUGAAAAAAACUAAGAUCCGAAAAAUUAUUUGAAAAACUAGAUUUUGGAAAACUAUUUGCAAGUUGAAGUUUGGGGAAUUAUUUUCAAAAUAAAAAAUGAGGAAAUGGGAGAAUGCCACGUGGCCCAAAGGUGGCCAUGCAAACCAUGCAGCAGGCCAUGGUGCAACUGAGAUUGUUCUACUGACUUGCCAUCCCCUUUCCUCUAACAUCAAUCUUUCCUUGGAAAUGGGUUGAUUCCACCACAUAUUCCAAGCUGUUGGCUUUUGCUUCUUUGACAUUCUGUACCCACCAACAACACGAGCAUGGUGUCGUUCAAAGGGUUCAAGGGUGACAUGCUAAGAAGGUUUGAACAUCUCGACUUGCAACUUCUUCACUUCCUAAGAAAAUAUUGCUUCUGUUGGGACUGUCGAAUCUAUAUAGUUUUCCUUGAUAGAUGACCUCCAACUCUCUGGAAGUACAAUACACUUAGUGCCAAAAUCUUGGCUUGAUCUAACUGUGCAACAUUAGAAAAUAUCAUAUCAACCAUGCCAACCAGCAUACUAUACUUUGCUGGGUGUCUAACACCUUCAAUGAUGGGAAUAACGUUUGUUCGCUCCUUUGCCAUGUUUACUACGUCCUUACCAUUUCUGUGAGCCACCAUAGGUAUUCCAUAUCUGUCACUUGGGGCCAAAUCACUAGUGUAGGGACCCCUCCUCCUGAGAACACGUGCUAUGCAUCUCAUGGUGACACGUGGCACGCAUUAUCAUCCGGAUCACUCCCAUCCGGAUACACAUGACGCGCUUCUCCUAUCUGGACUGCCUCAAGGAAGGGCAAACGACACUUAUAAACAUAAACAUCCGGACGGCUUUCACAAUACAUUCGAAUGACCAACAUAGGUCGUCCAGAUAUGAUUGUCCGGGUCAUUGACUGAAGAAAAGUAAGUCUUACACGUUGUCACAACAGCCUACCAUAGCCCACGUUUCGCCACCUGCAGAGUGAAGGGACAAGAUGAAGUGACAACAAGUCACUUCCCACGAUCAUUUCACAUGAUCACCUACCACGAUCUCUGACAGCCGCAUCACCUACCACGAUCUCUGUCAAACUGCCCGUAAGGUGAUGAUGGCCCUGCCACCACCUAGUGUCAUCAUGACAACACAAAAUAUCUCCCCACCAUUAAAGAAGAAUCAAAGCUUCUGAUACUAUAUAUAUCAACCUUCACACAAAGAGGAAGGUAAGCUUGCUAUACCUAGUAAAAGGCCAACUGAUUUAUCUCUCUCUCUGACCAUGGCUGGCAAAACCAUCGGAGGGUGCGUCCAGACACCCCGUCCGGACGCCUUUUGCAGGUGAAACGAUUGAAUCAAGAAUCUAUAUUGGUUGAGAUCGUGCGUCCAUCCAUUUGGCAACUACGUGGAUCACCAGGGAUGCGAGGCCUCAACAUUGGCGCCGUCUAUGGGAACUUUUCGUUGAUUCAGUCACUAGUGAAGAUGGCCACAACUUCCCGAAGUCGUUCAUCUGGUAGGGGAGAAGAAGAUAAUUCUGAAUGGCGCCAAGCCAUCGAAAGAAGACAGUUGGCAAGCGAACGACAACUGAAAGCUUUCCUCCAAGAGACAGAAAGGUUAAGAGAAGAAAACGCGGUAUUACGCAUCCAGGCUUCAACAUCAGGGCCUCCUCGUCAUCAGCGUUCAAGGGGCCAAGUAGCAAACUCAAGGCCAGAACUAGAGUCAAUAUAUCUUGGGACAGCGGAAGCUAUCCCAGAAGCAUACAACGUGAGGCCAUGCAAGCCACACACUCCCAUGUCUCGAGCUCUCCGCGAGGAAAGCUCGGACUCUACUCAUUUUUCAACAAAAAGACAACGCGAUAAAAGAUCCCAGUUGUCAAAUUCAAUGCGCGCAAGACUAGGCCCACAAGAGCCUAGGAGACCAAGGCCACCAGCAACCACAACCGGGGCAACGCGCCUCGACCCUAUGGUCACCCUCGUGGUGUAGAACGUGCUCUCGCACCGUGACCCCAUGGUCACCCCCGUGGUGCAGAACGUUCACUCACACCCAGCGGUGCGACUAGAUGGGAGAAAUCCUCCAAGCGAGCCACCUUUUGGCUCCAUCAGCAAAAGGCUGGACGACAUGCUCUCCACGCCCUUCUGCUCCAAUAUCAUUCAUUACGAGCCCCCAAGGGGAUUCCUCAUACCAAAAUUUUCCACAUACGAUGGGACCAACGAUCCCUUCGAUCAUAUCAUGCAUUAUCGACAACUCAUGAUGCUCGAUAUUGGCAACGACGCACUGCUGUGUAAAGUGUUUCCCGCCAGUCUACAAGGACAUACCCUCUCAUGGUUUCAUCGCCUACCUCCCAACUCUAUUGGCAAUUUCAGGGACCUGUCUGAAGCUUUUGUGGGACAAUACUUAUGCUCCGCUCGACACAAGCAGAACAUCAACACUAUGCGAAACAUAAAAAUGCAAGAUAACGAAUCCUUAAGGGAGUUUGUGAAGCGAUUUGGUUAGGUCGUACUCCAGGUAGAAGCUUGCAGCAUGGAUGCUGUCCUACAAAUCUUCAAGCGAAGCAUCUGUCCAGGCACUCCAUUUUUUGAAUCGCUAGCCAAAAAGCCUCCUACAACGAUGGACGACUUGUUCAGACGUGCCAACAAAUAUUCAAUGCUCGAAGAUGAAGUGUGUGCAGCCACCCAGCAAGUUUUGGUUGCCGGACAACCAUCUAGAGGUGAUGUGGAAAGAAAUGCUAAACCUUCGGACCGGCCAAGGUCGUCCGAUCGAAGGCAGGAGGGAUCGAGUCGCCCGGAUAGGCCGCCCCUCACACCUCUUUCCAUAUCAUAUGAAAAACUUCUUCCUAUGAUCCAAGGCUUGUCUGACUUCAGGUGGCCCAGACCCCAAGGAACGGACCCAUCCACAAGGGAUCAUAGCAAGAGAUGUGCCUUCCACAAGGAACACGGUCACACGACAGAAACAUGCAGAAGCCUCCAGUAUCUGGUUGAGAGGCUCAUCAAGGCAGGACAUCUAAAGCAAUACCUCCGCUCAGAUGCUGGAGGAAAAGUCACUUCCCAACAUCACAACCCUGGAGCCCCCAAGACCCCAGCCGCCCCCAAGGCCAUUAUAAACUAUAUUAACGGAGGCCCAUCUGACGAGGAGUACGACUCUAGGCGAAAAAGGCAAAGAUUGUUGCGGGCCGCGUCGGUACGCGAAUGUAUCAACUCCAUCUGGCUUGUGUUAACUGGAGGGGGCCCUCGCCCCAUAGAUGGGACAAUCAUUUUCCCACCAGUUGACCCCACCCGGACACUACAGCCACAUCGCGAUGCCCUUAUCUUGUCCCUAGAGAUAGGGGACUUCGAUGUGAGACGCAUCUUGGUUGACCCAGGCAGCUCCGCCGAUCUUGUACAAGCAUCAGUCGUUGGCCACAUGGGACACAAUCUCACAGGCCUUGAAAACCCUGGACGAAUCCUGUCCGGAUUCAACGGGUCGUCAACUACGUCCUUGGGAGACAUUGUACUGCCGGUCCAAGUAGGCCCAGUCACUCUUAAUGUACAAUUCUCGGUGGCACAAGAGUUAUUACCCUUCAAUAUCAUCUUGGGGCGCACAUGGCUACACUACAUGAAAGCCAUCCCUUCUACAUAUCAUCAAAUGGUGAGUUUCCUCACCAACAAUGGGCAAAUUGACUUAUAUGGCAGCCAGUUAGCCGCUCGCCAAUGCUACCAGAUAACACGAGAAGUAGGGACCAACUAGGAGGAUGCAUCCUUCCUUGAGCCCAGCAAUUCGCAUGACCAAUAGCAAUUAUUGGGUUCGGUGGACAAGAAUCCCCUGGCAGCAGAUCCCUUACAAAAAAUCCAAAUUUCGGAGGAAAGUACUCACCUCACGAACAUCAGUUCCCUCAUGACACCAGAAGAGACCCAGAGCAUGCAAAGCGCCCUCAGGCGAAACCAUGACAUCUUUGCAUGGGCACAUUCUGAUAUGAAGGGAAUUCAUCCCUCUAUUACAUCUCACAUGCUUAACGUCUUUUCAACUACCAGACUCGUUCGGCAGAAGAUUAGGCGCUUUCACUCAGAUAGACAAAAAGUCAUCUAAAAUGAGAUUGACCAAUUGCUAGAAGCCGGAUUCAUCAGAGAAGUAGAUUAUCUGGACUGGUUGGCAAAUGUUGUGGUGGUACCCAAAAAAGAAGGAAAAUGGCAGGUUUGCGUAGAUUACACCAACCUCAAUAAUGCAUGCCCAAAAGACAGUUUCCCUUUGCCACGAAUAGAUCAAAUUGUGGAUUCCACUACUGGGUAAGGGAUGCUCUCUUUCUUGGAUGCCUUCUCCGGAUAUCACCAGAUUCCCAUGUCCCCGGCUGAUGAGGAAAAAACUGCAUUCAUAAUGCCAUACGACCUCUAUUGCUACAAAGUCAUGCCAUUCAGACUCAAAAACGCUGGCGCCACUUAUCAGAGACUGAUGACAAAGAUCUUCAAACCUUUGAUAGGCCACAUAGUAGAAGUAUAUAUUGAUGAUAUCGUGGUUAAAAGCAAAACCCGAGAGGAGCAUGUUCUUCAUUUACAAGAGGUUUUUCACCUUUUGAGGAAGUAUGACAUGAAACUGAAUCCUUCCAAAUGCGCCUUUGGCUUAAGUGCUGACAAAUUUCUGGGUUUUAUGGUCAGCCAAAGAGGGAUAGAGGUCAGCCCGGAUCAAGUCAAGGCAGUCAUGGAAACACCUCCCCUCAGGAGUAAGAAGGAAUUACAGCGCCUCACGGGCAAACUCGUAGCACUAGGGCGUUUUAUAGCCUGCUUCACUGAUGAAUUGCGACCCUUCUUCUUGGCAUUACGAAAAGCUGGAGCAAGCGGAUGGACGGACAGCUGUCAAAAGGCUUUUGAAAAGAUUAAACACUGUCUUAUGCAGCCGCCCAUCCUAAGCAACCCCAUCCCAAAAGAAAAAUUAUACAUGUAUCUAGCUGUAUCGGAGUGGGCAGUCAGUGCCAUUCUAUUUUGCUGCCCCUCACCUAAGGAGCAGAGGCCCAUCUACUACGUCAGCAGAGCAUUGGCAGACGUAGAAACCCGGUACUAAAAAAUGGAGCUAAUAGCCUUAACCCUUUGCAGCGCUGCCCAAAAGCUCCGCCCCUAUUUCCAAGCCCACCCGGCGGUCGUGCUGACCGAUCAACCCCUUCGCAACAUUCUGCACAAGCCAGACUUAACCGGAAGAAUGCUGCAAUGGGUUAUCGAAUUGAGCGAGUUUGGAAUCGAAUUCCAACCUAGAUUGUCCAUGAAAGGCCAAGUAAUGGCUGACUUCGUGCUAGAAUAUUCCCAAAGGCCCAGCCAAAGCCAGAAACAGAAUGAAAAAGAGUGGUGGACUUUAUGGGUCGAUGGAGCCUCACGAUCAUCCGGAUCUGGUGUAGGACUCCUGCUACAAUCACCAACAGCAGAACAUCUGGAGCAAGCCAUCCGGAUGGGAUUCCCCGCCUCAAACAAUGAAGCGGAAUAUGAAGCCAUCCUAUCCGGAUUAGAUCUCGCCCUGGCUCUAUCCGUCUCUAAGCUCCGAGUCUAUAGCGAUUCUCAACUUGUGGUCAAGUACGUCCAGAAGGAAUACGAAGCCAAAGAUGAGCACAUGGCGCAAUACCUAGCUAAGGUGAGAGAUACCUUACAACGAUUCAUCGAGUGGACAAUCGAAAAAAUCAGACGUACUGAAAAUGGAUGCACAGAUGCCUUAGCAGGCAUAGCUGCCUCUCUCCCCAUCAAAGAAACCAUAUUUUUGCCUAUACAUGUGCAAGCCAACUCUUUCGUCACAGAAACUUCCACUUGCAGCGCCAUUGAGGCAAGUCAACCAGAUGGCCAAGAAUGGACAAACAAUAUUGCACAAUACCUCCGGACAGGCACUUUGCCCGAAGAUCCCAAGCAAGCACACAAGAUCCGGGUCCAAGCCGCCCGUUUCACUUUGUUUGGGGGCACUUGUACAAACGCUCUUUCACAGGCCCCUAUCUUUAGUGCCUAAGUCAUUCAGAGGCCCUUUAUGUAUUAGUGGAAUUACACGAGGGGGUAUGUGGCAAUCAUUCUGAAGGACAGUCUCUAGCGCAUAGGGCCCAUUCGCAAGGAUAUUAUUGGCCUACAAUGAAGAAGGAUGCAGCAGCCUACGUAAAAAAAUGUGACAAAUGUCAAACGUAUGCCCCCAUUCCACAUAUGCCGUCGGAGACAUUGAAACCAAUUUCAGGCCCCUAGCCCUUCGCACAGUGGGGCAUGGACAUAGUAGGACCUCUCCCAGCCGCACCCGCCCAGAAGAAAUUCCUACUUGUUGCCACGGAUUACUUCAGUAAGUGGGUGGAAGCAGAAGCAUAUGCUAGUAUCAAAGACAAAGAUGUCGCCAAGUUCGUAUGGAAAAACAUCAUCUGUCGCUUCAGAAUCCCCCAAACCCUUAUAGCCGAUAAUGGUCCACAGUUUGAUAGCAUCGCCUUCCGGAAUUUCUGUUCGGAACUGAACAUCCGAAAUUCUUACUCCACACCGCGUUAUCCUCAAAGUAAUGGGCAAGCAGAAGCAACAAACAAAACCCUGAUCAAUGCCUUAGAGAAAAGGCUCGAGCAAGCCAAAGGAAAAUGGGUAGAAGAGUUACCCGGCGUCCUGUGGGCCUAUCGAACCACACCCGGUCGUCCAACAGGAAACACUCCCUUCGCCCUCGCAUACGAUAUGGACGCAGUCAUUCCUACCGAAAUUGGGCUACCCACUAUUCGGACUGAGGCAACAAAACAAGAUGAUGCAGACGCGAAGUUAGGAAGAAACUUGGAUUGGGCAGAUGAAGUAAGGGAGAGCGCAACCAUCCGGAUGACAGACUAUCAACAAAGGGCAUCCGCUCAUUACAAUCGCAAAAUAAGGCCCAGAAGCUUCAAAAAUGGUACGUUGGUACUUAGAAAUUUUUUUGAAAACACUACUGAAACAGGAGCAGGAAAAUUCCAAGCCAAUUGGGAAGGACCCUAUAUAGUAUCUAAGUCAAGUGAAAGUGGCGCUUAUCAUCUACAAAAGCUAGACGGAACUCCAUUACUCAGACCAUGGAAUGUGUCGAAUUUAAAGCAGUAUUAUCAAUAAAAGAAAGAGACAAGUACAAAAUGUCAAAAUGUAUGUUUUAUUGAUAUUUGUAAAGUUAUGUACAAAGGGUCCUCCGGACUACAAAAAUACAAAAAGAAGAUAGCAGCAAAAGAUUACAAAAAGAAAAGCUAUUAGGGAGCAGACUUGUCAAGGAGCUUCUUCUUUUCACCCGGAGGAAUUGAAGGGACAUCCCGCUUAAUGCCAUUUUUCUUCAUACAGUAGCGAUAGCCGAAGAAGAACAUAUCAUCCACUUGCUUUUGGUAGUUCGCUUCAAGUUUCUCAUUCUCCGUAGCAAACUCGCCCUCCAGCUCUUCUUUUUGCGCUGAUAAGCGCAGCUGCAAAUCUUCUCUCUGCUUCUUUUCAAUUGAAACUUCCGUCCGGAGGUGCCUCACCUCCCCCCACAAAAGAGCCACCUCAUCCUCUGCCUCAUGCAAGCGGGUCUCCAUCGAAUCCUCCCGGCUCUUUGCCUCAGCUAAGUCCACCCGGAGAGCCUCAUUCUCCCCCCGAGCGGUGGAUAAAUUGGUUUUGGCCUCCUCCAGUCUCAAGCGCAGCUGACCUUCACUAUUUUUUCGCUGAGACGUGAAGGCCUUCAUGUAAUCGGUGGUCCGCAGUAGGUCAGUAAAUAGAUCGUGUUGUUGAGCCAUGCCGCGAAGACCACUCACCAGCUACAAACAAAGCACACAAGCAAGAAAAGUGAAAUUAGAAGUCAUACUACAAACACAUCAGCAUGACAAAAAAUCAAGUAGCACAAAGUACAGUAUACCGUUUCCACCACUUCAAACAUCUUUUCUGAAGGCAUGACAGUGGUCGAGCCGGGUGGAAUCUGCUUAAGCUUCUCUUCCAACUCCGCAUAGCUAAAAGGGCUAGCAGAGGUGCAAGCCGCAUCAUCAACAGGAUCCUCCCGGAUGAGGCGUUAGAAAGUGAUUCCUCCCCCGGAUCCGGGGCCCCAUCAUUUUCAGCUGGAUGGGUCUCUCCGGGCGUACCCUCAUCUGGGACCACCAUCGGGACGGUUGGGGUCUCAGUUUCCAUCUCUGUCUCGCUCCCCUCCGGAUGGUCAUCCUGGACGGAUGAGCAACUGACUUCGAUGGUCUCCUGGAAUUGAUCUUGAAGCCGCCCGAGAAGGCCGGACUUUAGGUUCUGCGCCGAACUCGAUCUCCUUGAGGCUGGCCCCUUCACCGGUACAAGGACAAGAGGGCUUGGCUCGCAGGAUGGCAGACCCUGGUUUUCUACCCCCAUUUCCUCCAAUGGGGUUGCCAUAGGAGGCGAUACGGCCGCACAAGAAGCCUCCACCGCAUCUGCAUCCGGAUGAGAGGAGCUAGGUUGGUUUAUUGACGUAGCUUCUUCUACCACUAGAGCCAAAUGGCCAGCCACCGACAUUGAGGGACCGGACUGGUUCAGACCCGCAAGAUGUCCGGGUCCGCUUGAAACAGAAACUGGGACAGGAUUUUUCGGCUCCUUUAUUGUUUCCUCCUUCACAUAGGUUGAAGGAGGAAUUACAACCUCCUUUGGAGGAGGGGGGAUUUCCACUUCCUUCCCAUUCUCAAAAGUCUUCUUUUUCUUCUUCGUUGGAGCGCCAGCAGGAGGGGAGGACACAGACCGUUUUUUCCCCGGAGCCUUCCGCAAGGUUUCCCCAUUUUUUCUCCUCUCCUGAUCGUCAAGGAGCGCUUGGCAUUUCUCAGCGUCCGCCUGUUGCACCUCCUUGUAGAAAGGAAGGUCUUUCAGAAUGUAAUGCUCCCCAGGCACUACCUUCUUUGGCAGCUUCCUGGGAAGAAUAUUGAUGAUAUACUCACGGGGCUCCCGGACAACAGCCAUCAGAUUCCGCGCAGUGAGCAGCGUCGUAAACUGCCUCUCGGCGGCAGUAAUUUCGAACAACUUGUUCAAUCGAACAAAAGAUGCUUUCUCUACCCACUCAACUACGUGGCCCCUCUUGUCCGAACCUGCAUUAUCAACAAACUAAUGAUGAUUAUGACAUCUGAUAAAACCAGCAAGAAGGACAACAAAGAUAAAUGCCGGACAGAACCCAUAAAGUUGACGUACCCGAAAGCACCAAUGAAUAGUUUAGAGAGAAAGACCUCUCUGGAUGCUCCAAUAGCCCCGCCCAGGCACCCCGAACCACCACAUACCCCUUCGCCCCCCCUUUCGUUGAAUCCGGCAGCUCAGUCACCAAUUGAAGAGAGGGCAGAUGGGCGGCCAUACUGAAGAUGUCAUUUUUUCCCUUCUUCAGGGAGUAAACAAAAAGAACCUCCAGCAGCGAGAGGUCAAGGUUGAACAACAUGUUAAGAAUGCUGCAUCCCAUCAGCACUCGGACUAUAUUAGGGUGGAUGAAGGCUGGUGGGAUCUGGGUAAAAUGGAGGAAUUCCUUGAACAGCACCGGGAGAGGGAACUGGAGCUCGGCAUUGAAUUGCUCAUUUGAGAAGGUGAUGGCACGACCUUCAGCUUUCUCGGUAGACACGACCUCCUCCUCAUCCAGAAAUUCCACAAGCACGCCAUUUGGGAUACAGAAACGGUCCCGGAACUCCUUUACACUCAGUUUAUCUAUAGAUUUCUUCGGAGCAUCACCGACCGGGCCAGACGAAGUAACUUCCUUGUUUGCAGACAUUUUCUAGCCUGAGACUGAAAUGGAAACGACAUAAAAGAGGCACCAACAGUCAACAACAAAAAAAAAUCUUAAAAAAAAAAAAAAAAAACCCUAGAAACCAAACAACACCAAUAUUCACACACACAGUCGCAAAAAGUUGCCCAAGCAAACCAGAAACAAACCAACAAAACCAAAGCGCAGGAAGGAAAAGACAAAGGCAAAAAUACGUACCGAGUGUAAAAAGAAAGACAAGGGUUGCAAAUCGCAAGGCAAACACCGUCAAAACGCAAAAAUCACCGUCAGAAAAUUCUAGGGCUUCACUCAGCAAAAUGAAGGUACAUAGAAGGUAGAAAAAGAAACACUCUCAGAAAAAACGCAGUAGGAAAAAUGCAACAGAAGGCACAGGAUGCUAUUUAUAGGAGAACAGCCCCUCGGUAUACCAAACGAUCAGCUACGCUAUCAUUGAAACGACAUGCUGCCUGGGAAUACACAGAGACGACGACUUAUCAUAAAUGCUUCUCUCUCUCUUCACCCCCGCUCGCCACGUGACCCAAUAAGCGCAAAAAGCAAUCAUAGUUUCAAAAAACCAAUUAUUUUUUUUAACCCGUCCAUUUUUGCUCAGGCAAAAUAGGCAAGUUAAAAAGGGGGGCAUUGUAGGGACCCCUCCUCCUGAGAACACGUGCCACGCAUCUCAUGGUGACAUGUGGCACGCAUUAUCAUCCGGAUCACCCCCAUCCGGAUACACAUGACACGUUUCUCCUAUUCGGACUGCCUCAAGGAAGGGCAAACAACACUUAUAAACAUAAACAUCCGGACGACUUUCACAAUACAUCCGAAUGACCAACAUAGGUCGUCCGGAUAUGAUUGUCCGGGUCAUUGACUAAAGAAAAGCAAGUCUUACACGUUAUCACAACAGCCUGCCAUGGCCCACGUUCCGCCACCUACAGAGUGAAGGGACAAGAUGAAGUGACAACAAGUCACUUCCCACGAUCAUUUCACAUGAUCACCUACCACGAUCUCUGAUAGCCGCAUCACCUACCACGAUCUCUGUCAAACCGCCCGUAGGGUGAUGAUGGCCCUGACACCACUUAGUGUCAUCAUGACAACACAAAAUAUCUCCCCACCAUUAAAGAAGAAUCAAAGCUUCUGAUACUAUAUAUAUCAACCUUCACACAAAGAGGAAGGUAAGCUUGCUAUACCUAGUAAAAGGCCAACUGAUUUAUCUCUCUCUCUGACCAUGGCUGACAAAACCAUCGGAGGGUGCGUCCGGACGCAUUUUGCAGGUGAAACGACUGAAUCAAGAAUCUAUAUUGGUUGAGAUCGUGCGUCCAUUCAUUUGGCAACUACGUGGAUCACCAGGGACGCGAGACCUCAACAACUAGGACUAUAUCCACCUGAAUAAGAAGAAAACUUGCGUUCACAUGGUUGACUAUCACGGCUUCCUUCGGCAUGCCCCAUACGACAUAUAGAUUAUCAUCAGAUCGGCAGGGAGGAGGUUGAGUACCAGACGCUCGCUCCAUAUAACCAUAAUUAGUCAGAGGUUUAUGCCAAAUGACAGUUUGAUUCCUUUUUUUUUACAGCUAUUCUCCAACACGUGUUCCGCAAGGACACCCAUUUCUCUCUGUAUUAUGAUAUCUUCUUCAUCUUGUGCGUAUGUUUCAAGAGGAGAGUAUGCAGGAUAGCCUCCUAGCCUAAGCAACCUAUCUAACUUAAGAAGAAAAAUCCCAUCCCUUUAAAGCCAAUCAAUCCCACGACGAGAACGAUGGGCAAGUUCAGAAGAUCUGCUAGGGUAUGAGAGUUUCUUUGUCCUUAAAACUCCAAGAUAUGUUGGAAUUAUUCUCUCCAAACUGACUGGCAGUAGUACCGAAGCUCCCCAAAAACUAAAUGAAUGGAUAUUUUCUACUCGUUUGGCUAAUUUAUGAUUCUCUUAUUCCAUAACAUACGCUCUUAUAUUAGACCCAAAGAUACAAUUCAAUUAAACUGUGGAACCGACCCCUUUGUGCAAUUAUUGCCUUCCGGAUGCCAGAUAAGAAAGCGAUGUUCAGAUUUGGGAAAACACCAGAUGGCAUUAUGCCAGUAAACAAUACACACUUGAGUCUAAUAUUUUUUUGAAGAAAACCUGAUUCUGAGAACUAUGCCAAAAAUUAUGUUUCAUAACUUGCAAUACAUCUAUUGGUAAGUUAACUAUCAACGAUUCCUUAUUCACCUCUCAACACUGAAGUACAAAAAAAAAAAAAACUCUGAGACCAUAAGCUUCAAAUUCACGUGUUUGUGGAAGGAAGCUUGGAGGCUUCGGAUAUCUUGCAAGAGAUAAUAGCGAGCGAUGGGGUAGUUGUAUGGAACUACGGUGUUAUCGGGGUCUGAGCUUCAUACCAAAAGGUGGCCAUGCAUGCGUCUUAUUUCGCCUUGAAGUUCACAUGUUAGAACAACAACCUUUCAACCAGGUUCCAAAUCCUACAGCAAACACAAGCAGAUCUGAAGCUUAUGCACAAAUUUUCAUGUCAUUAAUGUAGUGCACUAGUGCCGCCUACUAUGGUCAUGAUAAUCCGACGUUCCUUAGCUCCCCAAACUUUCUCAUCGCAUGAUAUCUUUAAGCUCUGCCUCUUCUACAUUACUCUUACCAAUUCUUCAACUCUAGACAGGACCAUAAGACCAUCCUUCAUCUCAGUCACCAUGUAGAGCAUCCAAUAUGCUGAAACUUCCUUUCUCUGCCAUGGGUAAGACUCAAUCUGAAAUUUCUCAGCGCCUGAUCUGGAUUUCCUCUCUCAAAAAUCUAUAGGGCCAUCGAUGAAGAUUUCAUUCAUCUUUUGAGUACUUCUAGCUUGUUAAUGGUGGAUGACCUGUUAGCUUCAAACACCUCCUUGAAGUCUUAUAUGCUUGGCGCAUACACUUGAAUAUUGAAAUCACCAUGCUUCUCAUUUGUAAACAGGCCCACUAAGACAAAAUCACUUCUAACGUCUUGCAAAUGGGUUUUAAAGAGGAGUCUGACCCCAUCCUAGUUGUAACGACCCGCACUCAACCAUGUAGAUAUUGUCCGCUUUGGGCCCAAGAGGGUCCUCACGGCUUUAAAACGUGUUUACUUGGUUAAGAGAAGCCUCUACAUAUAUAGCGUCAGGAACAUUCUCCCCUAUCCGAUGUGGGACAUCACAAACACCCCUCAUGCAGACACAACGUCCUCGUUGUGUCCCAUGGGAUUACGGGGCCAAAUAGACAAACACCCCUUAUGGAGCUAAACAAAACCCCCACACCGGGGUCGGGGAUCGGCUCUGAUACCAUUUGUAACGACCUGCACUCAACCAUGUAGAUAUUGUCUGCUUUGGGCCUAAGAGGGCCCUCACGUCUUUAAAACACAUCUACUUGGUUAAGAGAAGCCUCUACAUAUUUAGUGUCAGGAACAUUCUCCCCUAUCCGAUGUGGGACAUCACAAAUUGUAAUGACCCGCACUCAACCAUGUAGAUAUUGUCCGCUUUGGGCCCAAAAGGGCCCUCAUGGCUUUAAAACGCGUCUACUUGGUUAAGAGGAGUCUCUACAUAUAUAGCGUCAGGAACAUUCUCCUCUAUCCGAUGUGGGACAUCACAAACACCCCCCCAUGUAGACACAACGUCCUCGUUGUGUCCCAUGGGAUUACGGGGCCAAAUAGACAAACACCCCUUACGGAGCCAAACAAACCCCCACACCGGGGUCGGGGAUCGACUCUGAUACCAUUUGUAACGACCUGCACUCAACCAUGUAGAUAUUGUCCGCUUUGGGCCCAAGAAGGCCCUCACGACUUUAAAAUGCGUCUACUUGGUUAAGAGGAGUCUCUACAUAUAUAGCGUCAGGAACAUUCUCUCCUAUCUGAUGUGGGACAUCACACUAGUAAUUGGGGUCCACGGAGGUGUUAUAACUCAAGUGCAUUGGGGAAGUCAAUUCAAACAGCGAGUGGUGUUACAACUACUUGUGAAUAGCUUGAACACGAUCUUGGGUGGAGUGAAUGACUCUAUAGGUCCACACACAAAAUAUCUUCCAAAUUGAAGCCAAUAUACUUGUAAAUAAUGAGUGCUUCACAUUUCCAUAGUGUUUGCAAAGCUUGCUGGCUUAUCAAAUGCACUAAAACCAAGAAAGCCAAUGGCAUAAACAAUCUAACUUUUAGCCAGUAGCAUAAUAUCCCUACGUUAGUGAGUAAUGGAGGCACCAAAGCCGAGAACAAGAAGGAAAAGGGAUUACUUAAGUGAGCUUGUGGAAGAUAAACAACAAGAUAACUAAUGGCAUGGCCCUUUCCCUGCCAUUUUGCUGCAUUUCUCAUGAAUCUGUAAUAAGAAUGGCAACCCACCUGUUAUGGUGGCCAACCACUAUGUAAGAUGAAGCAAUAAAGGCCACUGAAGUACAAACAUAGGCCGAUCACAUCAACUUAUUGAUCACUUCCCCGACUCGUCUUUUAGAUUUCGUCUCUCCUCUCAUCAGAGUGAUCUAUACCACAUCAACAACCGAUGAUAUGAAGAGUGUAAUGACAUUAAAGAUGAAAGAUAUCUCAAAAGAUGGAUUGUCUACCACCAUGGACACCCCCAAGUCAUUAUCACCACUAAGAACGGAGAAAAUAACUGCAAAUGCAAUUAUUGCAUAAGUCACAACCACCACAGUGACUGAGUUGGUGGCAUUGUUGAUUCCUUCCCUAUAGAGCUUAAGGAGUUCCUUGGCCAUUCCACUCGCAUUCUUGUUGAUUUUCCAGGUUUGUUCAAGUUGGGUGUGAACGUCUUUCCUGAUUUCUAUUAUAGUUUCCUAAGCUCAUCACGUGGUUGAUUCAGUUCAUUUGCUUUGACAGCACCAUACCGCGCCAAGCAGUCUCUUAUCUCAGAGGUUUCUUCAGACAGAGGGAGUCUUUCAGCUUAUCAAGGCAUUGAUCUUGUGAGCAAGAGUAGUUGUGACUGUGGGGUAUGAACCUCUAGGUAAUGCACAGAUGAUGUGAUCAUCAGGCGCAAUUGUGUUUUUGGCCAAUUUAAUUCCCUCAUUGCUAGUCUCAACCUAAGAAAUCCUUUCCUUAAUAACCUACAUUUCAUCUGAUGAGGUUCUUUCCACACGAGCGCAAAGUUCUGCCUACAAGUACUUUAGCUGUUAGGGCAUUUUCUGUAUUUCAUUUGAUGUCAAAUCUCUAUUAGCUAUGGACUCAUUUUGAACAUUGUGAACAUGAUCAGUAUAUUUGCUAAUAUUAAGAGUUUCCUCAACAUGGAUAUCAGCAGUACUGUUGCAAGCUCUCAUAACAGUUUAGAUAUUUCUACCAAAUGAAUCUCCAGUGCACUGAUGACAUAAAACAAGCUGACUGAAUCCGCAUAUGACCAAACACCUCAUAAACUAUUUCCAGUUGGGUACCUUUUGGCCUAACUAUAUCUAAGAGAACCCAACAUUUUUAUUAUGGAAUGACUUGAUUCGCUCAUCCUAACCUACAACCACAAUGACGAGAUCCCAUGCAUGAGGACUGAUGGGUGAUAAAUUUGAUGAGUAUGAAGGUUGAAGUGGUAGCAUGGGUGAUGAAGGGCAAUGAGAGGGGUGUGCUUAGUGGUGGAAUGAAUGGAAAAGGUGGAGAGAGAAGUAGUUUUAUAGGGUUAGGAGUGGAGAUGAGCUAUGGGUAAUGAGAGAAAUGGGUAUGAACGAUGGCCAUGUAUGCAUGAGGAUUGAUGAAUAGGUCGAAGAUAGUGGGUUUAGAAGAUAGGGAUAUGGGUAUGGUUUUGGGCAUGGGUGAUUACUACUCAAAAAGUGCUCUUUUAUAGCUUGUUAUAAACUCUUUUAAACACUUUUGAGUAGUAUUUAUUACCUUUUAACUCAAUUGGCACAUUAAAGACCCUUGCAAAUGUUUCUAAUCAGUUUUUGGCAAGUUUUGGUGUGUUUGAUAGCUUUUUUAUCAUUAAAAUGAGCCAAGAAUGAGAGAGAAUUUUGUAUAGUUCAUGACAAAGCAAGUUGAAGUUCAAACACAUGAAGAAUCCAAGUUUUGGAGAGCUUCGUAGCCUUUUCCAAAUCAAUCAAGUAUGCAAGGAGAAUAAUCAAAGAAGAAAUCUAACAUCCAGCAAUUUCGCAUGGCUAUGCAAAAUGCCAGAAGGAGUACAGUUGCAGGACAGAGAGCAAGACUGUGAAAAAUGAAUUUCGCACCUUGUGCGAAAUUUUGCAAGCCUUGCAAAACCAAAGACUAAGGAAAAUAUGCGAAAUUUCGCAAGCCUUGCGAAAAUCCUCUUGUGUAAUUUUCAGAUAUUUUUGCACCGACUCCGUUAGAUUUUUAUCUCGAGAUAUUUUGUGUAAUUACCUAUUUUCUUCCUGUAAUCAGCUAAAGAUAUUUUUAGAUAUUUAGGAUAUCUAAAUGAGGGGUUAAAAAAAAUCUCUCUAUAUAUGUCUUAAAAUAUCUCUUUUGUAAUAUCUCGGAAGAAAUUCCAGAGAACACUUGUAAAUUCUUUUAGUAAGAAAUACACAGAGCUUUGCUCUGCCUUACCUUCUCAUUUUGUUUUUAUUUUAUUUCUAGCCAAACAACCUCUGAGGAUGUUUUCUCAAAGGAUGAGUGGCUAGGUUUUUUGUUUCUUGGACUAAAGGAAGCUAGGUAAGGGAUCUGGAUACAAAGAUGAGAGUUUUCCUUGCUUUAAAUGAGGGGAGUUAUUACCUGUUAAUGGUUUUUAUUUUAAGGUUUAACUUAAAAUCCCUUAAAAUCACCUGGGCUAAUACUUGGUAAGCUUUUCGGACUCCCUGGAGAUCCAUUAGUUAUCUCUUAUGAGCCUUUAGGAGGUGGUUUAAAGGUAGGAUUACCUAGAAUGACCAAUACUUGGUAAGCUUUUCGGACUCCUUGGAGAUCCAUUGGUUAUCUCUUACGAGUCUUUGAAGGGUAAUCCAAGGUUAGGAUCACCUUGAAUGACCAAUACUUGGUAAGCUUUUCGAGCUCCAUGGAAUCCAUGGAUGUCUAUUAGUUAUCAUGCACGAGCCAUUGAAAGAUGAUUCAUAGUGAGAGGUCUUUAGUGUUUGAAACCAUUAAUGGGAAGCAACUGCAAUUUUUCAUGGACCAGUGGGAUCAAAUCUUGUUUGCUAAAUACACACCGGUUCAGGAGAUAACCAUUCUUUAUGUUAUUAUCCCCAAUGCGAGGAAAAGAUCCAAAAUCUCCCCUUUUUGUCUAAGGAACCUGAACCUAGUGACCUAAAACUCCAAGAAACCUUUUCUUUGAAAUUAAUCUUAGUUACUAUUUUUGGCUAACUUAAAACCAACCAUUUUCAAUCAAAAUUAUGUUUUCUUUUAAAGCUAACUCAUAAAAGAAAAAACACCAUUCCAGUACUUUAACUAAUAUCACUUGUAAUAUGAAAACCCAUCCCUGUGGAUGAUCCUAGAACCACUAUACUAUGCUAGUUAUGCUACCUCAGUGUAUGGUGAAUUAGGUUUAUAAAUUUUGUUGAAAACUCCUGCCUAAGGACCGAGUCAAAUAGUACACCAAUUGCGGACGAAUCAAUGGGGGAGUAUGAGGUGUGAUAAAUGGAGCAUGGUGAUAGGUGUAUUGGAGUAUGAAAGUUAGGAAAAUGGUGAGAUGAAGUAGAGAUCCAGUGGACACGCAUGGACUUGUAGGUUUGUACCCACUAUCACUUAGAGAUGCAUUUAUUUUGCUGUUGUAAUGAUCAUCAACAUUUCCAUUCGAGUCCUUGAUAACCUGAAACCCUACAAUAAACUGAAAAACCUUUUUAGUCCCAAUGAUAAACCUUACUUUCCUCAGUUGCCAAGGUUUAUGGUCAAAACGGAUUGCAUUGAGGCCUUUAUUAUCAUGGAACUUGACUCAUCUCUGUAGAUAACUGAGCUAACUUCCAUAAUACAUGCAUCUUUUGUAUCCUCUUUACAUCCGUUUGAUCGAUAAUGCUCACCAUCCGAAGGAACUUCAUUCACCCUCUACACCCACGAGCUAAGAUUUUCUUUCAGUCAUACCCAUAGUUUAUUUCUGAUUAACCUCACAAACCAACGAGCUACUACAACCAUUUUCACCCUUAAACCAAUAUUUUUUGUCUACAGUGCCCGACUUUCUUAGGUAGGGAUGUACAAAUGAUGUGUAAAAGACAGGACACCAAGAACAGAGGAAUGGCAAAACAAAACAGAGCACAAACUAAUGAAACAAAUAAAACAACCAAAGUCAUGUUUCAUGUUUAGAUCAACAUGCUUGACUAUAGGUGAGUGAACUAGAAUGCAUCCCAUGGAAAUGAAGACAAAACAAGACUCCUACAUGAUGCAUAGUGAAACUAAAAUAGAGUUGUGUUGCUCUCAAAUCACCCCAAGGAAAAUAAACAAGAUAGCAACAAUAAACCCAUAAACCAAACAGGAACCAUAAAACUGAACAUAUAAUCAAGAAAUCCACAUAAACUAUUGAGAAAAAGGAAUGAGACUACAUACCGAUAAAGUAAAUCCAAUGAUCCAUGGUAGUCAUACCUUUCCUUUCUUCUCUCUCUAUGGUUUUUCUCUAUGAUUUCUCCCAAGCUCCUCUCUCUGGUCUUUCUCAAGCUAUCCCUCUCUCAAAUAGCCUACAACUCUAAGUUUCCCACACUCCCUUGGACGUCUUGCCCUCUAGCAAGCCUGCUCUCUCUCUGACCCAAAACCUCUUUCUUUCUAAGAAAAACUUGCUCUCCAAGCCACCCCUUCUCAGACAACAACCCAAAAAAAUAUCUCCACCCCAACAACAACCAACUUGCCUCUUCCCUUACAACCUCCCUCUCUCUAUAACCAAAAAUACGCUCCUCAAUUGAUUCCCUUAACACUUGUCUCUUCCCCAUUGCAUCCUCUAUCCACUAAUAUGAUUAUCCCACAGCCUCUCUUGAGGCAACAUGUGGCUCCUUGAGAGCCCUCCACCUAGCAAGAAUAGCCUGCAGAAAAGUGAGCCCCAAAAUGGAGGUCUACAAUAGGAUAUAUUUCAGAUCCACAUAAAGGUAGGUCGGAAAUAGGGUAUGUGUUUAAUUGCAAUGGUACUACUAUUUCAUGGAGAUUUGUCAAACAAAUAAAGGUGACUACAUCAUCAAAUCAUUCAGAAAUACUGGCAAUUCAUGAAGCAAAUCGUGAAUGUAUAUGGCUAAGAUCUAUGAUCCAACAUAUUUAGGAAUCAUGUAGACUCUCCUCUAUCAAAGGUGACCUGAUAAUAUUAUUUGAAGAUAAUGCUACAUGCAUUGCAUAGAUAAGAGGGGGUUAUAUUAAAGGAGAUAGAACUAAACACAUUUCACCAAAAUUCUUUUAUACACAUGAAUUCCAGAAGUGUGGUGAAAUUGAUGUGCAACAAAUAUGCUCAAGUGAUAAUCUAGUAGAUUUAUUCACAAACUCAUUGCCAACCUCAACAUUCAAGAAGUUAAUACAGAAGAUUAGAAUGCGUCAACUCAAAGAUAUUAACAUGAGGGGGAGUAUGCUUGUAAAAGGGUGUUAGUGUAUUGUACUUUUUUUCCCCAAUGUCUAGGUUUUGUCCCACUGGGUUUUACUGGCAAGGUUUUUAAUGAGGCAAUCCUAAUAUACCAAGAGCUACUAAAAGAAUUAUAAGAAUAUUGUACUCCUUUUCCUCCACUAGGUUUUUCCCAUAGGGAUUUUACUAGCAAGGUUUUAAUGAGGCAUAUUCUUCUAAUGUGGUGGACAUCCAAGGGGGAGUGUUAUAACUGAAGUAAUGAGUGUUACCACAUUAAUUAUAAUAAAUGUUAAUUAAAUAUUAUUUAUGAGUUUCAUUAAUAUUCAUUAAUAGGAAUAUUAAUGGAAGCCAUUUGGAAAGCUUAUAAAAGGACUUCCCAUCCCCUGUAAUACGUACCUUCAAGCAAGAAAUAAAUUUCUCAAUUUAUCUUAUUCUCUUUGUCUUUCAUUCUCUCAACUCUCUUCUCUGAUUCCUUUCUCCCAUUAUAUAUAUUGUUGAAGAAUAUAUAUCUUAUCUCUACUUUGAGUUGCAUUUAUUCUUGUUUUACAACAAAAGCAUAAUUUUAAUAUUAUAUAUUCAUUAUUUAAAAAAUAAUUGCUUAUAUAACUAAGGUUUGAUUGAAUAGUUUUAAGUUUUUGACUUAGUUGAAAGUUAAAAUUGAAGUCAAAAUUAUGAUUUUUAAAGAAAUAUUCUAAAAUUUUCAUUAAAUAUGAAAUUUUUUUAUUGUAUAAAUACAAAUAAAACUUUCAAACAACCUUUUCCUACUUCCAAAAAUUAGUCACAAACAUAAAAUAAAACUUUUAAAAUUUCAAAAUAAUUGUUUAAAAAACUCUAAAUUAUGGAUAUAUUUUUAUGGAAAUAAAUCUUAUAUUUCUACUUUAAAUAUUUUUCCUAAAAUUUUCCAAUAAUAAUUAGUUGAAAAGGACUUUACAUUCUAUAAUUUGAACACCCAAAUUAAUUAAAUAUUUUUUUUUUGAAAAAAAAUGGAAGAUUAAUUUGAAAACAUUUAGGAAUAAUUAAUAAAAGAUUAGAAAUGUAAAAUUAUAGAAAAUAAUAAUAAUAAAUAAAAGAUGGUGAAGAAGUAUGAGUGAAAAAAUGCGAUGAUUGUGGGAAAGAACACAAGACAAACAUUAAGGGAAUGAUAUAAGUAAAUAAUUUUUUAAAAUGAUUUGACAUUAAUAUAUUUCCUAAUUUUAAAAACACAAUAAAUUAUUACAUUUUUUAUAUAUUAUUUAAAUUAUGAAAAAUAUUUAAAGGAAAUAAUUUUUCUACAAACUACUUUUUCAAUAACAAAUAUAUUUUGAAAACUCCUAUAUUUAAUGUAAAUUAUCUCAUUUAAUAUGUUAAAAAAUAAUUAACAUUCUUUACUUCUAUUCUUUUUCUGAUGAAAAAAUUAACAUUUGUUUUUUCUUUUGUUUCUUUACUUUUACACUUCUACUCCUUUUCUUUGAUAUAUUUUGACAUUUUACUUAUGACUAUGAAUAUUAUGACUAAAUGAUUGGAUGUAAAUGACAUAAAUAUAUUAUGUGAUGAACAUGGAUGCAACAACUAAUAAUAAAUCUAAACAAAAAGAACUUCCAAAUUUAAUUUAAAUUAUUCACCUUCUCUGCUCUCCUUGACUUUCUUCUUUCUCCUGAACAGCCUUACCUAUCUUUGAAGAAUGCUUCUAACCUUCCUUACCUCCCUUCCCCUGGCACCGGGGACUACUAAUAACACUUUCACAUUGACUCCUUCUAUCGAUCAGUUUUUAUCACAUGUCCUGGAACAAAGAAAUAAAUAAAAUCGAAUUAACCUUUCCGGAUAGGCUAUCAUCUCUUCUUCGGUCUUAUUCUUGUUACUUCUGACUUCAGGUGCAGGUUCUCUCGAUGAGGAAGGUCCCGCAUUGUCUAAGUUACUAUUUCUUAUUGGGGAUACUCUGCACUCAGGUUUUCCCGAAGUGAAUUUAUUGAACACUGAUAUCAUCGGUGGAAGGGACCGGAUCCCGUGAUCUACGACCACUUCUGAUCUUCAAUUUAUUUACUAAUAUUAUGAAAUAUUAUUGGAUAUAUAAAUAUAUAUAUGGACACCCGUUUUUCACAUGCAUCCCCAUUUGAAAUGAUGAGACUCACAUUUAUUGUGAAAAUUGAUUUUUUUUUUUUUAAAUUUGGAGUCAUCAUUUAUUAUUUUUUUAAAGGAAAACAAAAUAACAAAGAAAACCCCGUGUGACUCAUUAUUUAAAAAAGACAUGUUUACAAAAAGGAUAAAGUUUAGAUUUGAGGGUUAGGUUACCUAUCUAGAAAGUAUGGUGAAAAGCAGUAGCACCCUUUUAAGUCAGUAUACCUACAGAUUCUACUAAACAAAUCAAGGGAUUGUGAUAAUUAAUUAAUUAAUCAUGGAUACCAAGAUUAAAGGCACAAAUCAAUAUACAUAAAAAUAAUGAUGAAAUCAUAUUACAAGAAUGUAUAAUAUAAUUGACUAGAGAAUUAUGCAAAUUGAUUUAUUAAACUGAUUAGAAAAAAGAUAUUUCAAAAAUUAGUUUUAAAAAAAAUCCAAAGGAGUUUAUUAAAAACAAAUUUGAAUGAAUGAUUUCAAUUUAUUUAUUAACAAAAAAGUUUCAAUUCAUUUUCAACAAAUUAUUUGAUUCAAUGUUAUUUGCAUUCAAUUUUCAAAAAGGUUAUUUAUUGUUGGGCUCCCUCGUAUGUGAGGGAGUGGCUCCCAUAUGCUUGGGGCCCAAGUCAGUUACAUUAAAGUAAAAAAAAAAAAAAAAAGAGGAGAUCAGGAAAUUAAAAACCAGAGAGAAGAGAAAAUAGGGAAAAAAAAUGCAUCUGCCCAGAAUUCAUCAACAAGUCGAUCCUGCUUCAUCUGUGGUAUGAUCAAGUUGAAAUUUGGAGGAGAAAUUGAAAACUCGAGUAGCUACAAUAUGAACGGUAGAGAUCAGAUUUUGAGCUCGAGAAUUGGUGUUACUACCCAUGAACAGUAACAAUGUUUUUGGGGUAUACUUUCUCCAAUUUUUCUUUGUUUCUUUUGCCAAGAGAGAUUGUAUAAUCCAAGGCUAUAUGUGCUCUUGAUGUAUUUGGCAGCCUCUAGAGAUUAUUUUAGAGAAGACAGGUGUAACCUAUCAUUGUUGAUAGUGGAAGUUUGAACUAGAUUAGAUUCUAUGGUUUUUCCUUUAACAUUUGGGGGUUUUCCAUGUAAAAAUUCUGGUGUUUGAUUUAUUUUUUUGUUGCAUGAGUUUAUUUGUUUAUUGUUGCUAGUUGCUAUUACCUAUUUAAUUUUGAACAAAGAAAUGGUAGAAAAAUUCUAGUGUUUGUUAGAAUAUUGUGAAUUCACCCUAACAAGUGGUAUCAGAGCCAAAUUGAUUAGUAGUGGGAUCUCUUGUGUGAUUAAAUGGAGGAGGUUGGCAAUGAAAUGAUUAAACUCACAAGUUCCAAUUAUUUAAUUUGGAAUACUAGGAUGAAGGAUAUUCUAUAUUGUAAAGAGUUGUUUGAGCCCAUUAAAUGCAGGGAUUAUAAGCCAAUUACUACAAUUGAGGAUGAGUGGAAGAAAUUAAAUAAGAAAACCAUUGGACAUAUUAGGCAAUGGGUUGAUCAAAGUGUUUUCCAUCAUGUAGCCAAGGAAGUUGAUGCAUAUAGCCUUUGACAUCAAUUAGAGAGUCUUUAUGAGAGAAAGACUGCACAGAACAAUACCUUUAUGAUAAGAAGACUUGUGAAUUUAAAGUACAAGGAUGGUAAUAGUGUUGCAGAACAUCUCAAUAAUUUUCAAGGAUUGUUGAAUGAGUUGUCUUCCAUGAAGCUUGAGCUAGAUGAUGAGGUAUAGGCUUUACUUUUAUUGAGUUCCUUACCAGACAGUUGGGAAACUUUGGUGGUAUCCUUGAGUAAUUAAGCCCCAAAUGGUGUGAUAACUGUCAAUAUGGUAAAAGACAACAUGUUUAAUGAAGAGGCAAGAAGAAAAGAGUUAGGUAUUUCCUCUAAUAUAAAAACACUUGUUACAAAGAGGCGGGAGAAAAGUAAAAGCAUAAAACCUUCCAAUGAUUAUAAUCGUGACAAGUCAAGAGGAAAGUCAAAGUCUCGAAAAGAGAUAUAUUUUUUUACUGUGGCAAGCCAGGGCACAUUAAGAGAGUGCAAAAAAUUUAGAAGAGAAUAGUUUAAAGGAAAAUGUGAAGAAUAGAAAGAGGACAAAGGCAUUGCAACAAUUGCAUUUGAUGGUGAUACGAUCAUUGUUUGUGAUGAUGUGUGUGUAAAAUUUGCAUGCCAGGAUUCCACUUGGGUGGUUGAUAUAGCAACAUCGUUUCAUAUCACUGUACGUUGAGAUUUCUUCUUUUCCUACACUAGUGGCAGUUUUGGUUGGGUUAAGAUGGGAAAUGAAGCAAAAUGUGAAAUUGUUGGCAUGGGAGAUGUAGAGUUAGAAACUAGCAUUGGGUGAAAAUUGGUUCUAAAAAAUGUUAGACAUGUUCCUGAAAUACACUUUAGUUUGAUACCUGUUGGGAAGCUUGAUGAUGAGGGCUACCAUAGUUACAUUGGAGAGGGUAAGUGGAAGCUUACUAAGGGUUCUCUUGUUUUGGCUAGGGGGAAGAAAAACAAUACUCUUUACAAGACAGAAGCGAGACUAGUCAAGGGAGAGGUGAACAUUGUUGAGAAUGAAGCCUCUACUGAGCUAUGGCAUAAGCAGUUUGGUCACAUAAGUGAAAAAGGACUUCAGGUUAUUUCUAGAAAGAAGUUUCUACCAGUUAAAGGUACGUCACUAUUACCUGGUACACAUUGUCUAUCUAGAAAGCAAAGUAGAGUUGCAUUUCGUAGAUUUCCUUUACAUAGAAAACCAGAUAUUCUUGAUUUAGUUCACACUAAUGUUUGUACUAUGCAAAGUAAUACUCUUGGUGCUGUACUUUAUUAUGUAACUUUUAUUGAUGAUCAUUCAAGAAAGGUGUGGGCAUAUGUUUUGAAAUCCAAAAACUAGGUACUUGAUGUAUUCAAAGAUUUUCAUGUGAAGGUUGAGAGGCAAACUAGCAAGCAGUUAAAAUUUGUAAGAGCAAACAAUGGUGGUGAAUAUAAGGGGUCAUUUGAGCAAUAUUGUAGAAGUUAUGGAAUUGGGCUUGAGAAGAUGGUUCCUAAGACCUCGUAACAAAAUGGUGUAGCUAAGAGAAUGAAUAGAACCAUCUGUGAUAGAAUUAGGUGGAUGCUCUCUCAUGCAAAAUUGCCUAAGUCUUUUUAGGGUGAGGUCAUGAGGAUAGUUGUUGAUUUGAUUAAUCUGUUUCCAUCAUAUCCUUUAGAGGGUGAUAUUCCAAAGAGGGUUUGGAUAGGAAAAUUUGUUUCCUUUGAGUACUUGAGAGUAUUUGGUUGUAGGGCAUUUGUUCAUUUUCCUAGAGACAAGUGGUCCAAACUUGACAACAAGACUAAACUAUGUAUCUUCCUGGGUUAUUCAAAUGAAAAGUUUGGGUACAGGUUAUGGGAUUUAGCUACCAAAAAGAUUAUAAGAAGCAGAAAUGUUGUCUUCUUUGAAGAUCAAACCAUUGGAGACUUGGAUUAGGUUAAGAAGCCAAAGCCUUUCAGUGAAGAACAGGUUGAUUUGGGUCUAGUCUUUCCUAACUAUAUGGGACAUAAUGAACACAAGGAAGUUGUGCAAGAAAAACAGUUUGAUAUAGUUGACAGAAAUGAUGAGUCUGCAGUUGAUGAUGUAAAAGAAAAUCCUACAAUUGAGAAUGAUGGCUUAGAACAGCAGCAAAAACAAGCUACUUCAGAGUUGCCUACUGGAACACAGUUAAGAAGAUCUACUAGAGAGCGUCAACCUUCCAGAAGAUAUACUAGUGAUGAGUAUUUAUUGCUUUCUGAUGGGGGAGAGCCAGAAAAUUAUCAAGAGGUUCUACUGCAUGACGAGAAAAAAAAGUGGUUGAAAACUAUGCAUGAAGAGAUGAAAUCCUUGCAUAAGAACAACACUUAUGAAUUGAUAGAGUUGCCUAAGGGUAAGAGAGCAUUGAAGAAUAAAUGGGUACUGAAAAAGGAAGCCUGAACUAAACAAAUCAUAGCCAAGGUACAAGACAAGAUUGGUUAUGACGGGUUUUAGUUAGAAGAAAGGCAUUGACUUUGAAGAGAUUUUCUUGCCCAUGGUUAAGAUGUCUUCGAUCCAAGUUGUGUUAGGCUUGGAUGCCAGUAUGAAUCUAAAGAUUGAACAACUUGAUGUGAAGAUUGUUUUCCUCCAUGGUGACUUAGAGGAGGAAAUAUAUAUGGAGCAACCAGAAGGGUUUACAAUCAAAGGCAAGGAAUACUUAGUGUGUCAACUGAAGAAGAGCUUGUAUGGUCUCAAGCAGGCACCGGGACAAUGGUAAAAGAAGUUUAAUUCCUUCAUGGCUGAGCAUAGGUAUGAUAGAACUGUUUUUGACCAUUGUGUGUUUGUAAAGAAAUUCUUUGAUGGAGAAUUUAUUAUUCUCUUACUAUAUGUGGAUGACAUGCUGAUUGUUAGUCGUCAUACUAGUAAAAUCGAUAAACUGAAAAAGGAGUUGAGCAAGUCCUUUGAAAUGAAGGACUUGGGGUCUGCAAGUUAGAUUCUUGGUAUAAAGAUUUCUCAAGAUAAGAUGAAUGGAAAAUUGUGGCUAUCUUAAGAAAGCUAUAUUGAGAAGGUUUUAGACAAAUUCAACAUGGGCAAGGCAAAACCAGUGAGUUCUCCACUUGGAAGUCAUCUAAAGCUAAGUUCCAAACAAAGUCCUUCAAGUGAGAAAGAAAAAGAAGAAAUACGAAAGGUGCUCUAUGCAUCAGCCAUGGGUAGCUUGAUGUAUGCCAUGGUGUGCAUGAGGCCUAAUAUUGCUUAUGCUAUUGGAGUAGUUAGCAGGUUCCUUUCUAAUCCUGGAAAAGAAAACUGGGUAGUAGUGAAAUGGAUUCUCAAGUAUCUGAGGGGUACUUCUAAGACAUGUUUAUGUUUUGGGACUAACAAACUUGUGCUUGUAGGAUGCACAGAUGCAUAUAUGGCUGGGAAUGUUGAUUCCAGAAAGUCUACUUCUGGUUAUUUGAUCACUUUUUCAGGGGUAGUAGUGUCAUGGCAAUCAAGGUUGCAGAAAUGUGUUGCUUUAUCGACCACAGAGGCUGAGUAUAUUGCUAUCAUUGAAACUAGCAAGGAUUUAUUGUGGAUGAAGAAGUUCUUACAAGAAUUAGGUCUACAUCAAGAAAGGUAUCUACUCUACUAUGAUAGUUAGAGUGCUAUUCAUCUUAGUAAGAAUCCAAUUUUUCAUUCUAGAUCCAAGCAUAUUAAUGUGAAUAUCAUUGGAUUCGUGAUGCACUAGAGAUGAAAUCAUUUUUCCUUGAGAAAAUCCAUACUGAUGAGAAUGGAUCAUAUAUGAUGACAAAACCGAUACCUAUAGAGAAACUACAAUUCUGUAGAAAGCAAGCGGGUUUGGUAGAAUCCCUCACAUAGUCGAGAGAGGGAGAUUUGUUGGGCUCCCUCGUAUGUGAGGGAGUGGGCCCCAUAUGCUUGGGGCCCUAGUCAGUUACAUUAAUUUUUUUUUUUAAAAAAAAGAGGAGAUCGAGAAAAGGAAAACAGAAAGAAGAGAAGAGAUGGGGGAAAAAACACAUCUGCCCAGAUUUUAUCAACAAGCCGAUCACACUUCAUCUAUGGUCCGAUUGAGUUAAAAUUUGGAGGAGAGGUUUGAAACUCGAGUAUCUACAAUCUGAACGGUGGAGAUCAGAUUUUGAGCUUAGAAAUUGGUGUUACUGCCUAUGAACAGUAACAACGUUUUUGGGGUAUACUUUCUCCAAUUUUUCUUUGUUUCUUUUGCCCAAAGAGAUUGUAUAAUCCAAGGCUAUAUGUGCUCUUGAUGUAUUUGGAAACCUCUAGAUAUUAUUCUAGAGAAGACAGGUGUAACCCAUUAUUGUUGAUAGUGAAAGUUUGAACUGGACUAGGUCCCGUGGUUUUUCCCUUCGCAUUUGGGGGUUUUCCACGUAAAAAUUAUGGUAUUUGAUUUAUUUUUCUGUUGCAUGAGUUUAUUUGUUUAUUGCUGCUAGUUGCUAUUACCUAUUUAAUUUUGCACAAAGAAAUGGUAGAAAAAUUAUGGUGUUUGUUAGAAUAUUGUGAAUUCACCCUAACAUUUAUAUUUAUUGUUAUUAAAAGCAAUUUUAUUUACAAGAAAAUGAUUUUUAGUUACCUUUGUUAGGAAAAGACUGAAUUUUUAUAAUUUUAUUUGCAAAAAUAUUUCAAUUUUAAUUUUUAUUUAAGAAAUUUUUUUUAAAUGUUUUAAAAAAUAUUUUUUAUAACCCUAUAAAUUUUAUUUGCAAGGAAAUUGAUUUUUUUUAAAAAUUUUAUACAAAACAAGACUUUUACAAUUUUAGUUAAAAAAUAUUAAAAUUUUAUCCAAUUUUAUUAAUGCAAAGAAUAUAUUAUCAAUAGGAAAAUGAAUUUUACAAAAUGUUUCAUACAAAAAAUGAUUUAUUGUUUGAUUUUACUAAAAAAUAUUUAUUAAAAAAAAUUAUCCUUAAUUUUAUAAAAAAGAUAUUUUAAAUUAAUUACUUAUCCUUAAAGAUUUGGAUUUUUUUUUUUAAAAAAAAAAAGUUAUCCAAUUUUAUUUAAAAAAAAAAUGUUUUCAAAUUUUAUUCUUGAAUGCAUUCUAAUUUGAUUUUCCAAUUUGAUUUUUAUUUUCUUUUGAAAUGACUUUAUUUGCUUGAAAAAAAAAAGUUUACACUUUGACAAUUUUAUCUAAAAGGAAAAGAAAUGAUUUACUUUUAUUACUAAAAAAAAUAAGAUGCUCAUAAAUUAUUUAGAAAAAGAAUUUUCCUUAAAAAAAGGGAUUUUUCACAAUUUUAUUCAAGAGAAAGAGAAUUUUGUUUGAGUUCUAUUAAAAAGGAAUUUUUAUUUAACUUUAUUUAAAAAAAAAAAAGAAUUUUGACUUUAAAAAAAUUAUAAUUUUACCUAAAAGAGGAUUUUCCGAACUUAAAAGAAAAAAAGGAUUUCUAAUUUUAUUUAAAAAGAUAGCUUUGCCUUUUAAAAAAUAAAAUAAAAUUGUGAGUUUACCCAAAUAGUAGCAUGAAAAGUUUGAUAAAGUCAUUUUAGAUUAUGAGUUUAAGAUCAAUGAUUAUGAAAAAUAUGUAUUAUAAUAUAGACCUAAAAGAAUGCAUCAUACUUUGUCUUGGUGUGGAUGAUAUUCCAUUUUUUGGAAGUAAUAUAGAAAUAGUAAAUGACAUAAAAGAUUAUUUGUCUAUAAACCUAGAGAUGAAGGAUUUAGGAGAGAAACAUAUAAUAUUAGGAAUGAGACUUUCAAGAACAAGCGAGGGUAUAACUUUGAAUCAAUCAAGUGCCAUUGAAAAAAUAUUAAGAAAGCUUAACCACUUUGAUAGUAAACCGAUAUUCACACCCCAUGAUUUCAAUAUGCUCAUUUGAAGAAAAAUGUUGGAGAGUCAAUAGCACAAUUAAAGUAUUCUCAAAUAAUAGGUUCAUUAUUGUAUAUUACAUAUAAAACUAGACUUGAUAGAGCAUAUACAGUUCGGAGACUAAGUAGGUGUACUCAUAAUCCUAGUAAGAAACAUCAGAUUGCUUUAGAGAGAGUCUUUAUGUAUCUUAGAGGAGCUUUAAAUUAUUCUUUAUGUUACAAAAGAUUCCUUAACGUAGUGGAAGGAUAAAGUGAUGUAGAUUACAUAACUGACAAUCUAGAUAUAAAAUCCAUUAUUGGAUACAUUUUCCUUUUAGGAGAUACUACUAUUUCUUAGGGAUCUAAGAAUCAAACUAUAACAUUAAGAAGUACAAUGGAACUUGAGUUAAUUACACUAGAUAAAACGUGCAUUGAGGCUGAAUGGAUUAAAAACUCACUCCUAAAGGAAGUAAAUCUCUACCUGCAAUAUCUAUGCAUUGUGAUAGUAAAGUUGUAAUAAAUUUGGUGAAUUAAUGUCACAUAAACAAGAAGAUGAAUAACCAUUUUCAAGUGAGAUACAAGUUUGUAAGAAACUUUUUAAGUAAAAAAAUGUGAUAUUUUUGGAUUUUAUAAGAUUUGAAAAGAAUGUUUCUAAUUAGUUGACUAAAGGUCUUUCUAAGAAUGUUGCCCUAGAAUCAUUUAGGGGGAUAGGGCUUAAGCCUUUAAGGAAGUUACCUCCGAAGGUAACCUAACCUUUGUGAUUGGAGAUCCCAUAAAGAAGAUUCAAUGGGUAGAAACAAUCUACAUUGCAUGACUUAAUAAUACUACUUUUUAGGAGAAAGUCUCAUUCCCAUCCCUAUGGUGGUAAUGCUUUUGAUGUGAUGCAUGUUAGGAAGGGUAUUUCCUUGAAUGAGCCUGGGGUAAGAAAUUCUAUGAGAAGGAAUAGGUCGCAUGUAACCUUAAAGGACUCACCUAAAUGAGAGCCAUCAUGAGGCUACGACUAUGGGAGUAGGGUUGUUCUCUAGAAACUCUCAUGAGAAUCAUCAUACGAGUGCAUAGCCAUUAAUAACAUUAACUUGCUUGGAACCAAGUUCCAUAUGAAUACUAUGUGUGUGACAUGUUAAAGUUUGACUCAAGGACCUAGUUUAAGACAUAGUUCACUAUGGAUCCUCAAAUGGAAACUGUCAACACUAAAUAAAGGUUGAAGUUCGAAAGACACCUAUACCUAUUGCAUGGUAUAAAGUUUCCCAUUAAUUUUUUUCUUCUUUAUUUACUUAUUUUUAUUAUUAUUUUGAAUUUUUAAACCUUGUGUAAGGAAUGUAAGAUUUUAUUCAAAAAUAUAAAGUUCAAAACUUCCUGUAAUAGAAAUGAAAGAGGUUGAAUUCUCAAUAUUAUAUCUUUUAUUAUUGCAUAGGUAAAAGAAAAUAAGUGACUUUUACUUUUUCAAUCACUGUGUGGGAUUUUAUGAAUUUUAUUAAAAUUUUUGAGACUUUAUAUAUGGAGUUGACCAUUUUGAAAUAAUCAAGACUUAGACAACAUUUAUCUUUUUAUUAUUUAAAAAAAGAGCUUUCAUUUUAUGGAAAAAAAAAAACAAUAAAAAUAUUACAGAGAUAUCAUUUCUUUUUCUUUGAGUUUUCAUUUUUCUGGGAAACAAGAUUAUGGAUAACUUCUCCAUAGUCUUCCUAUGGAUGUGCCCAUAAAGGAGACACUACUACGAGCCAACGAUUGGGGCUGUAUCUUAGAGCAACUUUCAUUCGUUAACAUUGCAUGCACAUUGGGAGGUGAUAGUAGCUUUAAGACAAUGUGAUACCACAUACCUUACCAAAUCAAGCCAACUCUUUUUUAACUUUUAAUUUUGUUUCAAUUUAUAGUUUUCUAUAUUUUCAUGUUUUAGUGAGAAAGAAAAAUUUUAAAGAAAGGAAUAAAGACAAUGUAGAAGAAUACUCGUUUUUCAAUAACACUAUCAAGUCUAAGUGAUCAAGGUUGAUAGUUUUUCUAUACAUUGGAAAUUGAAGUUGUACUUCGUUGAAGUAAUGAAUUCAUCUUCUUUCUUUUCAUGACUAGUGAGAGUGCAUCCUAGGCAUACAUCUAAAGGUUUUUUUUUUCACAUUUUUUUUCUCAUAGUGUUAGAACUUCAUCUAGGUUUGAAUCCUAUUGGGAAGUCUGUUAGAGAUUAGCAAUUAUGGAAGAAACAUGUUGCUUUUGUCUCUUCCAAUAGAAUAAAAAGAAAAGAAAAAAAAUAAAUGGCUAAUACAAUCAAUAUAAUUAUGCAUUUACAAAUAUUAUAUCAAUUCAUCCAAUUUCAUCAUAUUCGAGAUGUGAUAUGGUUUCUAAGGAUAUUGAACCAAAUAUUGACAAUUCCAAUAAAAUUUCAUUCUUGAACAAAAACCUAGUUUUUGAUUUAUUUUAUCUAUUCCAUGAUCGGAACAAGGGGGAUACAUGUUGCACUAUGUUAUUUAUAAUUCUUUUUUUUUGGGUCAUAAUUUUCAAGCAGGUUGGAAGGAACAAGAGAUGUUUUGGAGAUUGCAUAAAAUAAUUUUUGGAGGACAAAUAGCCUAAUAUUUUGAAAAGCCUAGGUUUAGUAGUUUGAAUUAGAAUGGAAGGACUUUCUGUUUGGCAUUUUGAAAACACAUACACCUAAAGGUUGAGUGAAGAAUAGCAUUUUCGAGAGUUGAGCAAAGAAUAGCAUGUCUAUGAAUAAGGAAUUUGUAAAUCAAUUGAAACACUUUGCACACACUUCAAUUCAUUUUAAAAAUCAUCAGAGGAUUAUCCAAUGAUAAGAAGAUUGGAAUUGAAUUCAAUUUCAUUUAAGUAUAGAUUUGAAUUUAAGUAUUAAGAUUAUUUUAUCUACUUUAUUGUUGUGACAUUGAAGAAACUUUGAAAAUAUGUUUUUAGUGAUAAUCUAGAACUUGAUAGUGAGACUUUGACAAGUUGAAGCACAAUUGAAUCAACUUGAAAAAAGAAGAUCAUAGAUUGCUCUUUAAUCAUAAUGCAUUUUGCUAUCGUGAAGACAUAUGUGGUUUUUGACCUUGAGUUUCUAUUUUUGAUUAUGUAAUUGUUUUUGUUUCCAAUCUUGACACCACUUUAUCUCUCCUAAUUCACUUGAUUAAUUGGAGAUUGAAUUAGUUAAGUUGAAUAUGGUAAUCGUAAAUUAGUUACUAUAACAGUUGCUUCAUUUGAUCUAUAAGCUAAUUGAAGCUUAUUUCAAUCGUAAGUGCCUUACUUAGGUUGAUUAUUUUAGAUCUUUAAGGUUACAAUGCGACCCUUAAGAUGCAAACUGACAUUAAAGAAAGACAUAGGUUUAUGCUCUUUAAAGUGGUAUCAAAGCUAGGUUUGAUCAAAGUUGAUUUUGAAAAUUUGAUUGUCAUAGUCAUAAUCACUAUCUCGAAUGAGGAAACCAUAGAAAGAGAGAGAUUCAAUUGCAUAUCCACCAUACUUUAUGGGAGAUAAAACACAUUGAAAAUAAAAUUGCAAUUCUUCUUGAAUAUGAAAAGUGAAAAAGUCUAGAACUUGGUCAAGUGUAGUUGGACUUCUUUAAUGUUAUUGGAUCUUAAAGGAAAAUUAAUAGAAUUGAGAUAAAAUUGAGCAUAAGCAUAGCGAAAACAACUAAAAAGUGUCAUACUUGAUCUUUUAGCAUAUUAAGUCUAGAUGGCUCCAACAUAACCCCACAUUUUCAAUUUUCCAAGGAAGUUUGAAAUAUGCUUUAUGUCACCAUGAAUGAAUGACAUGACUUACAAUAAAAAAUUGAAAACACUAAAUGCUAUAUCUAGGAUAGAAGCAAUUCAUAUGAAAGACAAUGCCUUUUUCAUAUGGGGAUAGUUAAUGGUUGUUUCAACCUAUGAGAGCUUAUUGUUGGUAUUUAAUUCAAAUUAUUUAUUUUUCAUUCUUAGAAGAGUCAAUAUUUAUAGAAUUUGUGUUUUGGUAAAUCACUUUUUUUUUUUAGUUUGACUAGGAUUAGGAAACUAUUGGUUUAGGAUUAACCCAUAAGAUCCUGUAAAUAUAGAGUUUUUAUAUAAGAUUUAGAGAGAGAGAAAAAUUAAGCAAAAAGUGAAAAGAGAUAGACAAAGGGUGCAUUAAGUUUUGGGUAGAGAAAGGUUGAGAGAGUUUCAAAUGUGUAUUUUUUAAGUUUAUUAAUAAAUUUGAUCUUCCUUUCUUUUGGACAUAGGGGAUUAUGCCAAGCCAUGUAAAUAUUUUGUCUUCUCUAAUUUCUUUUAUUUUUCAUGUUAUAUUUGGGCAUUCCAAUUUUCCCAAUAAGUGGUAUUAAAGUUGUGGCAUGAAGAUCAUGGAAAGAUUAUUUUAAAUACAAUGCCAAACAUAAAAUAUGAUAUGAAACCUUUGAUGAAAAGAAUAAUUUUAGUAUAUAAAAAAGUAUUGUUAAAGAUGUUUUAAUCCAAUAAAGACUUCUCAAACCAUUACAAGGUAAGAAACUAGAGAGUAUGACAAAUGAAGAAUGGGAAGAGCUAAAAGCAAGAGCAAUGAAGACUAUUCAUUUACAUCUAACUCUUGAAAUAAAACACAAUGUUUUGAAUGAAAAAUAUGCUUAUGAGAGAAGUUAGAAAACAUUUAUAUGUCAAAAUCUCUAACAAAUAAGCUAUAUUUGAAGAAGCAAUCAUAUAAAUAAAUUUAAUAAGUGUAUCACCCAAUUAUUAAGUGUAAAGGUUAAGAUUGAUGAGAAGAUUAAUCCCAAUUACAAUAAAUAUUGCUUUUUGCCAUGAUUUUUUUUUCAUAAAGUAAAUUUCAUGACAAAAUGUCAUUUUUAACUACAAGUUCUCUUUUUCUCACUAAAAAUAUGGUAGAAAUAAUUCUUAUGUAAUAUAUGACAGUUUGCCGUGAACUCCAUUUUUUGUCACAAUAUUAUUCAUGGUAAGAUAUUAUCAGAUGGUACCAGGAGGGCAACUGUUUGGGUUAAGGUCCCGAGUUCAAAUCCUAGGGAGGCCACUCUGGUCCCCGGCCCAUUCCGGCUGUGAUGCCCCCGUCUGGCACAGUUCGGUGGUACGGCUAACCAGAGCCAAAAAUAUACUAUGUGGCCCUACCCGGACAAAACAAAUGACAUCCCAACACCGACUAGUUAACCUUCCACCGAUGGGAGCGAGAGGAGUUGGAGCACUGUGAAACUAGCCUAACGCAAUGCCCUUCCUGCUCUUUGAAACCUAGACACCCAGGCUUUCUUGCCCGGAUCUCAUGGUUGAACUCCCCGCUUGGAACGGGCGAACCAGGUGAAUCACACCCUAGCGCACCUUGUCUGUCAAGCCAAACUAAUCUUCAACCUCCUACAUACGCCCACCACUCUACUCAGUCCCAACCCAUGUGAAUUUUUCACAAACCUACUUCACCAAACUGCAGAAAUUCUCUGGUUUCUGUUACCUUUUGCCAUAUAAGUUCAUGUAGAUGUGGUGUUUGUUUUUAUGACUAGAGGUGUGGUUUGAAUGUUUGGUAAUGGGUCGAGAUGGGUUUUUCGUUCCCGGUAGCAAGCAAGGGUAUUUUAUUUUAAACAGUGAUUUUGAGAGAUAAGAAAAAUGAUGCUUGUUUCAAGCAUACUACAUGACUGUAUCUCAUAACCACAUCACCAAUUUCAAAAGAAAGUGACCACUAACUAAGUUUUUGGUGAAAAUAAUACCAAGGUAGAGGCAAGAUUCGGUGCUCUGAUACCAAAUGUAAGGAAUACAUAUAAUCCAAAUGUAUGAAAACAAACCAUAAAAAUCAAAACUGAAAAGUUUAGGAUCAGCUAUUACCUCUAGCCAUUGGUGUUUGAUUUAUUAUACUCAUUAUUUGCUGCAAGUCUUUGGCUCUUCCAAACUCUGAUCUCUCACUAAAGAUGGUGUAGCACUGAAGAAGAGAACAAUUGAGAGAUGAGUUCGAGACCAAAGCCGAUAUAUUUAGAGUUGUGGCUUCCCAUCAAAACUACGUCGUUGCCUUUGCCACAAUUCAGAGAGCAGUUGUGGGUCACAUUCCUGGACUGUAGGGAAUGUGGAAGAUGAGUGGAAGACUUGGCCAGAAGUGUUGGACCACUUCAGAGGUGUUGGGGGCGUGUAAUAGAAAUAACAGAUAUAGCUAGAUUAGGUUGACAUUUUAUACCAAAAAACACUUGAUCUAAUACAAUAUCUUCUAAUGGGACUUAUUAACUUUAUAGUAGAGUUCAAGAUAAGAAAUUAGUUUAGAUUUGAGUUGAAGUAAUGGUAGUAUACAAGUUUAAUUCAUUUUUAGAGAUAAUUAAAGAGUGUUUAGGAUGCUCAAGUACCUUAGAGCACUUAAGCUAGCCUAUCAAGUACUCAAGCACCCUAGAGUGCUUAAGUUGGUCUAUCAAGUGCUCAAGUGCUCCUUAAGAUUUUAGGAAAAAAUAUUUUUAAUUUAAAAAAUUCUCAUGUUUCGGUUGGCCACACUUUACUAUUUGUGAGAAAACUAAAGAAUCUUAGGCUUUAUGCAUAUAAAUACCCAAAAGCUUUCAAUUAUUAACGAUGCACAAUAAUGAAAUAUUUCUAUUAUUCUACCUACAUGCCUAAACUCUUAAUACCUUUCAAGAUGUUCCUUAAAAGUUUUUUCUAAGAAAGACAAGGUAGUAAGCCAAACUAUAAGCUUUAAAUUAGUUUUAAGGUGGUUCCACCAAGGAGCACAAUAUGUUACUUUAGGGAUUGGAAUAUGAGUAUAGGUGUUGAUUGAUUUAAGCCCUUUGUGUGAAUGUAGCAUCUAAGCCAAUUAGACUUGUGUACUAUCCUCAUUGUGUAUUCAAUUUGUACAGUGUUUUAUUGUUAUAUAUGAAGGUUUCUAAGGGCUUUUUUUUAUAUACAUGAUGAGACUUAUCCAUUGUUUCAUUAUGUAUUGAUUUGAUAUUUCUAAUUAUCUGUUGUGUGCACUUGAAUGCAAAUUGAAUAAGGAAAUAAAAAAUAAAAAUAAAUAAAAAAUUUUAAACCAGGCUAAAAAUCUUUAGACUACCUAUUGACUACGACCACCCCUUUCCACCCCUUCUCUCCUCCUCCCCUUUCUUUCCUCCCUCUUUAGCAAUUUAAUGCAUUAAGAACCAAUUCAUAUUUAAUAUUCAUGUUAGGUUUGGGAAUAAUGUAAAAUUUUGAGGUGAAUUGUGAAGUAUCUAGUGUGGUUAGGCUGCUAUGUUCACUUUCUUAUUAAGCAUGACAAUUUUCCCUUAUAGCAAACAUGCCAAAAAAUUCAUCAAGUUCUUUACUAGGAGAAGAGGCUAUUAUAUUUUAUAUUUAUUCUAGAUUUGAUCAUAAUGUUAGAAUUUGAGAUGAAAUAAUAGGUACCCAAAAUGAUUAAGUUGUCAUAUCCACUUUCUUGUUAGGCAUUAAGAAUUUUCUCUCGUAUUAAACAUGUCUAAAACCACCAUUACUUUCUUGGGAAAGAAGAUUAUCAUAUAUGAUUAUUUUUAAUAUCUUUAAUUCCUUCUCAUAAUAAUAAUAUUUUCCAUCUAAAAUAAUAAAUUUGCCUAUAUAUGUGUGUGUGUGUGUGUGCGAGUUGUCAAGUAUCUAGAGUGGUUAGGAUGCUAUGUUCACUUUCUUGUUAAGCAUGACAAUUUUCCAUUACAUUAAACAUGCCAAAAAAUUCAUCAAUUUCUUUACUAGGAGAUGAGAUUAUUUUAUUUGAUAUUUAUCCUAGAUUUGAUCAUAAUUCUAGAAAGGUGAGAUAUUAGGUACCCAAAGUGAUUAAGUUGCCAAAUCCACUUUCUUAUUAGGCAUGAAGAAUUUUCCUCUCAUAUUAAACAUGUCUAAAACCACUGUUACUUUCUUAGGAAAGAAAAUUAUCACAUAUGAUUGAUUUUAAUAUAUCUAACUCAUUACCAUGAUAAUGACAUUUCCCAUCCAAAGUAAUAAAUUUGCAUAUAAAUAUAUAUAUUUCAAAUGAUGGUAACUAUUAACUUCCUAAGGCAUUUUUUGACUCUUAAAAUUCGUAAGUUCAAAUUUGAGGUGACUUGUCAAGUAUCUAGAGUGAUUAGGUGUUGCUUCUACUUUUUUACUAAGCAUGACAAUUUUCCCUUAUAUUAAUCAUGCCAAAAAAAUUCAUUAAUUUCUUUAUUAGGAUAAUAAAUUAUUAUAUUUGAUAUUUAUCUUAGAUUUUGUCAUAGUGUUAGAAUUUGAGGUGAAAUAUUAGGUCCCUAAAGUGAUUAAGGUGCCACAUCAACUUUCUUUUCAGGCAUGAAAAAUUUUCUUCUCACAUUAAACCUACCUAAAAAUACCAUUACUUCCUUUCUUGGAAAAGAAGAUUACUAUAUAUGAUAUAAUUUUAAAAAUUUAUUUCCCAUCCAUAAUCAUAAAUUUACCUAUAUAUAUGCAAAUGAUUACAACUAUUUACUUCCAAAAAACAUUCUAACUCUUAUAAUUCUCUGUUAUGUCGAUCCAUAUUCAUUGAUGAUAUGAACGGUUCUCUCUCUCCUUUCUUUCUCUUUUAAUUUCAUACCUAUGGACAUAAAUGAUUUAAGGUUUUUUUUCCUAUAAUUUUUGUGUUUUAAUCCUCUUUUAGGUGUCUCAUGGGUUUUUCCCCAAAUUUUGGCUUUGUAUUGUUUGAAUAUAUGGUUUGUCUACUUCAUGUCAAUUGAGUGGAAGAAUGGUUCAUUUAGGUUGCCACCACAAAGACAAAAUAAUGACAAUUGCUUCAAAAUUGGAUCAACAAUUUACCAUGGUUUGAUGGUAAAUCUCUCUCUCUCUCUCUCUCUCUCUCUCUCUCUCUCUCUCUCUCUCUAUAUAUAUAUAUAUAUAUAUAUAUAUAUAUAUGAUCUAUCUAUCUAUCAUUCCCCUUCUUUUCCUCCUCCUUCUUUCCCUUAAUUUGUGUGUAAUUGCUCAUAAGCACAAUAUUUAAUAUUUAUUUUGUAUUAUAAAAUUUGCAUUCUUUUCACUAGGGCAAACAUAUGUGCAUGUUUUUAUGGUUUAUACUUAAGGUGUAAUGUUUUAUGCUUGUUUUGAAUGAAGAAGUUUGUAGUUUAUGCUUUUUGUUUAAGUUGAACAAACAUAUUUGCGUGCAUUCAUGUUGUCUCUCGAGGUUUCCUUUAGUGCUAUACUUUAUAGUAAUAUAAUUAGAAACUUAAUUUUUUUUUUCUGAUUUAUAUCUUUUAUGUAUAGUUUUCCUUAUAUGUCAUAUUUUAUAGCAAUAGUUAUAUAAAGUACACUAAAUAUGUCUAUUUUGGAUUAAAAAUGAUACAUUGUUUUCAAAUAGAAGUUAUACUUGAUUAAUUUUUCUAAUGUCUCCUUCACAAUCAUCAUAAUUUCACAAGAAGAUUAGAUAAUUAGUAAAAGUUAAAAUCAAUUUUGCACUUAAACAAAAGAUCACAUAAUAUUGUAAUAAAAUAAUGAUUAAUGAACUCCUAAAGUAUAUUACAUUAUAAAUAUUACUACUGAAAUUUAUCUCAUUUUCUAUUUUCUUUAAUAAUGAAUAUAUUUUUAUGUAAUAAUUAUUUGUGUUAUAAAAAUGACAUAAUUAUUGUUAGAAAGUAAAUUACCAAUUACACUCAUUUUCACGUUUAGAUAUAUAUUUUUUUGUAAAAUAUUUCUAUUAAGUAAUGUUUGAAAGAGGAUAUUAUUAUAGGAAAAUGUGCAAAUUUAAUAAUAUAAUUAUAUAAUUAAGAAUAUAACCUAACAAUUUAUGAGUAGUUCCUUGAUUUUUUUUUUUUUGUCUAAGUAAUUAUUGUAUCAUUUCCUUUGGAUAAAUGAAAUAGAAUAAAUUGAUAUUGGUGUGAUCUAAUGAACAAUCUUAAAACUUGAUAGAUCAUUCCUUAUUUAGUAUAGGCUUUCACUAAGUCAAUUGUUAGAAUAUCUUAAAAUAGACAAGAUACUUUUAAUAAUAACUAUUCUAAUAAAAUAUACUUUUUAAAAUAUAACAUAUUUAUAUAAUGUUAUUGUAAAUAACCUAUCAAUAGUAUUUUUGCAUAAGAAAUAAUUGAAAACAUAACAUUUAUUAGAAUAUUAUUAAUUAUUGUUAAUUAUGCAUAAAAUAUUAUUAUUCUCUAAAUAAUUUAAGUUUACAAUUAUGCACAUUCUCAUCACUAGUAGCUUCUACCAUGAUCACUUCCAAAUUGACCCAAAGCCAUUCAUACUGAAUCCAUGAUUUAGAUAACUUGAGAAUCCAAACUAACAAAAAUGCCAGUCAUUUUUCACAUAUAUUUUCAAGGUUUUUUUAAAUUCAUGUUUGUAUGUGCAUACUAGUUUCAUAAUAUUAUGUCAUAAAAAAAUAAAAAUAAAAACUAAUUGGGAAAAAUUCAAAGGUGUGUGUCAAAGGUUGUGGGGACAUCAGGCAGUGGGUUGGAACUAGAUCAGAAAAGGCAUUUAGCUGCCUUAACUCUUUUCCUCACAAAAAAAAAAAAAAAUGGUAUGUUUCUUUUCUUCAUAAAAAUAGUAUGUUUUCAUUGAAAUUUGGUUUUUCUUUAUAUUACAAUUUAUUUCUAAAGCAUGAUAUUGGAUUUUGACAAGGAUUGUUGAUUUUUUUGUAGCAUUUUACAAAGGAACAACGUCAAUGGAAAAUAUGAUGGUGGAUACUGAUUUUAGAGCAUAUGAUCUUCAAAUAUUCAUAUAUUAGUGUAUAAAUGUCCUAAAUUUGUAUAUCUUGAGCCAUACAUUUUGUUAGUCAUGGAGGGUAACAAAGUUUGGGAAUUCAAAUAUUAUUGUAAUUGCUUAUAACUAAUUUGUCAUUGAAUAAGUUUAUUGUCAACCAAUUGAAUAAUUGUUAGAGUAUGAACUAACAUUUUUACAUUUAUUCUAUUGUUUCUCACUCAAAAAUAUAUUUUUGAUAGAAAUACAACACCCUAUAACACUUUUUUAGGGGUUCAUUGGUUUCGUUGGAUCCUAUUAACCCAAAUACAAAUAUUGAUCCAAAACCCAUGACAAGGAAACACAUGAAUAAAAUUAUAAAGAAAUUGAAUUAUCAACCAUAGAAUAACAUGUAAACUACAAUAAAGACAAAAUGCAAGCUAGUAUUCAAAAUGAAUUUGUGAAUGUGUGAAUAUAAAAAUAUCAAGUAGCACACUUAUGUGAAGAAAAAUGGGCAAAACUGAUGACACCAUAGCCAACUAAUUAUAUCCUUUUGUUUUACUCAACUUGUAAUGAAUCGUCUUCAUCUAUCCAUCAAUGUCAGAGGCACCAUCCCUAUUAUAUAUAUCCAAACUUAGUAGCUUAAGACCUAAACAAAGACGCACAACAAUAAAAUUUGUAAACACCUAAUUAAACUCUUGACUCUUAACAAAGAAAUAUGUAAAAUUAGGUAGAAAGGAUACAUCUCAGACAAAAAUAAGAGUUUUAUCCUAGUGUGGUUUUUGUUUUUCAAACCAAUGUACUUUCAACUUCUCUAAGAAAUGUGAGGGAGAGAUGGGAGAAAAUAUCUUAGAUAUCUAACUUUGAUUUAAAUCCUAAUCAUAAAAGACUAGAAGGAACAGAAAAAAAAAAAAAAAAAAACUUACAAAUCUUGCAUUCUUGAAGCUCACCAAUGGACAAUGACAAAACACAAACAAGAGAGACAAAAAAAAAGGGAUGACAAAUGCCCACCUUGGAAAACAAGCAAGCUUCCAUUGUGAACGCACUUGAUGCUUUUGUAAGCUUAUUUAUCACCUUCCUUAGGAACAUGAAAAGAAAAUACAUUUUUGAAGCUCACCAAUGGAUAAUGAUGAAAGACAAAUAAGUGAGAGAUAAAAAAUAAAAAAGAUAAAUGCCCACUAUCACGCCCCAAAACCCACUCCAAGGGCAUGAUGGUUAUUUCCCACCUCAAGCCUAAAGGCUCAAAGUGAAAACGACACAAACAUUCGUAUUGUAACUGGAAAGGAAUUUACCAAUUAUCAAAUUCUUGUUCAGAGUAGUAGGACAAAAUUCUAAAGUCUUCAAGCAUAAACUUUAAGAAAAAACUAACACAUCAACCAGAGUGUUAUUGUCCAAAUAACUCCAAAUUCAAAUAAUUUAAACGGGAAUUAAAUUUUAACAUUUAAACAAUGUCCAAAAAUAAAUUUUGAACCAAAAUCCUAACAAAGAAAAAUUCUCAAGCCUAGCCAUCACUCCUUGCCCGAACUGAGAGUACCUGAAAAAUUAUCAACGAAUGGGCAUGAGUUUAAAGCUCAAUAAGGAACAUCAAUGCAGUUUCAUGGAUCAAACAUUUUCAAUCAUGUUUGCAAAUAGGAGAUAUAACAUAUACUUAUUUUCAUAAAAAUUUUGAGUUCGAAAUACUAAUAUAUUGAAACUUUUCAACAAACUUUCUCAUAUCCAUUUCAAAACAAUUUCUCAUCAAAACCAAAACAAAUGCAUUCAAAAUAUCUUUACUCUGGUUAUCAAAUAACAAAUGGUGCCCAAUUAGGUGGGACUUCACAAAUGAGCGACUAGUUUCAAAUUUGUUCCAUUUAAGGUGAACAAAACAAAAAAUCAACAAUUAUAACCCAUUGACUAGGGACAUAAGGUCAACUAUUAUAACCCGUUGACUAGGGCCAUAUGAUAUCAACUAUUAUAACCCGUUGAUUAGGACCAUAGAAAUGUCAACAAUUAUAACCCGUUGACUAAGGCCAUAGGAACCAGAGUCAAAAACUUUACUUCAUUAAUUCAAACUUGCAAAACAAAAUAUCAUAUCUCCAAAAAAUUUCACUUUUCAUAAAUAAACAAAGAAGAUUCUCAAAUAUACUUUCCAUACAAAACACAUAUUUGAUCCAUGCAAAAAGAUAAAAAUAAUAUUUUUACACUUUUCAAAAUACAAUAUAAAAAGGAAAUUAUUUUCUUCUAUAAAAAUCUGCAUUAAUUUCCCUUACCUUGAAGAAGCACUCAAAAUCUUGAAGUAUUUAACUCUGAAGAAUUUCCUCAUCACCUAACAUAAUAUCAUACACAAUAUUGAUUAUUGAUUAUUUAUCCAAACAUAUAAAUUUGAAAAUCCUAAAAAUAUAUUAUUUAGUAUUAGGGAUCCUAAUUAAUUUUUGAUUCAUGCCCAGUUGGUGUAUCAGCUGAUUCAUGUCCAGCUGGUGUCCCUUGAUUUUGGUUCUUAGGGAGUAAUCAACAAAAUUUAUAACCUAUUACACCAUGAACUAUGGUAGCAAAGACAAAGCUACUAUAGCAUAGUGGCUCUAGGAUCGUUCACUGGAAUGGGUUUUCACUUCACAAUUGAUAUUAAUUCAAAGCUGAAUUGGUGCAUUUUCAUUUCAAGGUUAGCUUUAAAAGAAAACAUAAAGAUGUUUGAAAAAAGGUUUGGUUUUAAACUAACCAAAAAUAAAAACUGAUUUUACUUACAAAGAAAAGUGUUUCUUGGAGUUUAGAUCACUGGGCUCAGAUUCCUUGAACAAAAAGGAGAGUUUUGGUCACUUGUUUAUUUUCCUCACAUUAGAGAAUUAACAUAUAGUUAAUUCUCUAACCGAUUUUGUAAAGAUGUUUCCCAUUAAUGGUCUAAAACACUAAAUCCCUCUCACUGAUACACCUUGCAAUGACUCAUACCUCUCACCUAGCACUUGCCAUUCAAGGUGAUCUUUAACCUUGGAUUACCCGUCAAAAGCUUGCAAGAGAUAACUAAUGGAUGUCUCCGUGGAGUCCAAAAGCUUACCAAGUGUUGGCUAUUCUAGAAAAUCCUACCUUCAAACCACCUCCCAAAGGCUCGCAAGAGAUAAACUAGUGCAUCUGUAUGGAUGGAGAUCACUUGCCUUACCAAGUGUUGGCCCAGGUGAUAUAAAGGCAUUUUAAGUUAACUAAAAAGAUAAAAACCAUUAAUGGGUCACACUUUCUCUUCAUUAAAAACUAAAACAACAAAACUUCCAAUUUAUGCAUGUGGAAAUUUACCCGGCUUUCUUCACUCCAAGAGACAAAGAGCCUAGCCUCUCAUCCUCUGAGGAAAAAUCCUCAAAGUUUGAUUGGCUAGAAAUAAAAAUAACGAGAAAACAAAAAUAUACAUGAAAAGCAGAGCAAGUGCUCUGUAUUUUACUUCCUUGCAAAACUGUACAAAGGAUGCGUCUCUGAGAACAAGCUCCCAGAUUCUACAUCUCAGAACAAGCUCCCCAGAGAUUACAUGAUUUUUCUAAAGAAGAUUACAAACUAUCUAUAAGAGGUUAUUCACCCCUUUGUUCUUACUUAAAUACUAAGGAAUCCUAUGAUAGGUGGAUUACAAGGAGAGUUUGGGGAUUUAGACAUCAAAUAUCUAAAGCAAAAUAUCUAAAGAUAAAUAUCUAAAGAAAAAUAUCUAAAGAUGUCGGUCGCACAUAUCGGGAAGCUUCAGGAGAACACCGCAGCACUAUGCAAAAUGGCUGCGAAACUCUUCGGGUGAGCGCUAUUAAAGGAUCCGGAUAUGUAUAUCCGGAGAAGUUGAAAUGCCCUCCUCUCCCAUCCGGCUCUUGAAUUCCGGAUGUAAGACAUCCGGAUGGAAUGGCGGCGGUGGCAGAAUUCUGGAUGUGAGACAUCCGGAUGGAAUGGCGGCGGUAGCAGAAUUCCGUAUGUGAUACAUCCGGGUGGAAAGUGGUGGCAGUAGAAUUCUGGAUGUGAGACAUCCGGAUGGAAUGGCGGCGGUAGCAGAAUUCCGGAUUUGAUACAUCCGGGUGGAAAGUGGCCGCAGUCGGAUGGAAUUCCUACCCGGGUGGAAUGAGCUAUGAUUCCCGUCCGGUUGGAAUGAGCAGGAUCCCAUACUCCUUGCAUUCUGGAUUUGCUUAUGGAUUCCAAAGAACUCUCCUCAAUCUUGGAUUGCUUUGGUGAUCAAAAAGCUAUCAAAACACAAAAACUUAACACAAUAUGAUUAGAAUUGAUUGCAAGGGUCCUUAAUAUGUUAAUUGGGUUAAAAUGUGAUAACUACUACUCAAAAGUGUUUAAAAGAGUUAAUUACAAGCUAUGAAAUAGUACUUUUUGAGUAGUAAUCAAUUUCCCUAACUAAUAUUAUUACUAUCCAAUAUUAUUUUCAACUUCCUAAACAAUAAUUUAUUUCAUUUUUUCUAACUUAUCUAAAAUAAAUCUUUUAAGAAUAUUUAUUUGCAUAAGACUAUUAUUACUAUUAUUUAAAUCUCCUAUCGAAAUUUAACAAAUACCCCAUGCAAUUCUUUUUUUCUUUUUUUCAACAUGUCAAAUCCUUCCUACGCAUCUUUCAUCAUUUUUUUUUUCUCUUUAAAGUCAAAACUUUUAACCUCCAUACUCACAAUUUUAUGUAAUUUUCACAUCCAAUAUAUAAUUUUUUAUUUUAUCUAGAUCUAUUCAUUUGAGUAAUCAAAAUUUAUUGAUCUUCGUUAAUAAAUCAAACUAUGUUCAUAAAUUUUUAAUCUUUUUUACCUAGAAAUUAAUUAAACGAACUCUAAUCAAAAUUGAGAUAUUCCAAAUAAUAUCUAAAGUUUUUAAAACUAGUUAACGAAUAUAAAAUAUUAAUUUAAAUAUUAAAAAUCUUACCUGAAAAAUUGAUCUUCAAACCCUAAACUUUCAAACCUUCAACCCUAUGCUCUCUAAUCUUUCUGAUCUUUGUGUAAAAGGGUUUUUUGAAUAGAGAAUAUAGGAAAUAUAUAAUUUAUAUAUAGGGGUUUAAAAUACAAAAAGACUUUUUUACCCUUAUUAAAUUACUUUAAUUAAUUAAUAAUUUCUAAAUUACUAUUUUACCCCUAAAUUGGGUUUGGGCAUUACACCCACCAUGGCAAACAUACAAGUAAGCUUCCAUUGUGAAUGCACCUUAUGCUUUUAUAAGCUUAUUUAUUACCUUUUUUAGGAACAUGAAAAAAAAAAAGGGUAAAAUCUUAGUUCAUACAAACCAAUUCGAUAGAAGACAAGUUAAUAUGACACAAUCUAAGCCAACCAAACAAGAUUGACUUGCAACUCGAGAUUCUGAGGUUGCAUGCGCAAAAGUUUUUUUAUUCUAUUGUUUCUCAUUCAAAAGUAUAUUUUUGAUAGAAAUAUAACACCCUAUAACACUUUUGGGGGUUCAUUGGUUUCAUUGGAUUAUAUUAACUCAAAUACAAACAUUGAUCCAAAACCCAUGACAAGGAAACACAUUAAUAAAAUUGUAAAGAAAUUGAAUUGUCAAUCAUAGAAUAACAUGUAAACUAAAAUAAAGACAAAAUAGUCUCAAACUAGUAUUCAAAAUGAAUUUGUGAAUGUGUGAAUAUAAAAAUAUCUAAUAGCCAUCCUCACAAAAACUACAUUGUAAUUGGAAAUUGUACUAACACAACAAGCAAGUAUUAUCUAGAGUAAGAAUGUCUAAAGUGGACUUGGAUCAAGUUGCUCCUUAAGCUAUCUACUUCAAAGUUUUUUUAAAAUUGGAAUCAAGUAGACAAAUGUUAGCAUUGUUGUAGUCAAAAUACACAACAUAGGCAUAUGUGGUAGUACCUUGCUCCUAGAUGGCCAAAGUCAUGUUAAGGUGGCAUGCUUAAACUUAACAAGCAUUGGUGGGAUUUGAUAGAGGCCUCUUGAAGGAUCAAAGGGGCAUUGAGUUGUAUGAAUAACAACAAGGGUGUGCUACCAUAGGCAACACAUGGUACUACAAGUGUGCAUAAAAAUGCUAAUACAUAUUUUAUUACUUGUAGGAAUAGUGCAUAUUAGCGGUGACACUCUCAAUUGGCCCUUGACAAGGUUGUUAAACCACCUUAGAUGUAAGCUAGUGAUGAUUAUGUUGCUUAUGCAUGAAGUAUGGUGAAAAUAAUAAAAAGAUUGUUAUAGUGGAGAGUCUAGUGAAUAAGUGUGGACCCCGCAUUUCGGUUCAUGCGUUUCCCACACGACGACAAGCUCGAUUUUUAUUUGAAAGAAUGAUUUGUUGAUUAAAAAUGACUUGGAGUCGCCACUUAUUUUUGUUUUAUUUUUAAAAGGGUAAACAAAAUAAGAAAGAAAAACCCUAAGUAUGACUCCUUGUUUUGGAAAAGGUUAGUCUACGAAAAACCGGAUCGGGUUCGGGGGUCAGGUUACUUAUCGGGAAGGUACGGUAGAGACCGUAGCACCCCUCUAAGUCCCUAAAGUUGGGUCUCUACUAAUAAAAUGAAGCAAUCAUGGCAGUGGACGAGUAAAUCAAUGAGUACCCAGAAUAAAUCAUGCACACGUGAGAAUCAAAAUAUGCUUGGACAAUUACCAGAGUGAAAGUAGGUGCGUACCUGGGCGAUGAGCCACCAUGCGCUAUCAAGAGAGAGGUUAGUGCAUAAGUAAGAAAUAAUAGCAUGCAUGUCAGAGAGCAGGAUAAAUAAAUCAUGUAUGAUAACCAAGUCAAUCAAUCAAAUCAAUCAAUAGAUCAUAAGAUCAUGUAUGUGGGGCCCCCACCAAAGCCCGAUUAAUCUUGCAUGAAUUAAUAUCACAAAUUCCAUUAUUUUGGAAUUAUGAAAAUAACAUUCAUGCUUAUAUAAAAUCAAGAGAAAUCGAAGAUUAUUUGAAACCCGAAGAGAAUUAAAACUGUUAGAGAGAAAAUUGAAUUUUUGAAAUUUAUUUGAAAAUUGGAGUAUUGGAAAUUAAAUUUAAGAGUUGGAAUUUUAGGACUUGAAAGAAAUUAGAAUUUUAGAAAUCGGAAAUUAAGUUCAGAAAUUGGGAUUCAAAAAAAUGUUUAAAAAUGGAAUUUUGAAAUAAAUAAAUGGAAUAAUAAUAAUAAGGAUGAAAACAAUGAUUAAAUAAAUGAAUGGGAAUGCUGGAAUUUUUGAAAUUGGAAAUUAGAUUUAGAAGUCAGAAAUUUUAAAGAAUUGUUUAAGAUAGAAUUUUAAGAUAAAUAAACAAACUAUUAGUGAUUAAUUUAAUGUGAAUAUGGGAAUUUUCAGGAUUAGGAAUUUAAUUUGUAAAUCUGAAGUUUUAAAGAAUUGAUUUAAAAUGGAGAUAAAAUACUAAUGAUUAAAUAAAUUAAUGAGAAUAUGAGAAUUUUCGGGAUUAGGAAUUUAAUUCGGAAAUCAGAAGUAAUGAAGAGUUUGAUUUAAAAUGGAGUUUUGAAAUAAAUAAAUAAAAUACUAAGGAUUAAAUAAAUUAAUGGGAAUAUGGGAAUUUUCGGGUUUAGGAAUUUAAUUCGGAAAUCAGCGGUUUUAAAGAAUUUGGUUUUGAAAUAAAUAAACAAAUGAAAUACUAAUGAUCAAAUAAUUUAAUGGGAAUAUGGGAAUUUUUGGGAUUGGGAAUUUAAUUCGGAAAUCAGAAGUUUUAAAUGAAUUGAUUUAAAAUGGAGUUUUGAAAUAAAUAAAUAAAAUACUAAUAAUUAAAUAAAUUAAUGGGAUUAUGGAAAUUUUCGGGAUUAGGAAUUUUCGGAAAAUUAAAUUUAAAAAAAUGAUUAUCAUUAAAUUAAAUUUAAAAUUAGAGUUUUAGAAAAUUAUUUGGAGAAUGACAUUUUUAAAAUAAAUAAAUAAUAAAUAAUAAAUAAAUGAAUAAAUUUGGGACUUUGAAAUUUUAGGAAAUUUUAAAAGAGUUAAUGGAGAAUAUAUAUAUAUAUAUAUAUAUAUAUAUAUAUAUAUAUAUAUAUAUAUAUAUAUAUAUAUAUAUGUAUAUAUAAAAGAAUAAAUAAAAUAAUCAAAGAAACAAAACUUUUAACAUUAAAAAUAAUAAAAUAAUAAAAAAAAAGAUAAAAGAUAAAAAAACCAAAAUGAUGGCACGUGGCCAUUAUAAGCUGGAGGGCAAAUCUUCCAUUCAUUUGACCGCCCAUGCCCACUGCUUGUGAACGUGUAAUAUUAAAAGAAAGGAAAAAAGUGGCAGGUACCCACUUUAUAAUAUUAUACGCAUAUGCCUGAAUGGAUUCUUGUCAGGAGACUGAAACAAGAAGUGGCGGCGAGAAUGGAGAGGGCGCGGUGGUAUUUGCAGAGGGGGUGGAGUUGGACCAGGAGACUGCCCCGGCGACGGUGAUGGCAUGUUUGCCCAAAGGCUCACGCAAGUUCCGGCCAUGGAUUCCACCUUCACCCGAUGUCGACGGCGAAGCGGAUGGCCCAUGGUGAGCGCGAAAUGCAGGUACCUCUCCGGCGCCCUAUAGUAUGGCCGAAAACUGAGGCUAGCGGGGAUGGUGGUGAUGGUGGAAGCCUCGGUGUUGGAGACAGACAGAGAGGUGGAGGUGGAGAUAAAUAAAAAAAGGAGAUGGAGGUGGAGGUGGUUAGCAUGAUGAGUUCAUGCAUGGAGGUCUGAAACGGGUGUAGUGGUCAGAGAGAUAAAUGGGUAUUGAUAGUGGGUAUGAUGAUGGGCUGUGGUAAUACACAUCUAAAAACACAUAGGGGAAGCAGGGGAAAGAACAAAGAGACGAGCCUAAAUAACCAUGUUUUAUGACUCCACGAUGGACUCAUGCUGGUGGAGAGGCUGCAAAUCGAUUCCAAACAACAACAAGCAACAAAAAAAAAGAAAAAAAA